UUGCAAGAACCUAAACUUCAUAAUCUGAUCAAAGAACUGGAAAAUUGGAAGUGCCAAUAUUUACCUCUUCUCGUAAUAACUUGAUUGUCUCAUCGGUAUCAGAAUUGUCACAUUUUUCAACAAAUGAAUUUUCUGGAGAACAGGAUGAAGAAGAUGAAGUAUCAGGUGUUCUACAGUCAGCUCCAUCUGGUCCAUCCUGAGAGGAAAUAGCACCACUAGAAUCAUGAUGGUCAUCUUCCUGGCUGCCUAUUCUUUCAAAACCCACAUUCUCUACUAUAGAAUCAGAGAUUGACGCAGGAGCUUCCUGGAUGACAUCAUGAUGCUCCAAUACCGUUGAUUCUUUAUCCAUCAUGUCAUUAUCUUGACCUGUGAUUUCCUCGGUGUUAUUCAACUGGUUAGAUUCCUCUGGCUCAAGAUUUGACGACUGACGCGAAGAACUACAGGGUUUGUCAGCGCUAGCUGGAAUUGGAGGAGAAUCUUCAUCUGGGAAAAACUUUUUGUAUACUGAAUCCAUCGGAAAUGGGGAUGAUAAAUUGUGCUGAUGACAUAAGAUGUCAUAGGAGAGAACACUCCCCAGAGAAUGUCCAUAAAUGGAAAUCUGUAAAACCCCAUAAACAGAACAUGAAUUUUAAUUCAAUGCGAGCUUACACUAGUUACAAGUUGAUGAAUGGACUUAACCAAAUGGGCACCUUUCCAUCAUAGUCCGGGUUCCGUUUUAAAAAUUUCACAUACAGUCUAUUCAGCUGGUUUGAAACCUGAAAGAUGUAAAGAAGCACAAAUCAUAACGAUACCAAAGAUGAAAGUAACAGUGUCUAAUAAGGUGGCUGACAAAAAUUCCAAAACUAAAUCACAAAUUUCAAUUUGGCACUUCCAAGACAAAGAGAUCAUCAAAUUGGAGAAACUGCACACUACCGAAUCAAUUAUAGCCUGGCAAUAAAUGGGGCUCAUGUAGUAUAACACAUCAUGAACAGUUGCGCUCAGCAUCUCUCGUAAACGCCGUACACCGUCUAAAGUACAUUUAUCAACAGCAGCUUCACCACUUAGCUUUAGACCCUUUCUCCACUACAGAAACAAAAGAAAAAGAAGGCAUAUGUGAAGUAAGAUCAUACUACACAAAGAUAAAACAGAAACAAAAUAUGAUUUAUAUAUAUAGAGUCACCUGGCAUGGGAUGAAAAGGACUCUUUGAGUGCCGCGCUGAUGAGAGGUUAGAUGACGUUCACCUAAAGCUGCUGUGAUUUGACGGAAGUUUCCAACGUCAUCAACAAGAUUAGACUUUUCUACUUUUUGGCCAAUACCGUGAACCAUAAAUACAAGAUGCCGAACAGGUACCUGGACACAAUAACACAGACACAAACUUUGAGAUAUUCAGAAAAUAAUUGGACGACAGAGAUUAGAUGCUCUAUAUGCAAACGCGGUUCACAGAAGAAAAGACAUACUUGAGAACAAUAGUCAUCCAUUUCUUCCUCCUUUUGCUGGCGUAGUUCUUCCUGAAAAGAAGCACAAUAACAUAAAAAUGUGAGACUUGAUUCCAUUUCCCAUAUAGAGUGCAAAGUUAAGGGUCAAAGAAAUUAACUAAAAACAAACAGAAUAAUGUUAAAACCUGCGUAGGUUUAGGAGAGUAGGAGCCCGCAUAGCCACGUCGCAACUUAAUUCCAGUCCCAGUAUAUCCAACAAUACCAGAGAAACCAGAGGGAUCAACAUUAAGCCACGCUUCCCAGGUACCAUCUUCCCCGGUAAAGAGAGCAUGGAGUCCCUACGUUAACAACUUCAGACAAUAUUAUAUAUGCAACCAUUUAGCUGGAAAGAUAAUUACAGUUUCUUCCCCAUGAAACCAAACACAUACCAGACUGGAACCCUGCAAAUCGACACGAGCUGCAAAAAGUCCAGAGGGUUGAAAACUUCUUCUCCGCCAAACCUAGGUGAAAAAAGGCCAAAUUAAAUUGGUGCUAUAGUCAUAUGACUCAUACCAUCAACAACAUGUAUGAAUAAACCUUAAAAACCAAAAACACAAACGGUAAAAGCAUCAGCUAGAAAACUUUUCUGGUUCUAGUAAUAUACUCCAGAGGAAGACAUAUAACCUUGUUACGAUAUGCGACCUCCAACUGUUCAGCAACAGUUUCUGGAAUUGGAAGCCAGUCUAGGCCACCUUUACGAGCAAACCAAUGGCCUCUAAGCACACGCCGAUUGUCUCCAUUCCAGUACACGGGAAAACAAUGCCUCCUCACCAAGUCCACCUGCAGCAUUCCAGUCCCUUGGUCAGAAACAUGGAUUGAAUGUAAGGACUUAAAGUUGGUUCCAAAUGUUAAGUUUUACAAGGAAAAUUAUAAAAACACUCUUCAAAUCUCUGCAAAGAACGGUGGUACCUCAUAUAGCCCACCCUUAACAGGUACACCGACUCUCUCCUCUUCAACUUCAUAAGACACAGAAGCUUCUGAAGGAGUUUCAAUCGACGGCUUAUUCGAUUUAUUUUUAAGAUUAACUUGUGGUAUAGGCCCUUCGCUGCAUUCUGCAUACUCUUUCCACCAGAGUGACAGCAACUCAUCCUCUCUCUAUUCCACAAAAUUCCCAGGAGAAACAGAACUUUCUUAGAUAUCUCAGUUUCACUCAAAUUUUGAACCAAACAGCACAAAUACAAAGUAAAACUACAAAAGCUUAGAAUAAGAAGAAGAACCUGCAGGAAAGAUGCCUCAAUCGCAAGAGAAUCCCUCAUACCAAAACGGAAAUACUCACUCUUUCCUACUACAUCAGUGCGAGGUACUGAAGCAGCUAAUUCUGAAGGUAAAUGACAAAACAUGCAAUCAGAAUUUUGGAUAUACGAGCACUAGAGGAUGAUGCAUCAAUUUCUUUUUUUUUCCUUCCCCAUUCUUCUCCGAAAUAUAUGUUUCGAAAAUUGGAAGACUCACCGUUUUCAGCUAGAGGAACCUUACAGAAGUACCAACGAACAUCACUCCCAUCUGAAGGACUUGUGGUCUGAGCGAGAUACUUUUGUCUGCCAUGGCAUUGCUCAAUUACAUCUUCUAAUCUAGCGAUGUUUGAAGGCGUGUUCUUCAACAAAUCCGGAGAGGUUUCAUUAACCUCCCGAGUUCCUAAACGUGCCUCUGUAUCUUCCAUCUGAUCAAAAAUCAUAAUAAUCAAUGAUCAGUAGUCAGAAAGAAAGCAAAAGAGGACUAAUUUUGAAUCAAUUACGAGUUUCCAGGAAAAAAUUAUUAACAAAACCCUACAAAGACAAAAUAGAAUCAACUCUAUACCGAGAAGGAAAAAAAAACAAUCUUUCGAUACAGAAGGGUCAGAAAGGACGAAGCUUUGGAACGGGAAUUAACAAAAAAAAAGAAGACGCGAUAUGAGAGAUUUGAUUUGAUGAAAGCGAAAUCGCGAGAGAGAAGAAGAAGAAGAGGAAACAAACAAGAACAAAAAAAAAAGGUCGUUUGAAAAGAAAAAAAAAACUGAAUAGAGUGACAGCUGGGAAAUUGAAUGGAAGGUUUGGUUUUGCUGAAAGAAUAUUCGUGACUCGUGAGAGAUCGAAACUUUCUUCAGCGGUUGCGUGUACUGUCAUCUCUUAACAACUGCCACGUCAAUGCCAUGUCAGCAUUCCCCACGCAGAAGAUUUUGUUUUUUUUUUGUUCAGGUUGGGUAAUUUUAAGAAAAUUAAACACAAUUUAUAUUUCAGUCAAAAUCAUAGGCAUGGGCUGGUUAAGGGUUAACUAUCACAUAAAUAAAAAAUUGUGUUUGCAAUUAUACUUUUAAGUUGAUUUUAGAUUAAAAAGUAUAUAUAAUUUGAUAAUUUGUGAUAAUGUUGUUGUUCCGUCACCAUCCUCAUUUAUUUUUUCACAUGGUGCAUGUUGUUGACCAUAACAAUAAUGUUUUAGACAGAUACAGCAAAAACAAAACAAAAAAAAAUUGGGACAUGCAUGGUAAGGUCUUAAUCGAUUUUAGUUUUUGGGAUGAUUCGGUUAAAAAAAUCGAUUAGUGUCUCUUUGAGUUCCACAACAGAUUUACAAUAACGAACCCAAAGUUAAAGAAGAGAACAAAUAUACCAAGGAAGAAUGUAAAGUAUUAUGUAUAAUAAGUUCAUCUAAAACAAAAUGUGUAAUUAGAUUCGCACUUAAUCGGAUUACUCUGUUCAUAGAUAAGUCUUGAUGUAAGUUAUAUUUGGUUUAUAUUUACUUUUUUUGCAGAAACCUUACGGCAGCGACUGCUUAAACCUUAAUGAAGAUAAGCCACACGGCCACACCAAAUCUCAACCACUACAAUUGAUGGUAAUGUUUGUUUGACAAUUAAAAUUUGGUUGGUCUAACCACGUGAAUACGUGAUACGGACAUGUUUCUUUAGUCUACGGUGUAAGAUUGCUCAAUUAUCAGUUCUUGUUUUAACUUUUAAUUUACGUUUAAUUCGAUAGUUACGUAACUUACGUUUAUACACACACAACUUCAUGACUUCAAAGUAAAACUAGGACAUCUAAUAAAAGAAACAAGUAGAUACGACAUGUGUACAUUAAAUUAAUAUAAGAAACACUAAAUAACUUAAAACAAAGUUGAAAAGAAAGCCCUCGUUAAAAAAUUUUUUGGUAUCAACUACAAAAAUUCAGAAAAUAUAUAUUUUUAAAAUAACAAAAAGAAUUUAAAUCUACAAUGAAAAAUUUAAAAACCCCUAUAUUUAAAAAAUAAUUCCUAAGAUUUAUAAUACUAAACCCUAACUAUAAUCCUUAAAACUUAGUUUUCAAACUUUAAAAUUUUAAACAAAAAAAUUAUGUUUUUUAAUAUUUAAAGAUUGUAAUGUAUAUAUUUUUUCUUAAUUAUUUAGACAUUUUUUAAUGUUUUUCCAAUUAUCCAAAAACAAAAAAAAAAGGUUCAACAAUAGUGGGUGUGUCACACUCACCGGAAAUAAACAAAAUUUUCCCAGGAAAAUCCCAAAAGCACUCUCUUCAAAAAGAUCAAAAGCGGUAGAUCAACAACUAUACGCUUUUUUUCCUUCAUCGGUCAACAUCACCUCACCAUUUCCAUUAUCCAUCUUCCCAUUGUAUAUGAGACCUCGUAUCAAAGAUGCCUCAGACAAACUCCGACCUAACCGAGCCUCCUUCGACGACGACGGCGAAGCAAAGUUUCACCGGAAACACCCGCCGCCUCUCAGGACCAUGUUCGGUCGCUGGCGGAAAUGGACUGUGCUCGUGGCGGCGAUCUGGAUCCAGGCAUCGACGGGGACUAACUUCGAUUUCUCGGCUUACUCCUCCCAUCUCAAAUCAGUACUCGGGAUCUCUCAGGUCAGGUUGAAUUACCUCGCGGUGGCUUCCGAUUUGGGAAAAGCGUUCGGGUGGUCGUCGGGGAUCGCUCUAGGUUAUCUCCCUCUCUCCGUCGUUCUUUUUGCGGCGGCGGGUAUGGGCUUUGUUGGCUAUGGUGUUCAAUGGCUUGUCAUCACCAACAUCAUCACUCUCCCUUAUUUUCUGGUACAUAUCUGUAUAAACUCAAUUUGAAUCCGGAAGAUUCACACCAAAUUCUUGUUGAUCGAUAUCAUUCUCAAGACAUAGCUUUAAUUUUUCGCCGAAUUAGACCAUUGUUGCGCUAAAUACCAUUGAUUAGAAGAAGAUCAUAGAGAACCUUAAACAAGAAUUCCGUUUCACUAAUAUGACAUGUUGCUUCAGUUCUUGUAGAUAUUCAGAAUAGUGAAAGAACAGCAUUUUCUUUUGAAGUAGUUUAUGAAAUCUUUUGAUCAUGAUAGGUAUUCUUCUGCUGCUUAUUGGCUGGAUUAAGCAUAUGUUGGUUCAACACAGCAUGUUUCAUCCUCUGCAUCCGCCAUUUCCCGACCAAUCGAGCUCUCGCGUUAUCUCUUACGGUAAGUUUCAAUGGAAUCAGUGCAGCCUUAUACUCCCUCGCUUUCAAUGCAAUUAACCCGCCGUCCUCAAAUCUAUACCUUCUGCUCAACUCACUGGUUCCACUUGUGGUUUCCUUUGCUGCCCUUUUCCCAGUUCUUACUAAACCAUCUCUAGACUCUACACCAGACAACGAAUCACGACGACAUGACUCCCGUGUGUUUGCCAUUAUGAAUGUCUUAGCCGUCAUGACCAGCUUCCACCUUCUCCUGUCUAGUUCGAGCACCUAUGUGGUGGCUACAUCAGCUCGUUUCCAUUUUCUUGGAGCUAUAGUCCUUCUGGUUUUCCCCUUGUGUGCUCCUCUUCUCGUUUAUGCUCAGGAUUACUUUCUUCCUGCCAUUAACCAUCGUUUAAACAACGACCGCUCUGGCUAUGUUAUGCUUAACAUAGAUGAGCACAAACCCGGGUAUGAACAUAUGGGGACUGCAAGUCAGAAGAACGUGAAGGAAGGGAACAUAGUGAGACUCGGUGAUGAACAUUCCUUUCGAUUGCUCAUAAGUAGACUGGAGUUUUGGUUAUACUACAUUGCUUAUUUCUGUGGUGGCACGAUUGGCCUUGUUUAUAGCAACAAUUUGGGACAGAUUGCUCAGUCUUUGGGACAAAGCUCGACAACCCUCGUCACGAUCUACUCUUCAUUCUCCUUCUUUGGUCGAUUGCUCUCUGCCGCACCAGAUUUUAUGCACAAGUAAGUAAGUUUCAUUUCUUAGAUUAAGGAACGUCUAAUGUGAAAAAAUCCGAUCAAAUCUUUCCAUCUUGCAGGAGAUUUCGUUUGACAAGAACCGGCUGGUUUGCAAUCGCACUCUUGCCAACUCCUAUCGCUUUCUUUUUACUAGCGAUAUCAUCCUUACAGCAACUGCAGACCGCAACUGCCUUGAUCGGUCUAAGCUCGGGUUUCAUAUUUGCAGCUGCUGUCUCCAUAACAUCUGAUCUCUUUGGACCCAAUAGCGUAGGUGUUAACCACAACAUUCUCAUCACAAACAUACCCAUCGGCUCGCUCUUAUACGGUUUCGUCGCUGCGUCCAUUUACGAAGCCAACGCAAGCCCUGAGAUAAGACACGUCGUGUCUGACUCGGUCGUUUGCAUUGGAAGAGACUGCUACUUCAAAACGUUUGUGUUUUGGGGUUACUUGUCGUUUCUUGGCCUCGCUUCAAGUCUGUUGCUGUACGUGAGAACCAAACCGGUUUAUCACCGGCUCGAACAAGACCGGGUUUCCGUAACAUCAUCGUACAAGGAGCUUGAUCCAUUGUGAAUCAAAUUGUAACAAAGAAACCACAAAUCUUUCUCUCUUUUUUUAGGCCACAGGAAGAUUAAUAGUGAAACAAAUUAAAGCUACACAAUCUUUCUCGCGAAACUUGAAUUAAAAUGUCUUUAAGAAAGUAAUUUAAACACGGCUAAUCACUCAUUUCGUGGGUCCCACACUAAAAGAUGAUAUAACAGAAAAGUCAUCAAAAUUGACGCGCACAGUAUCGGAGCCAGCGUAACUGACAAAAUCAUGAAUUAGCCGUUGUGGCCACUUUCCUCCAUUUUCUUCUCUCUUUGCUCCUCCAAAAGCAAAAACCCUAAGAAUUUUUUUCAUUUUCAUCGAUAAUGGCGGAUUUUGGGUAUCUUUCGGAUACGGAUGAUUCAGCUGUGGAAGAGCUGGUUUCGCAAGCGAAGGAGCUUUCUGCUUUGGAGCAAGUAGCCGCAAUCAACUGUUCUGGCUUCGCCGACUCUUCUACUCUUCCCGAUGAUCUCGAAACUCGUUUCCGUCGCCUCAAAUCUCUUCCAGCUUCUCGACCCGACCCGGUUUCUUCGUCUUCGUCGAAGAAUAGGAAGAAGCAUCUCGCGCAAUCCAAGAGCGUGGCGUGUUACCCUAAGGAGGAUGGGAAUUUCUCGGGAAACAGACGAAAUCCAGGUAAAAAUUGUGGUUCCGUGAGUUUAUCUGAUGAGGAUUCGAGUGUUUUCUCAGGGAAGAAACGCGAUCUGGGUGUGAAAUCGGGUAUUGAGAAAAGUUCGAGAGCUGGGCUUGUCUCAGAUGGAAGUGGGGAAUUCUCGGAUUCUGGAAUCAUCGGCUCGAGCUCAUCGAGAGAGUAUAAGAUUUUCUCGCCAGUUAAACGAACCCAGAAGCUUCCUAAAGAGAAACGCAGAAACGGACCGUCAUCUUCGUCUUCUUCUAUCGAUUUAGCUACACCACCGUUAUCGGAUUCAGAACCAGAAAAGAAAUCGAGAUCGAAAUCGAAAUCCAAGCCAUCCUCAAGCUCGUGGUUUGAUAAGUUAUCUCCAUCGAAAAUCAUGGGAUUCAUUUGGCGUUCUCCGAACAAAUCAUCAGCGAAGAAGAAGAACAUCAAAAGCAGCAAAUCGUUUAGUGCUGCUGCUUACUCUUCUGGUCGCGAGAGAGACAUGGAUUUCGACGAGUUUUUAUCUGAUUUGAAUGCGUUUUCAGUGGAAGAUCAGAGGAAAAUGCUGAAAAAGGCACUCAAAGAGCAACAGAAGAUGCGAAAAGAAGCAGCUGAGAUCAUCAAAAUGACGAGAAAGGCAUCGGCAAAAUUCGAUUUUGAUGAUUAAGAAGUGGGAUGUGCAAAUGGGUUUUGGGUUUACUUUUUCGGUUUGGAGAAAUGUUCACAGAUAUGUAUUAGCAAAAUAAAAUCAGAAGUAUAAAUAAACUUUAAUAUAAUUAAUUGUAGGAGUUCUAAAACUGGAAUUAUGAAGUUUGAUAUACUGUACAUGCUAUUCUAUAUAGUAUCCAAUGAAAUGAAAACUGCAAAUAAAAGAUCAGUUCUACCAUUUGCGUCCUUUUUAAGUUGGUGAGACUUUGAUUUAUACCAAGAACAUCAUUAACAAUAUCCAGUGGCAAACAAGACAAACUUCAAUUAGUAAAUAUGAACAGGUAAGAACUCUUUUUUAUCCUUUUAUUUCUAGUUAACUUUUCAAAUAAUUUUCAGAAAUGAUUUAAAAGCAAAAUGUCAAAUUCAUAACUAAUUCAAUUAAAUUAAUUCAAAACUGCACAUACAACGCGAAUACAACCAAAGCUAACAACAGCAACAAAAACUAUUAACCAAUGUUGUUUUGAAAUACUGAUCAUUUGAAAAAGAUAAAAAGAAGAAACACUGGUUAAGGUAUUUACGUUACUUGUUCAAAAACACUAGUAAUCAAAGCCAAAGGUCCAAAGCUUUUGUUGAUUCAAUAAGCAUGAUGAAUUUCUAGAUUACAAGUAUAUGAUCAUAAAAACAUAAAAAUGAGAAUAUAAAUCUCACAAGUACAUCCAUAUUUUGAUACAGGCAAAAAAGAAAGAAAACUCAGAAGUCACAUCUGUUUAUUGCCAUUAAUCAUCCCACAUCUCCACUAAACCUCUCAAUAACUUAGCAACCUUAAUGAAAGUUAAAAGCUAAUCCAUCAAUCACCUCAUUACCACGUCGCUAAACUCCUUGCCGUUUCAACCUUUUCGCAUUCCCUAUCUUGCAGUUUAUAAACACUCGCAAGAUCUCACUCAUCACACCACAAAACUUUCCAAAACAAAUCGAAAAUGGCAACUCAAACUUUCCUCUACUGCUCUCUCUUAGCCAUAACCAUCACCUUCUUCGUUUCCUCUUCUUCAGCUCACCGGUCAAACCUAACCGUCGAGCUAAUCCACCGUGACUCUCCCCAUUCUCCACUCUACAACCCUCUCCACACUGUCUCCGACCGUCUCAACGCCGCUUUCCUCCGUUCAAUCUCCCGUUCCCGCCAUUUCUCAACCAAAACCGAUCUCCAAUCCGGUUUAAUAGCAACCGGCGGCGAAUACUUCAUGACCAUCUCAAUCGGUACUCCACCGUCGAAACUCCUCGCCAUCGCCGACACGGGAAGUGACCUAACUUGGGUCCAAUGCAAACCAUGUCAACAAUGUUACAAACAAAACAGUCCAAUUUUCGACAAGAAGCAAUCUUCGACGUACAAAACCGAAUCUUGCGAUUCCAAAGCCUGUCACGCUUUAUCCGAAAGCGAACAAGGAUGCGACGAGUCGAACAACAUCUGCAAAUACCGUUACUCUUAUGGAGACGAGUCGUUUUCAAAAGGAGACGUUGCAACCGAAACAAUCUCCAUUGAUUCUUCCUCUGGCUCCUCUGUUUCUUUCCCCGGUACAGUCUUCGGUUGCGGCUACAACAACGGCGGUACGUUCGAGGAAACCGGAUCUGGAAUCAUCGGUCUAGGAGGCGGUCCGUUAUCGUUAGUAUCACAGCUCGGUUCUUCGAUAGAGAAGAAAUUCUCGUAUUGCUUGUCACACACGUCAUCUACAACAAACGGUACAAGUGUCAUAAACCUAGGAACCAACUCGAUUCCUUCAAGCGCAAGCAAAGAUUCGAAUGUGCUCACUACGCCGUUAGUUCAAAAAGUCCCCGAGACUUACUAUUUCUUGACCCUAGAAGCAAUCAGCGUCGGCAAAACCAAGCUUCCGUACACCGGAGGAGGAGGAGGUUUAAACGACGCCGGGAAAUCGAAGACGACGACCGGUAACAUCAUAAUCGAUUCAGGCACGACGCUCACGCUUCUUGAAUCUGGAUUUUACGAUGGUUUUGGUGCGGCGGUGGAAAAAAAGGUGACCGGAGCAAAGCGUGUAAGUGAUCCGGAGGGGAUUUUACCGUACUGUUUCAGAGCCGGAGACAAAGCGAUUGGUUUGCCGGAGAUAACAAUGCAUUUCACGGAAGCUGACGUGAAGCUGAGUCCGAUCAACGCGUUCGUGAAGAUGAGUGAAGAUAUGGUGUGUUUGAGUAUGAUUCCGACAACUGAAGUUGCUAUCUACGGGAACUUGGUUCAGAUGGAUUUUCUUGUCGGGUAUGACUUGGAGAAGAAGACGGUGUCGUUUCAGCGCAUGGAUUGCUCUGGUAGCUUGUGAAGCUCAAAACGUUGUCGUUGAAAGCUAGUGUGGUUUUGUUUAGUCUGAUAAGUAACGCAAUAUUAACGAAUAUUCAGUAUGAAUAAUAAUAUCUCUAUUUCUUAACUUCUUCUUUUACAACAGCAAAAAAAAAAACCCGAAAAAAAAUAGCCACACCAGUUAUAUAGUCCAAAAGAAUAUUCAAGAGAAGCCAGACCGACGAAAGUGCUAGUUAUUUUAAGUUAAAAAAUACUUAUGAUUGUGCAAAGAAAAAGACUUAUAAUUUGAAAUAGAGUUUUGAUAAGAUUUAUUUUUUUCCUAAAGUUAUAUGAUAACCUCAUGUUGAAAAGGAAAUUCGGCAAAUAAAUAAACGAAAUGUAGGUAAAUAUAAUAGUUUUCUUGUAGCGGUCCAAUAAUUAUUUGCCAUUAAAAAGGACAGAAACAGAAUAUUAAGCUAAGCGAUUGAAUACAAAAAUAAAUACAUUUUAUGAAAUAUAUAAUUAAUGAAUACAAAGUUAAAGACCGACCACUCAUAAAGAAAGUGUUGAACCGAAGGAGUAGCUUCAACUUUCUCCACUAUAAUUCCAUUGUCGUUACCUUUUCUCUCCUGACUGUUACCUGUAAAGAAGAGUUAAGGAUCAAUGUCAAAAACUCGACUUUCUCUCUCUCUGCUUCCUCUAUUUGAGUAAAUAUAGCUACCCCUUUUAGCGAAAUCUAUCGUUUUCUUUUAAUAAUAUCGCUUUCUCUCGAUCUGUGAGUUGGUAGUGAAGAAACCGACUUUCGCUACGAGAAGGAACAAAAAAAAAGGAAACAAAUAGUCCGAGUUUCUUUAUUGGGUCUUCUGAGUUUCGUUUAGUUCAGCCAUGGAAGCCAUUAGAAAGCAAGCAGCAAAGCUCAGAGAGCAAGUCGCGAGGCAACAGCAAGUGUGUUUCUUUUUCUUUUAUUUCGCCUUUUUUGUGGAUUUAUGUGUUCUGGGUAUUUCACUCGAGAUGCCUUUUCUUAGAUUUAUUUAUGGCUGGUUGGUUACUGAUAAAAAGCUAGAAAAUUGAUUGUGUGAUUUCAAUAAAAGAGGAAUCUUUGAUGAUUCAGUUAUAGUCUUGGGGCAGCUAGGAUUGGUGACUAAUUGUUGACGUAGGAAUUGGUUAUUUUUAUGUAAAAGUAUGGACCUUUGCUUGUUUUGGAAUCGAUUUUGCCUUUUUGUAUUUGAUUUUAUGAAUUACGUUAUAAUUAGAGACAAGACUGAAGUGGGUGUGCAAGCUUGUUUCUGAGUAUAAAAUUCCGGUUAUUGUGCAGGCGGUUUUGAAGCAUUUAGGGCAUGUUAAUGCGGAUGCAGUUAUUGUUGAUGAAGAAGAGCUUCAUUGUCAUCAGAAACUUCAAGAUCUAUAUAGCUCUACUAAGGCUGCAAAGGUAAAAGAUAAUUUUGGUUUCUGAAGACUUUUCUCUUAAAAUCUCUUGCUUUGGUUGAUCAUACUUCUUUCUUCACAGCGUUUGCAAAGGAAUAUCGUUCGUGGACUCGAAGGUUUCAUUGCGACAGGCACGAAAGUUGUAGAGAUAGGUAAGUUUGUUGUUUCCUCCUCCAUCUCAUUUGCAUAAUAUAUACUUCUUGGGAUCCAAAUUUGGAAUGCUGUAUCCAUAGGGUUGAAGUUUGCUGAAGAUUUUAAGAAAUAUGGAGACGAGAAUCCAGAUGCUAAUACUCCUCUCUCGAGAAUUGCGCAUCACUUUGGGACCUCUUACAAGUCCGUGGAAGAUGAGAGGGAAACUCUUCUUGGAACUCUUAGUGAGCAGGUAAAAAUUAUGGAACAAUUUCAUAUCAUUCUCUAAUCUUUUACCGGGCAGGGUGCUCGAGAACUUUGUUCGUGUAAUUGUUUAAUAAAGCUUCAGAAUCUGAUUUGUGUAGGUUUGUGAGCCAAUUCGUACAAUGAUAUAUAGUGCGCCUUUGGAGGAUGCUAGGCAUUUGGUGAAUCACUAUGACAGGCUGAGACAAGAAGUCGAAGCACAGGUAAAAGUCUUGUUGAACUUAUCUUUGGUUUGUUUUGAGGCAAUUUGAAGUUUCUUGAGGUAAAAAAUGCUUUUUUUUUAACAGGCAACUGAUGUACUGAGGAGAAGAUCAAAAUUGAAGGAAUCUGAUGUGUCUGAAGAAACCUACAUGAAGUUUAAGAAUUCUGAAUCGAGAUUGGCUGAGCUCAAAUCAAGUAUGAAAACCCUUGGCAAAGAAGCUACUAAGGCCAUGUUAGAAGUCGACAAUCAGCAGCAGAAGAUAACUUAUCAACGCCUCCGUGCUCUGGUAAUCUCCACUUCAAUCAUAUCUCACCUCAUGAUUUAUUUACUGGUCCCUGGAUUGGAUAUGAAAUGAAAUUACCAAUGCAGGUUGAAGCUGAGAGGUCAUAUCAUCGUAAUGCUCUUGAUAUCCUUGAUAAGCUACAUUCUGAGGUCAGUAACUCGUGCUAUUACAAAAUUUAGAUAAUGACUAUACAUACAAUUAGUCGCUUGAUCUGGUUGUCUUCUUGUUCAGAUGAUUGCUGAGGAAGAAGCUAUAGAAUCAUCACCAAAGUCCCUACCUUUACAUCUAGAGGCUGGUGUUUCUCAUCCCCAAGAAGAGACGAAUUCAAGUCCGCGUGCAGAGAUCAAAUCAAAUCACCGAGAAGAAAUCAAGCCUAGUCCCCAAGAAGUAACCAAAUCAAAUCCCAAUGACAAAAUGAAGUCUAGUACCCAGGAAGUUACCAACUCCAUUCCUCAGAAAGAUAUAAAGUCUAGUCCACAGAAAGAUGUCGAAAAGUCUAAUGGAUCUGAUGAUCAUCACAAUCAUCAACUUCUCACCCAAAAUGAAUCCUACUUUCUUGCAAAGGUGAUGCCUUUCAAAUACACUUGACUCGGUUAAGAGUCGAUUAUACAAAUCCCGGGAAACAAGAGUUAUGUUUUAUUGUUUUUUGACAGGUUGUGCACCCGUUUGACGCUCAAGCCCAAGGGGAACUGAGUCUCGCGGUUGAUGAUUAUGUAAUAGUGCGACAGGUACAUUUUCCCGCCACCUUUCUUUCGACUAUACAAAACAGAGAAAGAUCGAUGUAACAACAGAUCUUGGUGUUUCGUGAAACGAAUUUCAGGUGGCUGGGACAGGCUGGUCGGAAGGAGAAUACAAGGGCAAAGCCGGAUGGUUUCCGUCUGCUUAUGUGGAGAAACAAGAGAAAGCUCCUGCGAGCAAAAUCGUGGAAGCAAACCUGGAGCAACAAUGAUCUCUUUCUUUAACGUAUAACAUAUAUAUACAUACAUAAGUAUGAUAUGUUUCCACGAGUAAAUAUGAUCUGUGUAAGAGAUAUCACUGUGUUGUUUUUCUUCCUUCUUCUUAUGUCUCGUCAUAGUCUACUCUUGAGUCGAUCUCUGCACACCUGUGUGUGAAAAUCCUGUUGUAUCUUUUGUUUGAUGGGUCCUCUACUCUCUUCUGUAACUUGACUCUGAAAAUGUUAAUGAUCUUCCUUCUCAGUUCAGUUUAUGUUGCAGUUUUCUCGUAAAGCUUGCUUUUUUUUUUUCUUUAAAGUUCUGCUGAUGAAUCGGCAUUUCUAAUCGGACGUCGGUUGAAAUCAGCUUCAGAAACCGAAUCGAGUUUGAAUCUUAAGACUCUGUUUCUGGGUUUCGGUAACAAAGGGUAAUAAUAGUAUGCAGAAGAAGAAUGAAUUGUUCAGUCACAGAGCAUUCUACAAAGUUCACAACUUUGCAUUUUCAUUUCUCUUCUUUAUUAAUGUUUUAAACAGAGCAGUUAUUCUUCGGGUCUUUUGGUACUCACAAAAUCAAUACAUUUUUCUCUCAAUUGUGUGUGAAGACUGAAGAGUGUUUCUGAUAUGAACAUGGGUUCUGUACAAGCUCCAUCACUUAUUAUGUACAAUAAGAUGCUCAAAUCUCUUGCUGAGACUAAAAGUUUCACGAAAGUUUUGGCUUUGUUCGGUGAAUUGCGAGGGCAAGGCUUGUAUCCAGAUAAUUUCACCUUGCCGGUUGUUCUGAAAUCAAUUGGACGUUUGAGGAAGGUUUUAGAAGGUGAGAAAGUCCAUGGUUACGCUAUGAAAGCUGGGCUUGAGUUCGAUUCUUAUGUAUGUAAUUCACUCAUGGGAAUGUAUGCUUCAUUGGGUAAGAUGGAGAUCACUCAUAAAGUGUUCGACGAAAUGCCUGAACGAGAUGUUGUUUCUUGGAACGGGUUGAUUUCAAGUUAUGUUGGGCAUGGGAGGUUUGAGGAUGCCAUUGCUGUGUUUAAGCGGAUGAGGCGAGAGAGCAAUUUGAAGCCCGACGAAGGUACAAUCGUGAGCACUCUUUCGGCUUGUUCUGCAUUGAAGAAUUUGGAUAUUGGUGAAGGGAUUCACAGGUAUGUUGUGACAGAAUUUGAGAUGAGUGUUAAGAUUGGGAAUGCUUUGGUGGAUAUGUUCUGUAAAUGCGGGUGCCUAGAUAAGGCUAGAGUGGUUUUCGAUUCUGUGAGAAGCAAGAAUGUCAAGUGUUGGACUAGCAUGGUUUCUGGAUACGUUAGUAAUGGUAGAAUUGAUGAGGGUAGAGAGUUGUUUGAGAGAAGUCCCGUGAAAGAUGUUGUUCUUUGGACAGCUAUGAUGAAUGGGUAUGUUCAGUUUAACCGGUUUGAUGAGGCGUUGGAACUGUUCAGGUGCAUGCAAACCGAGGGAGUUAAGCUUGAUAACUUCGUGCUAGUCUCUCUCUUGAAAGGUUGUGGGCAGACGGGAGCUUUAGAGCAAGGGAAGUGGAUCCAUGGGUACAUAUAUGAGAACAGAGUUGCAGUAGAUAAAGUAGUUGGUACUGCUCUUGUAGACAUGUAUGCAAAAUGUGGGUGCAUAGAGACAGCUCUAGAGGUUUUCUAUGAAACCAAGGAGAGAGACACGGCUUCUUGGACAUCACUUAUCUACGGUCUUGCCAUGAACGGGAUGUCAAGGAGAGCACUGGAGUUGUAUUACGAAAUGGAAAAUGUCGAUGUCAGAUUAGAUGAUAUUACCUUUGUUGCGGUUUUAACAGCUUGUAAUCAUGGUGGAUUUGUAGCAGAAGGACGUAGAAUUUUUCACUCGAUGACCAAAGAACAUAAGAUCCAGCCUAAAUCAGAGCACUAUAGCUGUCUGAUUGACUUGCUAUGCAGAGCUGGAUUGUUAGAUGAAGCAGAGGAAUUGAUAGAUAAGAUACAAAAUGAAAACGAUGAAACUCUAGUUCCUGUGUACUGUUCUCUGCUAAGCGCUGCUCGGAACUAUGGGAAUGUCAAGUUAGCUGAACGGGUUGCGGAAAAGCUCGAGAUAGUGGAAGUUAGUGAUUCCAGUGCUCAUACUCUGCUUGCAAGUGUAUACGCAUCUGCCAAUAGAUGGGAAGAUGUAGCCAUUGUGAGAAGGGAAAUGAAAGAUUUGGGAAUCAGAAAGUUUCCUGGUUGCAGCUCUGUAGAGGUUGAUGGGAUUCCUCAUGAAUUUGUUGUUGGAGAUCCAUUAUGUCACCCAAAAAUGGAUGAGAUAAACUCAUUGCUGCAUCAAACUAAAAAUUGGAUGUUGGGUUUGGAACAUGAAGAAAAUGAAAUUUAGAAACUUCACUGUGUUAGAUAACGUAACAUGCAACCUAUACCAAUCACUUUCUAGCUACUCCCCUUAAGUCAUGAACAUUUGCUUCCCUGCUUUAUGGUCCAAGUGCUCGUGAAUAUAAGCUAAUGAAUCGGUUUUGAAUCGAUAUCAAGAUUUAAUGUCAGACUGUUUCUUGCUUAAUGCCACAAAGGAUAAUAAUAUGGGAAAGAAGACGAUGAAGAAACAUGGAUUAUUUCAAAAGAACAAUUCAGAGGCAGAGACCAGUUUUUCUACAAGGUCACAACUAUACAUUUCAAUUUCAUGUUCAAAUAAAAGUUUUUUUUACCAAAAAUCAGGAGAAACAAAAAAAAAAGAAGAGAAAAGGGGAUGAAAAUGAAUGGCUCGAAUCUUGUAAAACUGGGAGGAAAAUUAAAUGGCAACACAACACAAAGACUAAUGAUGGCUCUUCACUGGCAUUUGCACGUUUUCUUGGGGAGCAAAGCCGGACAUUGAGUAGACACAAGGCAUUUGAAGAUUUUCCCCUGAAACCACCAGAUUCUGUUGACUUGUUCUCGGGUUUUUCAGCUGGUGGGUUCAUGCAAUCAAUCAGAGCUGGAAUCAUAAAAGUCGCUGGGACAAGGAGUCAUGACCUCUGACUCAAGUAACUGGACAACCCGAUGCAUCGUGGGACGCUCUUCUGGAAUCGAAGACACGCACUGUGUUGCUAUUGAUAGAAGAGCAUCAAGGCUCUCUAUCUGCAUUCCUUCACAGUUCGGCUCAACAAUCUCCCUUGGCCGAUUUUCGCUGAUCAAGAACUUUAGCUGCAAAGAACAUCUAACCAAAGUCAAAAUUUGCCGAAUCAAAAUGUCAAUAUCGAAAAAGGAUGUCACUUGCAUACCCAACCAACAACGUUAAGGCCUUUCUCGAUGAAGGAAGCAUCAGUUGGUCGUUUCCCACUCAUGAUUUCAAGAACCAAAACCCCGAAGCUGUAUACAUCGGUUUUCUCAGUUGCUCUACCACUUUGCAUAUAUUCUAUCAAGUGGAAGUCAAAUGAGAAAGUCUCAGCAUUUCAAAAAUCAAACCUUUAUGUAAGUGAAGACUCUUAAAUGGGCAUUUACCUGGAGCUAAGUACCCAAAUGUGCCAGCAACAAUGGUUGUAAUAUGAGAUUCUUCGUCUUCCAACAACUUGGCAAGACCAAAAUCCGAUACACGAGCCUCAAGAUUGCCAUCAAGCAAAAUGUUGCUCGACUUUAUAUCACGGUGGAUAAUCCUAGGAGAACAAUCAUGAUGCAAAUAUGAUAACCCUUUCGCAGCUCCUAUGAUGAUAUUUACACGCGAAUCCCAGUCCAAUUGCUCGCCUCUCUCUACUAAUUCAAGAACCAAUACUUUCUCAGUGAAUCAUUCAUAAAUACGUAAGAGAGCCGUAAAGAGAAGACUGGUCAUACCAUGAAGUGCUUCAUCAAGGCUACCACCGGGCAAGUAAUCAUAUAACAGUAGCUUUGAUGUUGGAGAAUUGCAAUAUCCACGUAGAUUCACGAGGUAUCGGUGUUUGAUGCUCCCAAGAAUCUCAAGCUCCCUCUCAAAAAAACGAUCAAACCCUUCGUUUAACUUUACAAUUCUUUUCAAAGCAAAAACAUUGCCAUCAUCCAUGGCCAGCUUAUACACUGUUCCGAAGCCUCCACACCCGAUUAUGUGCUCUUCAUUCAACAUUUCCAGUUUCUUAAUGAUGUCUUUGGAAGAGUAAGGCAAAUCUCCGUGGAACAUCACAAUAGAUGCACCUGAAUUGACAAAUAUUGAAGCUUUAAGAGAUGGAGAAACUUGAACUUUUCUACUUUAUUAUGAGAUAAUAUCUACAAAAAGAAGAAUCAACAUGGCUCACCUCCACCAACAUCCACUGCAAGGCUUUUACUCUCGGCUUUACCGAACUUUUUAUAUAGAAAGCAUCCCCAAAAACACAUGAGUGCCACUAGAAGCAGCGCACCUACGGUUGCUGAUGCACUAAUAAGCAGCUUACCAGAAUUUUUCUUUUGAUUUUGACCUAUAAUGUAGGAGGCACCAAAUAUAUAUAACAUUAUUGAUAGAGCCACAACAGAAGCUGUCUUAGAAAACUGCUAGAAUACAUUAUUGCUUUACCUGCUGAUUGGGAAUUUGAAGAAGGGUUUCCACUAUCAUCUUCGCACACGACAGCAAUUUGCUUUCCACACAACUUACGAUUUCCAAUGAAGCUGUAGAGGUAAUGUAUCAGUUAGAAAAUCUAAUAAAUCUCGUCUACACUGACACAAGCUGGUUAAAUGAUUACUAUAGUUCAAAAUAUCAUCCCAAAAUAUAACCGAAGCUUUUAAAGGUCAGCUGUAGAAAUGUAACUUUAAGAAGCUUUAUUGUUUAAACUCUGCAAGGAGAAAAGGAUUUAUUAUCUUACGAGUUCUUAGAAAAUCCGGAGAGCACACCGUCUGAAGGUAUUUCCCCCACCAGGAAGUUGUUUGAGACAUUGCUUCAUAAGACGGAUGAAACAGAAAUAUUCAGAGAACUGGAAUAUGAAAAACUACAGCGGAAGAUAGAGAUUAAGGUGCUCACAAGUCACUAAGCUUUUUCAGCUGCGCAAGUGAAGCAGGGAUAGAUCCACUGAGAGAGUUGCUUGACACAUCCCUUGAAAAUCAAAUAAACAAGUGGAAAACCAUUUUAGUCAAGAGAAGAGUACAACCACUAUUCGAAAUAAGUGAAACCGGAGAAACCACUAUUGUGCUUGUCAAAUUUUAAUUCACACUGCAGUCAAUGAUCCUAGAUGGCGAGAGAAGUAAAUGGAACAAAACACUAAUAGAUAUUGCAGAGACCAAAAGACUGAUGCAUUUGCAACUAGAUGGAAGAAAAAACACCAUACAGCUUUUGAAGGCUAGGCAGGUCUCCCAUUUCAGCUGGGAUUGGUCCACUUAAGUAGUUACUCUGCAAGUAACUGCAAAAAACAGUUGGACAAUUUUGAUGACCUUGAAAAAUUGGAUUUGGUCUCUCAGAUACCAUGUGGAAUCAGCAUAAAUAUCCUGGAGAAGCGCUUACAUUCCCUCCAACGCCGUGCAAUUUCUCAAUGUUGUAGGUAUUGGUCCAUACAAACCAUUGUUGUGAAGCAUUCUGCAACGUCACACUGAUGAUCAGCAUAAGAGUAUAGUCUUAAGCAUUCAAAAUUGAAAUAAAGUUAGAGAGGACAUACAAAAGCCUCAAAUGGUCCAGAUUUCCAAGCUCAGGAGGUAAAAGUCCGUUUAUUUUGUGAUAAGUAAGAUUCCUGCGAAACAAGAAACAUUAGAGACCACAGAUACUGAAGAAAAAAAAAAAUUUUAAAGCCCAACAAGUUUCAAAAAACUUACAAGGUUAUAACUCUUUUCGUUUUUGCAUCACAUGUCACUCCAUUCCAUUUACAUGGAUCCGGAUCCUCUGGUCUCCACUGAUGGAUGAAACUAUCUGAUCUACUAACUGCAUUUCUGAAGCUCAGAAGCGCCUCGCCUGAAGAAUGUAAGGAGCCAAAAAAAGGAUUAAAGCUCAACAAAAUACCCAGAAGCCAAUAAAUAGCAAUAGUGAUUCACAUCACUGUACCAUCAGAGCUAAUCGCUUGGAUUUCAUUUGAUAGUGCACAAAGCAAUGAGAUCAAAAGAAGCCAUGACCAGCAGCUUUUCAUCUCACAGAUGCCCAUCAUGGCACUGUCCAAGCAUAAUAGAGUUACUACAAAUCAUUUGAAAGAACAGCCUCUCCUGAAAACAGAGGAAAUAUGUAUUGUUGUCAGAUUAUAUGAUUACUAUUCCAGGGCAACAAUUGUAAUUAAUUCAUUGAUUAGCAUAAAACCAAACAACUGAUUCUUAAUUACAAAUCAAAGCUCUCCACACAACCUUUUGCAUGCUCUCAUCUACAUUUUGAGUACGCAGAACAGUGGAAUUGUCACAAACCGAUCAAACCCACUUCUUAAUUUCUAAAAUCAGAAAGCAAGAGCGAGAUUCUGCCAAAAUUCCAAAAUUUAUCAUCAACCACGAGCUCAAACAGCUCACGUGUAGCUGAGAUUACGAAAUUUCGAGAUACCAUUUUUAGUCCUAGAAAAAGAACCGAAAAGAAGAACCAAAGCUUCAAAAAAUUUAAACAAAUCCAAAAACUCGAAAUCGGAAAACGAUUCAAGCGAUACACCAAAACAGCACUCUUCACAGAUUCAAAGGUUACAACUUUAAAGCAAAAGAAUGAAAAGAUGGUAAAUUUAGAUGAACCUCAGAAAAAUGGAUCCACGAGGAGGAGGAUGAACAAGAAUAGGACAGAGGAAGAAGACGACGACUAAUUGAGCUGUAAAGCAAACUAUAACUAAUGGAACAAAAAAAAAGACUUUUUUGUGUAUAUGUGUGUGUGAUUUAUGGUAGGAUUUGAAGAGAGAGAAAUUAGAGAGAGUGAGAGAGUGUGAAGAGUGUUUAUUAGUAAUUUGCAAGAUGCUUUCUUCUCCAAAGCAUCGGCUUACGACCAAUGAGAGAAAACGAAGUGGGGCUCGCACGUGCCGACCACGACCACCCGCACGUGCUGACCGACGCUUUCUUUAUCUGUAACUACGAUAGAAACCCAAUUAUUAUGCCAGCUAGACCUUAGCUAGCCUAAUCUAACUUGUCGAAAAGUUUAAAACCACUAUUGGGCCCAUUUAGAGACCCAUUAAUCUAACUAACGGGCCAUAUUUUACAAGCCCACUGGUCGAAAUUAGAAGAAGCCAUCAUUGUUGCUGUUGUCUUUCAGCUUUGCGUUUUAUCGGAAGAGACACAAAAUGGCUGCGGCGGCGUCUCUUUCCCUGAAACCGCCGGCGAGCUUCUUCUGCGGCGGAAACCGACGUCAAGACGGAAAUAGAACCGCCGCUGGAUAUUCUGUCGCACGAGUUUCUCGAGGCGAACGGUUUCAUGAGAGUAUCGUACGUCUCUCUGCCUCGACUGUGUUGUUCCUCGGUUUAAGCCUCCGCGUCUGCUCUCCGGCUUCAGCUCGAAUACCUCCUCCGCCAGUAAUCUCUCCUCAUUCCGUCACAGAGAAUGAAAUCGAAUCAGAAAUUGUAGCCGGUGCUGGAAAAUUGACUUAUCUCUCGUUACUCUUCAAUGUCGAUUUUAACUAUUAGAUUUGAAUUUCUUAUUGAUGUUUGCAGGUGAGGAGAAGAAUCAGGUAGCUCUAAACGAAGAUGAAGAGAAAAGAUUAGAAGCAGAUUUCGAAGCCUAUAAGGCUAAAGUGUAUUCUCUGACCGUUCCCCUAAAAGUCGUAGCCCUGCGUGGUUCAGUGCCACCAUCAUGGAUCAAGGUUUAGUUUUAGUUCUCGAUUUUGAGAAAAUUUCUCCAUCAUUUUGCAUCUUAGCUUGUAGUUGAAAUGUCUUUUGUUGGGAUUCUCUGGGUUAAAUUCAGGAGUUCAUGAGCUCACAAGGGAAGAGAGUGAGGUUGAAAACGCGGUUCCUUGCAAAUCUUGAAGAAAUCUUCUUUGAUCUGUCUAAGCCUACUAGAAAAGGAAAAAAAGGGUCUGCUUCAACAGCAGCUGCUGAUAUGAUCAGCAUUGGUGAUUCUUGGCUUAGUUUCGCGAUAAAGGAAAAGCUGAUUGAGCCAAUAAAAGGGAUAGAAGAUCAAGACUGGUAUAAAGGCUUGAGUGAUAAAUGGAAGGUGAGAGUUUAAAUCAUCAGUGGUUUUUAUCACUGUGAAUAUCAGUCUUAUUGAUUAAAGAGAUUAAGUUGUUCCACUAUAAUUCUUCUUGUGUUUCAACUUUUCGUACUCUAUAAGCUUGGAAGUGUUCUUAGGGUUCAUUUCAUGACUUAGAAAGUCUCAGAUUUAUCUCCGCAGGAACUAUGCAGGAGAAAAAGCUCCCGACGGUGAAACGUGGGCUGUGCCAUACCGAUGGGGCACCAUGGUAAUAGCAUACAAGAAGAGCAAAUUUCAGCAGUAUAAACUGGCUCCAAUAGAGGUUUAAUUUAACUUUAUUGUUUGCUGUGCUCAUCGACUAAGUUGGAAUGUUGUCCAACGCCCAACGGUGUGCCUAGUUAUAAGAAGUUGAAUAUCACUGAGCAUUCUUCCGGAUUUAGGACUGGGAGGAUCUGUGGCGACCUGAGCUUGCCGGGAGGAUCUCAAUGGUGAAUUCUCCUAGAGAGGUUGUUGGUGCUGUUCUCAAAUACAUGGGAGCAUCGUACAACACGACAGACCUGGAUUCACAAGUUACUGGUGGAAGACUCGCUGUAGAGAAAAAUCUAGCAUCGCUUAUGAAACAGGUUCUUGCUUUCUCUCUAUCCAUACGCUAAAUAGAACACGACUUUGUUUGACAUGUGCCAUAGAAACUCUUUACUUCUUGAGUAAAAAUGACAAUUUUUACUUCUCUUUUUCUCGCAGAUUAGACUGUUUGAUAGUACCAACUAUUUAAAAGCUUUCAGUGUCGGAGAUGUCUGGGUCACUGUCGGUUGGAGCAGCGAUGUUAUCCCUGUCACAAAACGUAUGUCUAAUGUUACAGUGAUUGUUCCCAAGUCCGGUGCCACCUUAUGGGCUGAUCUAUGGGUAAGCACCGUCUUAAAGUUUAUUAAGUGCUUCGUUCUCUUAAGUACGAUAUAACAUUAUCUUGUUGCUAACCGUGAAGCAUCAUUGUUUUUAAAAGGCAAUCCCGGCUGUUUCUGACUCUGGUAAAGAAGCAGAAAAGAUGGGAGGAAGAGUGCGAGGCCCAUCUCCAUUAAUCCACCAGUGGAUAGAAUUCUGCUUACAACCCGCAAGAUCAUUACCUUUCACACGGGAAGUGAUUCCCGGUGCAUCUCCUUCAGCUCUCGAGGGUCCUCUGGUUAGAGAACCUGAAGAAACAAAGAAAAGCAGAGCGAAAUUGGACACAAACCUCGUCUCGGGUGUUCCUCUUCCAGAGAUCUUGUCUAAGUGUGAGUUCUUGGAACCUUUACCAGAGGCUACGCUAUUGGAAUACCGGCUUCUGAUCGAUAAUGUAAGGAAACAAAGCCAAGGAUCUGGCCUUGUGGAGAAACUUCAAGACAUUGUUUCGAUUUGGGUUCGAGGUUUUAGGACAAAGUUUCACUCCCAGAUUAAGAAAAACACUUGAUAAACUUGUCAAACAAGUGAAAUCAGAAUCAUUUGUAUACGAGGUGUAAGUCUAUAUUGAUUAAGCAUCCCUUAAACGUCAAUUCCUAAAUGCAUAAAAGCACGAAGAGCUGUUAGCAAGAAACUCAAACCAUGUAAAUCGGUCAGAUUCUGUUUUUUUUUAUAUAUAUAUAUAAUUUAAAAACCGGAUCAAUUCCUGACAUAAAGAAUGGUGUAAACCGGCUUCAACAAAGAAAGAAAGAACUAAAAUUCUCCAAAAAACUACGAUGAUUGGACUAAAGAUAUUUAAUUCAUCAAGCUUCUUCUUCUUCAUCUUCGCUGCUCUCUACCAAAACAACAUUCUUCUGUGUCUUAGCUCUUUUACUUGAUCUGCUUUUACAUGUCUCUUCAUUUGUUGGAUCUUCACCAAGUUGUUCAGAGACUGCAUCCUGUCUCAUCACUUCGAGAAUCCUGUCUCCGUACUUCUCUGUUUUCAGUUUUCCUAUAAUACUCUCCAACUGCAAAUCCAACCAAUAAAGCUUUAAAAGAGGGAAGCCAUUAAAUAUAUAAGACUAAGAAAACAAAGGAUUUUAGUAACGCAAACUCGCCUCUUGUAGUGAAUCUGGUUUUCGGGAACUUAUCGAGCCAAUCUGCUGAGUUGAGAGGACCGUGUGAGGGAGUAUGCUUCCAUGAGCUGCAGAUAUCUCUUUCCGUAGCUCGUCAAGCUUGAAUUCUAUUCCGGAAUAUGAAACACUUCUUUUUGAUUUCUUGUUGAUUUGUCUGCUUGAGGUUUCUGUUUUGAUCGUCUUUCUUCCUGUUCCGGAUCACAUGGACAGGUUUUGUUUCAAGAGUUUUGACUAUGAAAGUAGAGAGAGAAGGCCAAAGCUAUAGCCAACUAAUGGCUAAAACAUUGAUAACUCAUAAAUGAUGCUUUCAAUGUUCACUGCUUCUAUUGAAUUCUAUUGAUUUGAUAAAAGGGCCAUUUGCAGAUCCUUAAGCCUAUAGUGUUCAUGUGAGCGUGUUGAAAAGAAGGCAAUUCAUUACUCCUUACCUUGCAACAAUUGGUUUGCCAAUGGUCCCGUUGUUACAUAAGCGUUUGUUGAGUAUGGUGUGUGCUGGAAUUCUUCUUUCUGCGGAAAAAAAACACAAAAAAAAAACUCAAAUACAGCCUGAAGAAACUAAUGGCACAAUCAUACAGAGAUUUUAAGGCAUUGCUCGAUAUCAGAGUUUUUGUCUGACAUGUUAUUACAUGAGCUGGUUAUCAAGUGUCGAUAUUACAAUCUGACAAAGAACUAAAAACAUGGAGAAAAGAUCUUACCAAUACCGAGUCAACAAUCAGUUUUAUCACGAGGUGUUCUAUCUCUUCUCUCUUUAGCUCAGCACCUACGGUUAACCACAGCCGAUCAACAACAAAUAACAAAUAAUAGAGCGAGAGAUUAAGGCUUUAAAGAUUGUUUGCAGAUCAAGCUAAUGAAAGAAACUAACUUAGAUCCUUGUGCUUAGUUCUCAGUUUGUCACCCAGCUGUAACAUUGUCACUCUUUGAUCCUUGGCUUGCAUUUCUUGCACCAUAGAAACCACGAGCUUAGCUAGGUCUGCAAAAAAAAAAAAUCAGGACGCCGAGAAAUCAUUAUGAUAUUAUGACUGAUGGCUGAUAGUGGUUGAGAAAUUGCAAGCAACUGUUCUACAAGAAUGUAUUUUAGGGAUAUACCCGAUACAUCAACUUCCUUGACCUCACUUGACAAGGCACAGUUGUCGCACAUUCCUAAACAAUCCAGAGUAACGAUCAGCACAUCAGAAAAUCUAGAAUCAUUAUGAUGUUAUGACAUAUUCUAUCAGUAUUGGAAUACUAUAGACAAGAAUACCAUUGCAAUCUUGUGAUGGCUCCCCAAAAUGACGGAAAAAAGCACUUCGACGACAUUUUGUUUUAGACUGUAACAAAGGAAUUCAGAGAUUAUGGUUCAUAAGACAGUGUACAAUUUAGAACAUUUCAAGAUCAUGACACUUGAAGCUAGAUAAGAUACAAGGCAAAACAAAAGAAAACAAUCUAGUCACUUUAAAGCAGGCCGAACAAGGACACAAACCGCUUGGAAGUUGGUACAUUAGCUAAUACAAAGUGCUGCUAAUUGCCGAAGUUUGCUUCAUAUGUUUAAUAACGAUAAUGCACUCUUCACGAAAGAGGAAAUGAAACAGCAUACCUGACAAUAUCGUACUAUAUCAUAGAGGUUCUGCAGACCAGAAUACUCGUAGAAGACCAUGGAACUCUGUUGGAGGAGAAAGAAAAGCAUCACAAAAAAAUUUAUAGCACAGAUAAGCAGGGUACAGUAAAAGUGAUGCUUACCUGCCUGGGAACAUCACCCGAACGGAAAAAGAGGACGCACUCAGAUGGGAGGCCAUCACGACCAGCACGACCACUCUCCUGCAGUAUGGUGUAACGGUGAUAAGUAGCAACCUCUUAACCACAUCGAGUUUUAGUAGACAAGAGACUAGAACCUGGUAGUAAGUUUCCAUUGAUUUGCUCAAACUGUGAUGGAUGACAAACCUGACUACAAAAAUGCCUCAUAUAUCAGUUGGAAAAGAAAUUAAAAAUCGGUGAUUCAAAAAUGAGAAAGAUGGUGGUUUCUAGUAAUACCGACAAUUUUUAGAAAUCUAAAGGUACUAUUAAUAUGUCACUGAAAGAGCAAUAGCUAGCAAGAGAAAGAAAUCGGAAGUAAAGGAAACUGAAAGUCAAAGCUAAUUAUAUAUCAAUAACACUACUAACCAUCAGGCUUGUUGAUUCCCAUGCCAAAGGCAACCUGCAAAGCAACAAUUGAAUUGAUUAAUGUACAUCACUGUACCACAGAAUAAUGGAAUGAUAACGGAGGAGGAAUAUACAUACUGUUCCAACAAUGACCUGCAACUUGUUCUUACUCCAUCUGUGAACAUGAAAAAGCAACGAAAAUCAGGUAAUACAGCAAAUUGAUCAUCAAGAGCAGUCAUGCUGCAUCAGAGCUGGACCUUACCGCAUAUGCACUUUUUCACGCAUAUUUACAUCCAUCUCUGCGUGGUAAAAAUCAGCAGAGAUCCCUCUAUCUCGUAAGUCACCUGCAAUCUAUCACCAUUGCUUGUAAGAGAAAAAAUUAAAGCAUUUCUUCACCGAUCCAAGGUUCAAUUGAACAAUAUCAAUGGUCAGGAAUGAAGGGUGCAAAAUAAGUAUAUAAUGGUAAGGUCAGAACACAUGAUGAUGUGUGAAUUUCAGAUACAAACCUGUUCACACUCCUUUCGAGAGAAACAAUAGACUAUUCCAGAUUCAUUGUUAGAAUAUGAUUCCCGUAUGAAUUCUGCUAUUUCAUCAACCACAACUUUACCAACUAGCGACUUUUCUCGUACCUGCAAGACAAAUUUACUGCUCAUGUUCACGCCAUGAAACUAUCCACAGCUUGAGAAACGUAUAUUAAUAAAAUUAAUUAGUAAGAGUACCGAGUAAAAGAGAUUUGGCCUGUUAACACUGCUAACAAAUUUGACGCAUUUAGGAAUAUGCAGCAUCUCUAUCAGAUCAUUUUGGACCUUCUGUGUAGCAGUUGCCUGCAACAGAGACAUAAAGAAUUAGGAAAAAUGAUAUUCAGUCUAAUAUCAGUCCAGAGAACUCAGGUUAGAAGAAAAUUGGUCAAAAUUAUAAGCAUAGUAAGGUAAAGCAAGCUCUCUAGUGUUGACUGAUUUAAGCUCCCAGGGUAUACAAAAUGUAACAAAGAACUGGACGGAGAAAUUAUGAGGCAAGUGAGAAGAAAAAAAAGUAACAUACCGUCAACGCCACCAUGGGAACUUUUGGGAACUGAGUUUUUAGAAUGCUUAAGUUCUUGUAAUCAGGGCGAAAAUCGUGACCCCAUUGACUACAACAAUGAGCCUCCUGCAAAGCAACGUAACAUAGGAAAUUGAAAUGUAAAUUAGUUUGUAUCAACUCUGAGGAUAUUGUAAUGUAAAUUAAACCCAGAAAGAGAGAAGGUAGGCAGCAUACUAAGCAAGUUUGUGUAAGAAACUGAAACCAGGAAAGACUUACAUCAAUUGAAAUAAGAGAGAGGCGACCAGCAUUGUGGCACUUUUCAAGCUUUGACAUGAAUCUUUUGCUCUUUGAUACCUUUUCCGGUGUUACAUAUAGUAUCUUAAGGUCAUCUUCACCCUUCUCAAGUGCCUUGUAAACAAAUUUCUCAUUUUCCUUGCCAGAGGUAGAAGUCAGCAUGUAGGCUGAAAUCCCUAGAGCAGCCAAACCCAUAACCUAAACAAUAACUCUGUAAAUUUAGCUGUUUCAUGAUCUUUCCGUGUACAAACUAUAUUCCCUAAGUUCAGUACUAACCUGGUCCUGAAUCAGUGAAAGCAAAGGGCUGACAACAAGAGUUGUACCACCACGAAGUAUAGCGGGAAGUUGAUAGCAAAGACUCUUCCCACCACCUGCUGCCAUGAUCACCAGGACAUCUCUUCCCGCCAUUACAGCGUUAAUGAUCUAUCAUCCAAGGCAAAAGAUUGAAACAUCAAUGCAAACAAGGAACCUAAAGUACCAUCCUUGAAAAAGACAUGAAACGAAUGCAGAGAAGUAACUUACUUCCUUCUGGUUGGCCCUGUACUUGGAUAUACCGAAAAUGUUGAACCUAACAUCAUCAGCACGCGAAUCCCACUCGAAUGGCUCAGACCAAUUCUCUAUAGCACUCGAGCCAGCAGAUGCAACAGGACUUCCUGAAGCUGCUAGUGCUUUCAACAAUGUCUUUAGCUCAGACUUCCUCUCGUAUAACCUGUCUUGAUGCUCGAUCAAUGCACUUAUCUGACCUGCAGAGGCGAUUCCCAUCAAUACUAGUUCAAAAACUAAAACUUUCACAUAAAACUAACCUAAAAAGAUCUUUUUUACGAGAAUUUACGGGAAAUUAACCUAAAACAUCAAUGGAUGUUUUCUUAGAAAAACGGAGCAUAUUCCCAGAACCAACCUGAGAAACCGAAAAGCAAAUUCGAAGAACAAGAACACAAAAAUAGAAACGAGUAAAAACGAAGAGAUAUAACCUUGAACAUCUUUGAUCUCAAGCUCUAAGCUCUCAAGCUCGUCCUGAAUCGCUUGACUUUCCAUUGAUUCGCGGGCUGAAUCAACGGCGUGUUUUACCCUUCCGUCGUCGGCGUCACUUCCAUAAGACGGCAACGGCUCAUUAGCUAGAGGUGAAGCAGUACAUACUGGGCCUGGGUUAUAACUAUCAUAUGGGCCUUUUUUAUGGCCCAGUCUGUUCGUGGCCAUUAGCUUCUCUCUUCUUCUUUUUUGGUUUCUGUGUGUUAAGGCAUAUAAUUUUAUUUUUUUGUGUACACUAAUUUUUUUAUUAGCUAAUGAUGCUCAGCGUAGACUUAAUUUAUGAUAAGAUGUUUCUCUAUUCUUUUCCAUCAACAAAUACUACUCUAUCUUAAAGUGUAAAAUUAGAAUAGUGGUGUGAUAUACAAAAAUACCUGAUACAUUUGACAUAAUUAUAAGAUGUUUGUGAGCAAGUGAACAAAAAAGUUUAUGGUUAAUUUAAUUGAAUAAAAAGGUGAUUCUUUGGUCGAUAUUGGUAAACACAAUCCAAGUUGGAGACUGGUUUGUCUCAAAAAGCUGCAUAACAAGGAGUACGCGUGAAAAAAAAGUAUUCGUGUAGGCAAAGAAAAAUGAUGUAAUUCAUUGAAGGAGUGGGCUUUUCUAAAGAAUCAUUUAAGAUAAGAUCACAACUAUAAGGAUUUGUUAGAAUAUAUCAUAUAGAAUAUAUAAAUUAUAAAUUCAGAAAGGAAGAAGAGGAGUGAUGAGGUCAAGUGAACUGGAGCUUGAACCUUGAAGGGGAUAUGGAUUCAUUCGAUAUGUCCAAAGACCACAUUUACGAAAAUUUCGGAAAAGCAUGACAAGACACGUUAGCUUACUUAUUAUUGAUUAGAUUCAUGAUAUGAUAUUAUGAUUUAUGGUAUGAUGAAUAAAAAUACGCUAAGUAUUUUUUUAAUUGUUGGUUUAAAUAAUAGUAAUAAAAAAGCUGAAUGUACCCAUUUUUUCCUAGGAAAAAAAAAUGUAAUAAAACCGAAACAAUGAACUAGCAAUUUAAUCCUUCGAUGGAAAGGAUAUUUCACGAUUCUGCAUUAUUCGGUCGAUAAUAGCUUUUAAUAAAUUCGUUAAAAUAGAGAUCGAGCCAUCGAGGUAAAAGAUUAUCGCAUUACGUUUCCUCCAAAUUUGGGAGGCUAAAGUCCGGGCAUAUGAAGACUGGUGAGUAGUAAGAGUAUAAUUGUAUGAAUAUAGUUGAUAUUAUUGUGUAUUAACGUCAACUUAAAUUUUUCAUGUAAAUAAUAGUAUAUUAUAUCACGUAUUAUAUCACAUAUAUAUAUGUGAUUCAAGCAUUUUUAAGCUAAACAUACUGAUAUUAAAUUGCAUUCAAAUUUCAGAGUGACGUAAAUUUUUUUUACAACCGCGAGGUUCCCAAUCAGCACUUGAAUUAAAACAUCCCAACCUUUAAAAUGUGAUCUAAGAAAUAACAAUAACUAAUAUAAAAGUAUUUGGUGUUCUAAUUAAUUUUCAUAAUUUACAAAAGUAGAACUAUCUUUGUUUCUGCAAAAAAAAAAAAAAAUAGCCAUCAUUAGUCUUAGUGAUCCGAAUGUUUUUUUAAUAGUUAAUUUUAUUUUCAUGAAUUUGUCAAUACCAAAUAAUUUUGAUUUCUGAGGUUUAAAAGUAAUUUGGCAGACACAAAACGGAAACAAAACAAAACAAAAAUAAUAAUAAUAAUAGAGACGAGACACAAGAAUUAUUUAACUUUUAAUAUGAUAUAUAUAGUUUUAAAAAAUGAAAAACAUGUCGGGACCGAACAAAAGCUGCGAGUCCUGCGACCCAUACCGAAUAACUAAUUAAAUCCCCCCACCUCUUAUUUCAAAAUCAAUACACGACAAAACUACCUUUUUGCCAAUUACGUCAUCGCUUGUGUCAUCAUUAUUCCUUUGAAACUUAUCUACACUAGUUGAGAGUUGAAAACUAACAACGAAGCUUUGCAUCAUUCCCACAGUUUCGAGGUUCAUCAAACACGUGUGAUUGCGCAUAUGAUUCUUCGUGUAACCAAUUUAAUACUAGUAUAAAAAUGCAAUCAAAGCAAGAAAACGUUCUAUUAUUAGAUACGAAAGAUAGAACUAACUCAUAAACUAAAUCAUUUAGUUCACAAUAUAAAUGAUAUAUUAAUGUAUAAACUCAUGUAAGAAAUAGGCUAAACUACCGAUCGAAUUAUCUCAUUAAAUAUAUCUAGUUUGUAUAGUGAGAUCUCAUAGUAGAAGUCAUAAACGAGUUAGUUCAUUUUGGCACAUCUGUUAUGGCCUGCUCGUAUAGAUCACAUAUAGCCUGCUCAAUUUGUUUUUUCUUUUACCAAACUCGAAUAUCCGUAAUAAUCAAGUGCUGAAUAAUAAAUUAAUAACCUAUGUAAUAAAUUUUUGUAUUGACAAUAAUAUAUUUAUAAAAAAUUAUCAUACAUAGUUUAAUGCUUUGUGUUAAUGUCCUUAUUAUACCAUCGUUAAGUUCAACUAUGUUUGGUAAUGUAUGUUCUUGACCCAAAAACAAUUAUAUAAUAAAUUAAUAAUAGGUCCAUGAUUGUUUAUUCAUUUGUAUGACUUACCAAAAUUAAGUCAAAUAGUACCUAGAUUUUCUUCGUUUUCACGAUUCGAUGUGUAUGUCAUCUGACUCUAUACAUGGCGUGCAUGCAUGAAAGUAUACAUCUCAAUUUCUCCUCCACACAUUCUCUUUUAAAUAAAAACACGACUCACACGGCCCAAUACGGCAAUACGUAACGAAUUGUUUUUACUAAUAACAGUUUAGUUAAUACGACGGUUGUUACAACUAGCCCUAGUCACAUAGAUGUACAACUGAAUGAACUGGUACACAAAAUUAAACUCAUAGUACAAUUUAUAUCUUUCUUUAAAUAGCUGUCUAAACUUAUUGGCUUUUGCUUGUUGGUAACAAGUGGUUAAUCCAGAGGAAAAUUUUAGAAAUUACAGCAAAAAUCGACUUAUAAAAUUAGAAAUAGUUUAAAUCAAACAUCAAAACUCGAUUGAAGUAUGUUUAGCCCAAAUAGAUUUCAAAUACUUUAGACAGCACUGUUUACGAACUUUCCAUUUUUAGUCAACACGUUACACUUACACUCUGAUAUGUAAGCAGAUAUAUGACUCGUAUGUAAAUCCAACCAUUAAAUAACAUCCUCUCAAUACUUCAAUAGCCUCCCUGAAACAACUUAUCUACCUUUUUCGUUAUAAAAAAAAAUUAUCUACGUUUUCUCGAUAGAGUAAAACACUAAUUUUAAAGGAAUAUUGUAAAAUAGCACAAAAUUAUUAUUUUUUUGCUUCUACCACACCAAAUUUAAAAUUCUGAAAUUAUUACAAAUUAUUAUCUGAAAAAUACUUUUUAGUUUUAAUAAAUUAAAAAUAAAAUAAAACAUUAUAUUUGUAUUUAUACUUUCUAAUUUAGAGUAUAGAUUUUCCUAAAGAAACUUUGGUUAGUUAUGUUAAUAUUAAAUUUGUAUUAAUAGUAAACUUUUAAACUAAUAAAGUUAAAUUGGAAAGAAAAAAACUUAAAGUAUGCUAUUUAUAAGAUCUACUUUAAAAUUUAAAGCGGUAUAACUCAUUUAGAAAUCCAGUAACUAUCUAAUUUUAUUGGGAAAAAAAACAUCAAGUUUUAUCUUCGAUUUAUUUUUCACGUCAUCUUCGACAUUAAUAACAAGUUUAUGUGGGUGUGCAGUAUUUUUUGUGAAUUUCUCUCUUGAUUAUAAAGUUUGCCGUGAAUAGAAAGAAAAGAAAAAAUAUCUACCUAAAAUACAAAAACAAAUUAGUUUGUAUCUGAAAAGAAGAGAGAUUAGUUGAGAGCAAGAGAGACGACGACAGAGAAGCAGUUCAAUUUAGAGCCACUCAACUUGAUCAUGAUAUAAUAAAUGAAAAGAGACGACGACACUCUUUUGUCUUUGUCGCUGCCACCACCAAUCUUUAUUUCAAUCAAUAAAUCUUUUUUACAUAAAUACGUGCUGUCGCAUGGAAGAAGCAGCUUUCUACAUUUAAUGCUUACAAACUUCACCAGAAACUCGUUUUCUAAUAAAUAAACUAAAAAAAUAAAUGGGACACAUCCAAAUACAUGCAUGUAUCGCUCACCGCUGUAUUGCAAUAAAAUAAGAAAGUAAUAUACUAUAUUAAUAAGAAAGAUUUUAAAUCUUUAUAAACCACUAUAGCAUGUCAGUUUCUGAUUAAUAAGAACAAAAGCGGAAACGUACCUUUUAGAUCCAUGAUUUAUGCUCUGAAUUUGGCUAUGGUUUUUCCACAACAAAUCUUGAAUAGCUGUAGAUCUCUGUUGAUGGGAUGCAGAGAGUUUUCUGUAUUUUUCGUUAGGGUUGCUGCGGAGACCAUAACCUCUCUAUUUAUAUAGAGAAUAAUUUCUAAUUCGGCCUGUCAUCAAAUUAGAAAUUACUGAGUGUAUCCUCACAUUAAUUUUUCAUAACACUUAUGCCCCAUUAGUCUUUUCUUUAAUAUCAAAAUGACCACAUAAGUUUUGACUACUUUAAAUAAUGACCCUAACACAUUGAUUAUACAUGUGUGACCCCAAAUAAUUCUUACAAUCUCCCACUGGGUCACAUGUGUAUCUGAAAAUGUGAUAGACUUUAUGAGCUCAAAAUUGUCAUUAUAUAUCAGGGCAUAAACAAUCACGUCCAUUAACUAUAGCAACAUAGGAUCAUGGCGGCCUUCAUUAUAGCAAUCAUAACUAAACCUUCCAUGGUCACUGAAAUCAAUAUAGUCAAAUGACAGAGAUCAAUUAUGAAAAGUGAAGUAUGAAAAUCACAUGAAAAGUGAUCAAUACAUGUCGAUUUUCAACUGGUCCUUCUUUAUUGAGAUCCUUUAAAUUUAUUGCACAAAGUGUAAACUAUAAGACUUUAUUUCUGAUCAGAAUAAAAUAUGUUGAAACACAACCAAAACAUAGAACCCAAAAACAAAUGACCAACACCCACUAAACCAAAUGACCAUCAAACACUGAAACACCCAUUCGAACAGUAUGCUCAUGAAAGACCUUGGGUGAAAUACCUUUUGUAAGAGGAUCAGCAAUCAUGGAGUUUGUCCCUAAGUGUUCUAUAGAAAUCUCUCCACUUUGUACUCUCUCCUGAACAACCAGGAACUUAAUUUUGAUAAACUUGGACUUUGUCGCACUCCUAUUUUUGUUGGAGUACAAAAUAACUGAUUUAUUGUCACAAUAUAUCUUUAGUGGUCUUUCAAUUCCUUAAAGAAUUCGCAGCCUUGUGACAAAAUUCUUUAGCCAAAGUCCCUGAUUGGAUGCCUCAAAAACUGCUACAAAUUCUGCCGCCAUUGUGUAGGAAGCUACAAGUGAUUGUUUUGCACUUCGCCAUGCAAUAGCUCCACCAGCCAACAGAAACACAUAGCCUGAAGUGGACUUUUUACUAUCUUGACAUCCAGCAAAAUCAGAAUCAGAAUACCCAAUGAUCUCCAAAUGAUCUGAUCUCUGAUAUUUGAGCAUAAAGUCCUUUGUUCUUUGCAGGUACCUCAUGAACCUUUUGGCUGCUUUCCAAUGGUCCAAACCUGGAUUACUUAAGUAUCUGCCCAAAACUCCAACAAUGUACGCUAAAUCUGGACGCGUACAAACCUGAGCAUACAUCAGACUUCCUACUGCAGAUGCAUAAGGAAUCUUUUGCAUUUCCUGAAUUUCCAAAUUUCCUUUAGGGCACUGACUGAGAGAGAAUUUAUCUCCUUUAGCGUCUGGGGUAUCACUUGGUUUGCAAUCCUGCAUGCCAAAUCUCUUGAGUAUUUUAUCGAUAUAGCUCUUUUGUGAAAAUCCAAGAAUACCUCGAGAUCUAUCUCGAUGAAUCUGGAUCCCUAAUACAAAAGAUGCUUCACCAAAGAUCUUUCAUCGCAAAAUUUUUCUUAAGAAAUCUCUUGGUCUCAUGCAACAUGCCUAUAUCGUUGGUAGCCAGAAGUAUGUCAUCAACAUACAAUACCAAGAAAAUACACUUACUCCCACUGAAAUUCUGAUACACACAAUCUUCAACCAAAUUCACCUCAAAACCAAAGGAGGUGAUUACCUCAUGAAAUUUGUGAUACCAUUGACGAGAAGCCUGUUUUAGCCCAUAUAUGGAUUUCUUUAGUUUGCAGACCAUUUUCUUUGAAUCACCCAUUACAAAGUUUUAUGGUUGCUCCAUAUAAAUCAUCUCAUCAAUGUUUCCAUUGAGAAACGCUGUCUUGACAUCCAUCUGAUGAAGCUCUAAAUCAUAAUGUGCAACAAGAGCCAUGAUUAUCCUAAAAGAAUCCUUUGAAGAAACUGGAGAAAAGGUUUCUUUGUAGUCAAUCCCUUCUUUCUGAGUAUAUCCUUUAGCCACUAGACGAGCCUUAUAACUCUCGACAUUACCACUUGAGUCCAAUUUGGUUUUAAAUAUCCAUUUGCAACCAAUUGGUUUCUUUCCUUCUAGUAACUCGACGAGGUCCCAAACUUUGUUGUCUAGCAUUGACUGAUACUCUUCUUCAGAAGCUUUAACCCACUUAUCUGAUUUAGAACUACCCAUUUCCUCACGAAAGUUGAUAGGAUCAUCUUCCAACUGGGUUUGAUUUUCCUCUUGUUCCAGAAGAAACACUAUGUAAUCAUCCGGAAUAGCGCUUCUUCUUUCUCUAGUGGAUCGCCGCAAAGGCACUUGUUCUUGUUGCACCACUUCUUGAGGAUCUUGAAUUUGACCUUCAUGUUCGAUAACAUCGUCAUCUUCAUUUGGAGGAAGUACUUCUGUAUCAACUAGAGGUUCCAAAUUUGCAUUUUCAAAAGCAACUAUAUGAAUCGGAUUAGAAACUGGAACCGAUUCUUCCUCAAAGAUGAUGUCCUUAACUUUAUUUCUCCCCCCAAAAUCAAUAUCCUCAAAAACGUGGCUGUUCCCGUCUCAAAAAUAAUUUUCUGUGUGGGAUCAUAAAACUUAUAGCCCCUAGAUCGCUCCGAAUAACCAACAAAGUAACUGCUCACAGUUCUGGAGUCCAAUUUCUUUUCAUAUGGCCUGUAAGGCCUUGCCUCAGCUGGACAUCCCCAAAUGUGCAAAUGCUUCAGACUAGGUUUUCUACCAGUCCAAAGCUCAUAAGGUGUCUUUGCAGUUGUUUUAGUUGGUACUCUAUUAAGAAUGUAAGCUGCAGUCUUUAGUGCCUCUCCCCAGAGUGAUUCAGGCAAGGUGGAAUGACAAAUCAUACUCCUUACCAUGUCCUUAAGAGUUCGAUUGCGUCUCUCAGAUACACCAUUCAUACUGGGAGACCCAGGCAUAGUGUACUGAGGAACAAUUCCACACUCCUCUAGGUAUCUAGCAAAUGGUCCUGGACGUUGUUCACCUGAACCAUCAUACCGACCGUAAUAUUCACCACCACGAUCAGAUCUGACAGACUUUAUCCUUCGCUCAAGUUGGUUCUCAACUUCAGCCUUAAACUUCUUGAACACGUCUAUAGACUCUGACUUUUCAUGAAUAAGAAAUAAGUAUGCAUAUCGAGAAUAAUCAUCAAUGAAUGAUAUAAAGUAUUGUUGACCGUUCCAAGAAGCCGUAGGGAAUGGUCCACAAAUGUCUGUAUGUAUCAACUCAAGGACUUCCGUAGCUCUAUAUGCACCUAAUUUCUUCUGUUUAGUCUGUUUUCCUUUAAUGCAAUCCACACAGACAUCACAAUUUGUGAAGUCAAUAGAACUCAAUAUACCAUCUGACACAAGUCGCUCAAUUCUAUUUCUAGAAAUGUGACCUAAGCGUUUGUGCCAUAGAGUUCCUGAACUUGCAUUUUCAAACUUUCGUUUAGUACCCCUUGAUUCAACACUUAAACUUUCAUCAUGAGAAGUUAAAGCGUCAAGCAUAUAAAGACCGUGAUUUUUUAUAAGUGUACUAGUUCCAAUUAAAAUUGAAUUUAAAGACAAAGUAGCUUUUCCAUGCUCAGCCAGACAAGAAUAACCAGAUAUGUCUAAAUAAGAACUGGAAACCAAAUUCCGUCUAAAAGACGGUACAACAAAAGUGUCUUUCAAAUCCAAAAAUUGACCAGUACUGAAAAACAAUCUAAAAUGCCCAAUUGCCUCCACAUCCACCGCAAAACCAUUAGCCACAUGAAUGCGUCUUUCAGCUUCAGUUGGUUCUCGGUAGCUCAGGCAACCCUGUAAUGAAACACUGAUGUUAGUAGUUGCACAUGAGUCUAACCACCAAGUGUUUCUGGGUACUUCAAUUAAGUUCACCUCAGAACAGACCAUAGCAAGGGACAUACCUUUCUUACCACGCCAAGCAUGAUACUUUUGGCAGUCCUUCUUCAUGUGUCCAGUUUUCUUACAAAAGAAGCAGGUAUCUUCAUCCUUAGUCUGCUUCUUUUGAGAUGGACCCUUAGCAGCAUCAUUCUUAACAACCUAAAUUUUCCUUCUUUUGCCCUGGUCCUUAGAGGUGUUAACCAUAUGAGCACUUUCAGACCUUUCUUGUUUCAUCCUAUCCUCCUCAUUCACACAAUAAGAAAUAAGCUCAUUAAGAGCCCAUUUCUCCUUACGUGUGUUGUAACUGGAUUUCAACUGAUUGAAUUGAGGAGGAAGGGAGUUCAAGACAAAAUGUAUGAGCAUUUCUUCCGGAAGCUCAAUCUUGAGAGUCUUGAGUUUUGAAACAAUGUUGGACAUUUCCAAAAUGUACUCCCUUAUGUUUCCUGUGCUGUGAUACCUCAUGGUACUAAAGCGAUACAGUAGCAAACUUAUUUCUGCCUUAUCACUACUCUCAAAACGCAAGUCCAUCUCAGCAAGGAACUGUUUGAGAUCAGAGAUCUCCUCAUUACCUCUAAAGGUUUCUGGAAUGGUGUCCAAAAUGAUCAUUAAACCAAUGCGAUUAGAACGUUCCCACUUUUCAUGAACUGCCUUAUACUCAGCAGUGCUGGUAUCUGUAGGAGAAGCAGGUUGUUCCAUCCUUAACGCAAGGUCAAGAUCCAUACACCCUAAAACAAUCUUAACUUUACUCUUCCAUUCCUUAUAGUUGGAACCAGUAAGUGUUGGAAUUGAACUUAAGUUUGCAGAUACUGCAGUAAAAUUCGCUGCAAAAUUGAACAAUCUUUAUUAGUAAUUUACUGCUAAACCGAAUUAAAUCAAUAAACAAAAAUAAACAAUUGUACAACCCAUCUCAAGAUAUCAAGUGCAACAUUAAUAUCAAGUCUUUGGACAGUAAUAUUAACUGCUAGUGAUACUCUUGUUGUAACAAUCAAACACUAACAAUAAUGCAUGAUAAACAAUAAACCUAUCUUUGGAUCGAUUUAUCAUUCACAUGUUUAUUCCUGAUAAUUAUCACGUGUUUAUUAUCACAGGUAUGUAUGUUAUUCGGCCGAAUACAAAACCUACUUUUGGGUCGAUUUAAUAUUCGCAUGAAUAUAUAUACACACAUAACAUUUAAUAUUAUCCAUGGAAAAAUAUCCACAAUAGAGGUUACUUUGGCAACAUAUUUGCAUCAAUUAAUCCACUUCAAAUAUUAAACUUGCACAAUCAAAAAUAUUUAUUGAUUAAAAAACUUAAUUAUAUACUUGCGCAGACAUAUAACAUAAAAUCUGGGGGUUCUAUAUGCAAGAAUAUUACAGUGACAAAACGGUUGAAGACAAAAAGGAAGGGAUUCCCCAUCUUAGCGCAACCUGGGUUCGAAUCCCUGGUGAUGUUAUAUGAAGUGAAGAGUUUCAUUAACAAACUUUUAAAGAAUUACGAAAAUACCCAUGUCUUCAACCUUAGGGUUUACAGCCGUCAAGACUGAAACCAAAUCUGAAAAUUUGCUCAAAAUUUUCGAAAAAAUUUCCAGAGUUUCGAAAAAAACUUUAUGAGCAUGAAACUUUUAAGAAUUUUCAAAGACUAAAUCUUAUAAUUGCUCCCAAAAUUCCGAAAAUAUAUUAAAAUUUUCAGAAAAAACAAAUCAUAUGAGCAAUAAUCUAGAUCUGAAAAACAAUUAUAAAAACACAGAUCCCAGAAUUCUAAUCUAGGCAUAAACUUUUGAGAAAAAACAGAUUUAACAAUAUAAAAAUUUUCGUAAAAAUAAAUCCGAAUUUAUUUCUUAAAAUAACCUGAUUAUCAAACAGAAACUGAACAUGAUGGCUCUGAUACCAAUUGAAAGGUUUUAAAUUCUUAUAAACCACUAUAGCAUGUCAGUCUCUGAUUAAUAAGAACAGAAGCGGAAGCGUACCAUUUGGAUCAAUGAUUUAUGCUCUGAAUUUGGCUAUGGUUCUUCCACAACAAACUCUGAAUGGCUGUAGAUCUCUGGUGAUGGGAUGCAGAGAGUUUUCUGUAUUUCUCGUUAGAGUUGCUGCGGGGACCUUAACCUCUCUAUUUAUAUAGAGAAUAAUUUCUAAUUCGGCCCGUCAUCAAAUUAGAAAUUACUGAGUGUAUCCUCACAUUAAUUUUUCAUAACACUUAUGUCCUAUUAGUCUUUUCUUUAAUAUUAAAAUGACCACAUAAGUUUUGACUACUUUAAAUAAUGACCCUAACACAUUGAUUAUAUAUGUGUGAUCCCAAAUAAUUCUUACAUCGCUCACCGCUGUAUUGCAAUAAAAUAAGAAAGUAAUAUACUAUAUUACGUCUAUUUAUAUAUUUUGUUUCCAAUAGUUAAAGAUCGUGUUGUGUUAUUCAUGCGAGGAGACGUUUAAUAAUAAUAAUAAUAAUUGGAAGAGACCAAUGAACUAGUUUAGACGCGUAUACUUUUUCUUAGAGAUUGUCUACUUGCAUAUUUUUGGGUUAGAACAAUCGAAAAUUACGUUCAUAAUUUGACCUUAAUUGGUCAACGGAUAGUGGCAGCUUGCAUUCUAAUAUCAAGGGAGGACCACAAAAUUCUCAUUUACACGUUAAAUCUCAUCCCAAUAUCCGAUAUUCUAGGUAAUAUGAAGAAUUCGUGGCCACAAUCUUAUUUUUGUUGACGACUUAUUAAAAAUAUGAAAACUAUGUUAAAAUAGAGCUCUCGCGGAUAGCUUAGUUAUUACAGUAUAUGUGUUACAUGGAUGUAUCAUGUAUGUGUGAGCAGUCUUGCGUGUGGAGCGCGAGGCCAAGAUGCCACAAUCUCGAAAAAAAGAAGCCAAAAUGCCAUGUGUUAAAUUUGUAAUUUAAUUUUGAUUUUUUUUAAUAAGGAAAAACCUGGAGAAUACUACCCUCUCCCUAUUUGUCUCUUUAUUUACACUAAAACCAGGAUCAAACCCACCCAAACCCAAUGACCUAUGGAUAUCCAUCCAACCUCCUUAGAUAUUUUCAUUUAUUAAUUUAUCCUUCUUUUUUUGUUAAUUCAAAAUCGAUUAUCCCCAAAUAAUUACACAAAUUACAUCUUAAAUUUAUAAUUAAAAAAAUCUAUACCUUCAACUCUCAUUGAUGAAGCAUUUUGGCGCAAAGGGGAAUUAUACAAAGACGAGUGUGCUGUUGUUUCACCAACGAAGAGCAUUUGGAAGUGAAGCUGUUCUGGGUUUUGAAAUUAAGGUUUGCCAGAAAUCCAGCCACGAGGGAAGUGAUUUCGACUUUUGAAUGAAUGAAAAUUGAUGAAGCAUUGUUCUAUAUAUAUACAUGAAUUUUGGAUUUGCAGAGACUAAUUUAAUAGCUUUGUUUUGGAUUUGAAGAAAGCUUGUGUGCCUGAACUUGGUCUGGUUUUCAUCUCAACAAAAAAUUGGGAUUUUGCGCAUGAGGUAAUCUCGCCGUUGUAACAAUUGAGUAUCAAUUAGAUUUGCACCUGAUGAUCCCCUUCUUUGCUUCGCAGCGUCUAGCUUUCCAGGAUCUAUCUCCGGUUCGAAUUCCUCCGAUUCUGUACUCUUCUAUGGGUUAGUUUUGUUUAGUCUGGUUUGUGUAUUGUGUGGAUCUUUGUUGCCUUUGUCGUUGGUUUCUUUCGUCUUGGUCAUCGCUUCUGGAUAGGUGCUACUUGGUCAAUUCUCAGAAGAAGCUCUUGAGACGAUGUCAGAGACUUUGAAGAAGCAUAAGGAGCGGUAGUUUUCUUCCUCCAUGGGAUGAAAAAAGCGAAACGGUUUGAAGAAAAAUCGAUCCGUACAAGUUCGCUUCUUCCGAUCAGAAGGAUGAAUGGAUUGUCCAAGUCAGACAAGCUCUGAUGUGUCCCGACGGUGGAAGAUUCGAAGGUCUUUGAACGGCACAGCUCCUUAAUUACACCACCGCCAGACAAGCUUUGAUGAUGUUUUCGAGCUUACACUUGAUGCGUUCAUGUCUCGGCCAGAGACGUCGGAUCCAGAGAAACCGUCGGUGAGAUUCUCUUUUUCUGGAUAGGAUUUGCCGUUGGUAAAUUGGAUCGAGUGGGUAAAUGCGAUGGCUGAGUCCAACGCAGUGGUGUGGCAGAAAUCCAGCGUUCCAGCGUCUACGACGCGAUCAUGGCUUUGGUGGAGAGAUGGUGCAUCAAGACUAACUCGUUUGUGUUCCCUUGAGGCUUAAGUUCUAUAAAACGAGAAGCUAAUCUGUGUUUUUUUUCAGCUUACAUUCUUCACAAAAAGAGAGAUCGAUUCUAUGGAGGAACUUGUUGUCUUGUUGAAUAUUAGAGAUAAAGAAUCGAAUUUGUUGUCUUGUUGAAUAUUUGUUAUGUCUUUGAAGUCAGAGAAGUUUGAUGAACUAAUAGCUGCAGCCAAUGAAGAAAAAGAAGUUGCAAAAGCUCAGGUGUAGAGCUGAACAUAGAAGUUUCAUGAUCUGACUUCUAUGGUACAACUAAGUACAACUAUAGACAACUAAGUAUAAUUAUAGUACAAUUAAAUACAAUUAUGGACAACUAAGUACAACUAUGUACAACUAAUACUAAGUACAAUUUGGUAACUGUAAAAUUAUAAUUAAAAUUAAUUAAAAAAACAUGUGUGCCGACUAAAAAAGAACAUAUGCACUUUGUAACAUGUGCACCGUCAAUUUUGUACAUAGUUAUACCCAAUUGUCCAGUUGUCCAAAAUUCUUCAUAGUUGUCCUUUCGUGAUUUUAGAAUUUUUUUAGUUGUCCCUUAAUAUAAAUUAUUAUUUUGGUAACCCAAUUUUAUGUGACGAUUGAGUAUUUUCAUGGAUAAUUUCUUAAAUAUAAUCGUUGAUUCGUAGUGAUUCUUAGGUAAAUUAUAAUUAUACCUGAUUUCAUCACCAAAUCUGCAGAGGAGGACAACUGGUAUGAAUAGUACAACUAAGAGAUAAGAGGACAACUAGUACAACUGAUACAACUAUGAGAUAGAGGACAACUAGUACAAAUGGAUAUAACUAAGACGACACCUUGAAUAAUUGUUAAUUAAGAAUUGUUUUACUAUAUUUUCAAGAGAUAAUGAGCAUCAGCCACACAAGCAAUUCAAUAGAUUUUAUAUUAUUUAAUACCUCAUAUUUGGAGCAAAUAACUUAUUCGGUAUUACUAGAUAAGAUACUGUAUGUAAGAAGAUUGCGAUAUAUGAAACUAAACAGUUUUGGAGUAGAUAAUUUAUGUGGAGAAUGAAUUGCACACAUAAAUGUAACUAAGUGAAGUAUUUCGUAUAAUAUACAAGAAUUUUUUGUCAUACUGCCGAAUUACACCAAAAAAAAUAAAAAAGUGGUUUCUAUUCUCCAAAAAACGUCGCCGAAAGACAAAAAUGGAUAAUAAAUUAGAUAAGUGGUUUCAGAGCAAAAAUAGCAUAGAAACUUAAUUUGUGUAAGUUUUUGAGUUUAUUUUAUCCGAAAAGAUUUUAUUUUAGCUAAGGAAAUACAUUUUAGCCGAGGAAUUUUCAUUCUCGAUAGCCUUAGACUGUAUAGGAGUAUUUUGGAGUUAUUUGUAUUUUCGAUUUCUUUGAUUUAUUGCAUUACUAUUUAUUUUGGAGUUAUUGGUGUUUUGGAUUUCUUUGAUUUCUUUCAUUACUAUUUAUUUUGGAGUUAUUUGUAUUUUGAAUUUCUCCAGGACAACUAGGUGCAACUCAGGACAACUAUAUUUUAAUUGUAGUGUUAAAAAAUAAAUUCCUAAUAUUAUUUACUUAAAAGCCAAUAUAACUCAUACCCUAAAAACUGUAUCUUUUCACGUAUAUACUAGAAAUAAUAAAAUAAAACUUUGUUUUGUUCAAAGAACCAAAUAUUUUUGGUUUCACUUGAAACAGCCCUUAUGUUAUAAGGAAGUCUUUGGCAAUGUUAUCCAUCUUAUGCAAGCGUCUAUGCAAAAAUAUAGGAAAUAGAAAAAUAAUAACGCAAAAUCUUUGGGGCUGCUAUAUAAUGAUCGAAAUUCUUGUGGACAACUAGAACAUAAUAAUUUAUGUCGAAGGACAACUGAAAAAACUACAAAAUCGAUCAAAGGACAACUAUUACAAAUUUUGGACAACUGGACAACUAGGUACAACUAUGUUGUCAGUUGUAGACGCACGUGCGCCGACAAAAAGAGACAUGUGCGCAGUCAAAGUACCACGUGCGCCGUCAAUUUUGUAUAUAGUUGUAUCCAGUUGUCCAGUUGUCCAAAAUUCUUCAUAGUUGUCCUUUGGGGAUUUUAGCAAUUUUUCCAGUUGUCCCUUGAUAUAAAUUAUUACUUUGUAGUUGUCCACAUGAUUUUCGACUAUUGUAGUCUAUUUACAACAUUUUCAUAUUAUAAUUGAUGCAAAAUUAUAUUUUUGGCUCUUUUCCAUCAUAAGAUUGUUAACAUUAUCAAUUCUUUGUAUCAUAAAGGGUGUUUGACAAUGUUAUCAAUCUUAUGCAAGCGUCUAUGCAAAAAUAUAAAAAUAGAAAAAUAAUAACGUAAAACCCUUGGGGCUGUUAUAUAAUGUUCGAAAUUCUUGUGGACAGCUAGAAUAUAAUAAUUUCUGUCGAAGAACAACUGAAAAAACUACAAAAUCGAUGAAAGGACAACUAUUACAAAUUUUGGACAACUGGACAACUAGGUACAACUAUGUUGUCUGUUGUAGACGCACGUGUGAAAUACAACUGGUACAACUGGUACAACUGAUAUAAUUAUGUAAUUUAAAAUUAUAAUUAAAAUCUAUUAAAAUUAAUAAAAAUACACAUGUGCGUCGACAAAAAAGAACUACAUAUAGUUGUAUAUAUGUGUCCAGUUAUACCAUGUUUAUUUCCAUCCGGAAAACAUUUUCGGCCAAAAAUGAAAUCCUCUAGACUAGAUUAACUUUCCUAAGUGUCUAGUUAUCCGUCAAGGUAACAGGUGCACCUAUGUGCAUUGUCAAUUUUUGUACAUAGUUGUACAUAAUUGUACAUAAUUGUACUAGUUGUCCCUCUCUGCAGAUUUGCUGAUGAACUCAGAUAUAAUUAUAAUUUACCUAAGAACCACUAUGAUUCAACAACUAUAUUAAAAAAAUUAUCCAUGUUAAUCGUCAGAUAAAACGGGGUUACCAACCCGAUUCGCAAUUAUAAUAAAAGAAUAUUCAAUCAACAAUUAUUUAAGUUGUCUUAGUUAUACCUAUUGUAUCAGUUGUCCUCUAUCUCAUAGUCGUACCAGUUGUACUAAUUGUCCUCUUAUCUCUUAGUUGUACCAUUUGUACCAGUUGUCAUUUUUCUGCAGAUUUGGUGAUGAACUCGGAUUCUAAUUCUAAUCUACCUAAGAAUCACCAUGGUUUAACAACUGAAUUCGAAAAAUUAUCUAUGCAAAGACCUAAUCAUCACAUACCAACCCGAUUUGCAUAUAGAAGAACAAACAAUUUUGGCAAAUCAAAUCCUUAAAUUUUGAAAUCCCCAAAUCUGUAAAUAAAAACCUAACUGUAUUUUAAAACUUCAACAAUGGUGGUGGAGAAAGGAGAUAAAAUAAGAAACUGAUUGCAGAAGAUGAAGAAGAAAAAGAAGAAACGAGGAUUCAACAGCGAAAAUAAGAUUUGCUUGUUUUCAGAAUCCACCGACGAAGAAGAAAAGCAUGAAAAACAAAUUAUUUUUUUAAAUUAAUUUUCGUUUUAAAUUAUUAAUUUUAAUAAAAUCAAUUAUUUUUUCACCAAAUUCAAAAAUGCCACAAAAAUUUUCAUUAAGGGUAAAUUGGGAAUUCUAUAUAUAUUAUGGCAUGUAAACUUGUUUAUGGCACAACAACAGAUUACUUUUUUUCAAUUUAGGUAUUUUCCCUACAACAUCACCAUUUAUUAAUCCAAAAUUCAAUUGCGAUUUUUUUUUUUUUUUUACAAACUUUAAACAUAAAUAAAUAUGAGUCAUGACGCCUCCCACCUAUAUAUAGUGAUAGACGAGUGAUAGUUUUAGUUUUAGUCAAUAGCACCUGAUUUGAAAAGUCGUGUAGACGUAUAGUCACGCUCUUUGUUGUUCGUCAUUUACACUUGAUCAAUAAAUUCAUUUAUCAACUCCCCCUAAGAUUAAAAACAAAAAACAAUAAACGCCAAUCAAACAUGUAAUUAUUAGUAUUUGUCACAUUAAAAAAAGCUUGUGAAAAAGCUCAUUUGGAGAACAUAAACUAUAUUAAUUAAAGAUAAAUGAAGUACUUUGUUCAACGAGUUUAAGCUGAAAUAGCCAAAUGAGAUUAAGCUCAUAAAGGUAGUUUUGCAUUUUUUGCAAGUCUUACCAAGAGCUAGCCUCUAACCAGAAGAGACUAACCAAUGCACCGAAAGUCUCAAUUUUAAAAAGUUGUAAAGAACAAUUUUAAUUAUUCUAAAAGAAAGAAAAAUACUUCUUUCGCCGGCUUAUUCACGCAAACCACGUGUGUGUUCACCUGCUCGGUGGCCGCAACCGAAAAUGAUGGAUUGCAUGAGUUUUUUUUUUUGGUUAAAAAGGAUUGUAUGGUUACUAUAUAAAAUUAAAAAAGUAUACAUCUAACGUAGUUUUUUGUUUCACAAAUUUGUCGAUUUAUAUCUUUAUAAAGACUGGAUUGUUUUCUUUUAUCGAAGUUGAAAUUAAUUUAUGCGGUACCUCAAAAUUAAAUUAGAGAAUUAAAGAGGGUUAAAGAGACAUAAACAUAAACAUAUCGUAUUAUUAUUUUUUGGCAUGCACCACAUGUCAAAUUAACUUUAGUUGAAUCAUUCGCGAGAAAUAAAAUAAUUGAUGCAAGUUAAAAUCCAAAGCAUAUAUUCAUUAUUGAGAAGAUUAGGAACAGAAGGCUGAAUCUGAAUCACACACCAAAUGGAGCAAACGACACCAGUCGGAUGUCUUUGUCACUCUUUUGUCUUCCAAAAAAAGAAAAGAAUAUAAGAAGUUUCCGUUAAAGGGAUAUUUUGGACCUUAUUAUAAUUAUCAAUGAGACAAUUUCAAAUUUACCCCAAACAAAUAUAUGUAUACAUAACUUUGAUAUGGAUCUUUAUACACUCUGGCACCAAAAGAGGUUUAUGUCCGGAAGAUUUGUGCUUGUGUAAAAUUUAACUUCACUCGGUCAUAAAAAAAAACUUUGUGUUUAACUUCUACAGCUAAAAUCUAAAUUUAAGAUUCGUAUUAGGCGUAACACACUCUUCACAGUGAAAUGAUCACUUCAGUACUCAAAUCUAAAGAUUAAAAAAAAAAUCUAAAGAUUCAUGAGUUCAUAUAUAAACUAUAAAUUUUGCCAUUUAACAAAUUUUUUUUUUCAUCAUAAUAACAAAUUGUUGGGGUUUUCCAACUCUAAAGACCCAACAAUUCGUUACUCUCAAAGUCUCAAUCGUUUGUUUGAUAUAUAAAAAUAUUAGUAUUCUGAUGUACUCUCAAUAUUUUUGUUGAUAUAUUUUAUUGGUUAACAUUAAUGAUUUCAUAUGUUAAUAAUAAAUUGUUUAGGUAAACAACAUUACUUACAAUUUAUUUUUUACAUCAGCCAUAUUAUUUUAAAAUAUAAUUAAAUUAUGAAUGAAUACCCACUUGAUUCUAAUUAUGUAUAUUCUCAUAUGUGAUGCUAUUAAUGUAUAAUAUUUUUUAUAGUUAGCUUUAUGUAUUUAUUACGGAGAUGUUAACACUUUCCAACUUUGGCCUUUUCGAUUUUGAUAUAUGGCUCUGUGCACAUAACUUUUCCCUCUCAUUCAUUACAUACAGUUCACGCCUCUUUUUAUCUCAUCAUCAAAUCCAAAAAAAAAAUGAAGAGAACAAAAUAUAUCAAAAUCACCCCAAAAAAGAGAGAGAGAAGAGAAACUCAAACGGCCUGAAUCAAUGGCUACCUCCGCCGCGGAAUUACCUCCGGCGAAGCGAAGAAGAAUCGACGGCGGAAAGGAGGUCGCCUUAAUCGAAGGACUUCCCGACCACAUAUCAGAGAUUUGCCUUUCCCUCGUUCACCGUCCGUCGCUACUCUCCGCCGUGUGUACACGGUGGCGCCGUCUCCUUUACUCUCCGGAGUUUCCUCCGUUUCCGUCUCUCUACGCGCUUUUCGUCGAUUCAAACUCGGAUCCAGCUGCUCCGGGUCAAAGUCGGGUCAACCCAGCUAUCCGGUUUAUGUGUUUCGACCCGGUUUCUUCGAAAUGGGAUCCGCUUCCUCCUCCUCCACCCGACCUACCUCUUCACCGCAUUCUCUACCGUCAUCCGUCGUUUAUUUCCUUUAAUUUACCGAUUCAAUGCGUCUCCGCCGCCGGAAAACUCUUCCUCAUCGCCGGGAGCAACCGUGAACUCUCUCCGGCGAUUUCGCACCCUCUAAUUUUCGAUCCAAUCUCAUCAACCUGGACCUCUGGUCCUCCAAUCGGGUCGCCAAGACGAUGGUGCGCCACCGGAGCUUGCGGCGGAGUUAUCUACGUCUCGAGUGGGAUGGGUUCGCAAUUCUCGACGACCGUCGCGAAAUCGAUCGAGAAAUUGGAUCUCACGAAUCGAAAUCGGAUUCAAUGGGAGAAAUUAAGAGAGAUGAGAGACUUACGGUUUAGCCGAGAAGCCAUAGACGCAGUGGGAUGGAGAAGGAAGCUUCUAAUGGUGAAUGUAAAAGGCGACGCGAUUAAGGAAGGAGCAAUAUACGACGUCGUAAUGGACGAUUGGGAAUCGAUGCCGGAGGAGAUGGUGGUUGGAUGGAGAGGUCCGGUGGCGGCGAUGGAGGAGGAGACGCUGUAUUCGGUGGAUGAGAGGAGAGGGACGGUGAGAAAGUACGAUGAGGAGAAGAGAGAGUGGAGAGAAGUUGUGGUGGUGGAAGGUGGAGAAGAGAUGCUUAAAGGAGCUCAGCAAGUUACGGCGGUCGCCGGAAAACUCUGUGUUGUUACCGUUGAGGGAAGAAUUGUUGUCGUGGAUGUUGUGGCGGAGCCGGCUAAGUUUUGGACCGUGGAGAUCCCUCAAGGACUUGAACCGGUUUCGGUUCACGUUUUACCAAGAAUGAGCCGACCGGAUGUUUGCUGACGUAGUUUUUUAAAAUAAUUUUUUUUUUUAUCUUUUUCUAUACGGAAACUCUUGUUUUAGUUUUUUUUUCCCCCCUUUUUCUGUGGAAAAAGUGUUAUCUUGUCGUUAUUUUUUUAUACAUUCAAGUCAAAGACUUACAUAAGAAAUAUUUAAUAUACUAUACUUUUGUUUGUUUUAUUUGCAUCUAGCUUCUUCUAACUUUUAAAAAUGUCGUUUGGUUCUGGAAACAUGGAAUCACUCUACAUUAUCCGAACCAACAGAUAAUCAAUUCUGCUAUGAUAUAAUUUCACAUCCAAAAAAUAGAAUUGAAGAAAAUCCAUGGACUAAACCUCACGUUUGAAAGAAUCUAAAAUUAUAAGCAAUAUAAUAAAUAAAAUGAAAUAUAAUGGCAAUCAACUUAUUAUCAAUUGCUUUUUGGAGUUAAAAGUAUUUGAAGAUGAAAUUACUCGUGAUCAUUCUACGUUUUAUUUGCAUGGAGAUCGAUGAAGAAUACAAAAACUUAUCGAGUAAUAAAAAUGCCACUGGUGAUGCUAUAAUGUGAAGAGAUUCACCAACUUGUAGGAAACAAGAGCAAGUCAGGUCACUAAUUUAUUCAAACAAAUCAACAGAUGGAUAAGACUGUUAUCAUAAGAAUCACAUAUACAUGGCUUAAAAUACAUGCAUGCAUUAUAUAAGCUAUGUGUAGCUCUUUUUUUUUUUCCGUUACAUGUUGGAGCGGUCCAUAUUCUUAUCCAUUCUUACUCAUCCUAUACGCUGUGAUGAAGAAGUAUACUAAACCGCCACUUCGACCUCUUUUGUCGUCUUCUGACUAAGUAAUAGGCCCAUAAGGCCCAAAAUUACGUUAUCGAAUAAGGUUUAGAUAACAUGGUUUUAAUAAAUUGAUUUUAAUUGAAUAAAACCAAAUUUUAGAAAUGCUCUAUCUUUUAAGUAAAAAAGGGGUUUUAAAUGAUCUGAUCAGAUCCAUUGGGCCAUUGAGAGAAAUAAAGGCCAUUGUUUGUUGUUAACUCAUGUGUUGUACUUGUAACGAGAAUCAUUGGAGUUGUAUUAUGAAACACCUGUGCCAAUUUGAUGUAUAGCGUGAUUACUUCUAUUUACACAGGGUUGCGGUGUUAUUUCUUCAUUUUCUUUAGGUCGUUGAUCUUCCAAAUUUAGAAGUUCGUUUAUUAUGUGAUUAACUAUCCAAAAUAGAGAGUCACAAGACUUGGAAAACAAAAGAGACAUUGCAAUCUCUUGAUAAAUCUUGUGCAAUUAAAAAUUUCAUAGAGCUCACCUCAUGCUAAAGGUUUAUCUUGUGCAACACAAGUCUAAUUCCUUUGUUCUCAAAUACUUUUCCAUUUCUCUUCAAUCUUCUUCAUCUCCAUCUCCACCAUGCUCUAUUUUUUCAUAAAAUCUUGAUCCAAAGGAGACGAGCUUGAGAAGUCGUUUCUUGUACAUAUACUGUUCUUUUUUUAGUUUAAAAACGAAUCAAAAUAAUCUCUUCCUACAUUUUUCACCAUUAGGUGACAAAAGAAUCCACCUUAUUCUUCUUCUUUGAUUUCCCAAAAACAGAUUCCAAUUCCCAAAUCUAUGAUAAAUUUGGACUAUUCAAAAUAUGUAUGAUCAUGAUAUUUUCAUUUGUUAUGAGGUUCUACGCUUUCUUCCUUCUUCUUUCUUCCUUAUAAGAUAAAAUUUGUGACAGGUUUUAACUUCUGGUUCCUUCUUCUUUCUUCCUUAUAAGAUAAAAUUUGUGACAGUUUUUAACUUCUGGUCCAUAAUCUCCGUCUCAAAAUGAGUUUGAACCCCAAUGUAUAAUGGAACCAACUACCACUAAUACACCACUCCUUGAUAAUAUUUUGCUUAUUGUGAUUAUGUAUAUAUAAGAAACUUUUUUUUGUCGUACAUAUAAGAAACCUAAUUUACAAAUAUUGUAGGAAUCAAUAAUAAUUAAUUUUUGAUUAUUGAUAAUCUUAAUAAGGUAGAGUUCGCCCUAAUUGGGUUUUAAUUUUGGAUUUCAACAAAUAUUUGGCAAUGAAUAAAAACAGUUUUUUUUUUUUAAAGUGGCAUAAGAAGAAGAAAUAGCGUAGACCAAACGCUUAUCAGGAAAUCUGUCGUCAGUGGAUUUAUUCCAAACCCUUCAAAGUAUUCCGUCGAACUUCGCGUAUAUAUUCUCAACCGCUAAAUCAGAGUGAGAGAUAGAGAAAAUCAAAAAUCUUCCGGCGAAGAAAAAAAAGAAUGCAGAUCUUCGUCAAAACCUUGACCGGGAAAACCAUAACCCUAGAGGUUGAAAGCAGCGACACCAUCGACAAUGUCAAAGCCAAAAUCCAGGUCUCUGAUUCUCUCCUCCCACUUCGAAUUCGACUUGUUCUUGCUUACUUUCUUUCCCCUUUGUUUUUUUUUUAGGGUUCUUGGGUUUGUGAUUGUGAAAUUCCUUUCUUUUUCAAGUGUUUGAGAAUAAUUCACACACAGAUAGGCGAGCCCUAGGGUUUUGGCUGCCUCGUAGAAACUCCUUUGUUUGAUGAUGUUAGGUUUUUAUUCUCCAUUCUGUUACUGGUUUAAGGUAUAAUAGAGCUAUUGGUUUUUGAAGCGUAGAUUCUUGACCAAUCGAAGUUCAGAGUCUUUUAGAAUUCCGUAUAAAAAUUUGGAUUAAUCCUUCUUGUGUUUGCUUGCUUUUUGUAUUUUGUUGAUGUUUUAUGGACAAAUUGGAGGUUUCUUUCCCCAAGUUGAGAUUUCAUGUAGUCUUAUAAGAUGAUCUACUUGUUGGUAAUUCAGAUGAAGAACUUCGAUUUGAAUCGCUUGAGAAUGCUUAAUUGUUUGUGAGAUUGUGAAAAUCGAAAUAAAAUUCUUCAUCAUCUUGAUGUAAUAGUAUCUGAUUAUUGGAAAUGAUCUUUUAAGAUUUCUUUUUUCUUUCUUUGGACGGGAUUGUUGAAUACAGGACAAAGAGGGGAUACCACCUGAUCAACAGAGACUGAUAUUUGCUGGGAAACAACUUGAAGAUGGACGAACACUAGCGGACUACAACAUCCAGAAAGAGUCGACUCUUCACUUGGUCUUGAGGCUUAGGGGUGGUACCAUGAUAAAGGUCAAGACUCUCACAGGAAAAGAAAUUGAGAUUGAUAUCGAACCAACCGACACUAUUGAUCGGAUCAAGGAACGUGUUGAGGAGAAAGAAGGCAUCCCUCCUGUUCAGCAAAGGUAAACUAUAUAUACUUAUCAAUUACUUUAGAAGACUUUGUUGACAAAGUUUUUGUGUAAUGGAAAGAUUGAGUUCCCAUUUUGGGUGUAGGGAAGCUUCUAGGAACAAUCCACUACUUAUUUGUGUCUCUUAUGUUGUUCUUGUGUCAUUGUGAUAUCUGUAUCAGCUCGUUUGGAGUCGUUCAUGUGUUUAGUCAAAAUUGAUUCUUUAUGUAACUUGAGUUAUCAUGUUUCUGUGACAUAAAACCUGUCUUGUGCCCUUGUGAAAAUUUGCAGCUCCUUUCUAUAAGUGGUUUCUUAUGUUUUUGUCUUUAGUCGGUUAUAUACUCUGCGUGCAUGCGGAUUACAACACAGAUUCGCAUGAGUAUUUGUUGGAUGCUUAUAAAUCUCAUGGAUUAUUGCAGGCUCAUCUAUGCCGGAAAACAGCUAGCUGAUGACAAAACGGCAAAGGACUACAACAUAGAGGGAGGCUCUGUUCUUCAUCUGGUUCUUGCUCUUAGGGGUGGUUUUGGUCUUCUCUGAGAAAUAAUUCUCUCUUCUAUCUAAGUUUAUUUCUAUCUAAGUUUAUUUGCUCCAAGAGUUUCCUUUCUAUGGCUUUGGUUGAGUUCAUGAGAAAAAAGUGAAUGCAAUUUGGAUAUAUGAUAUGCUUUAAAUACUAUGGCUGGUGUUUCAGUUGGUUUGGAUCAUUUUACCAAUAAUAUGUUCAAUAUUAAAAUCAUACUUACUAUUUGGACUUAGUUAUGUUUGAUUGAUAUCUUUAAUUUCAAGAAAGAGGCCCGUAGAUUGAGAUUGCUGGCGAGUAUAAGAAUCUUAAAAGUGAGAAAAGAUUAUAUCAAAAUAUUUGAUUAAACAAGUCUUUUGACUAGAAGAUAGUGCAUGAGUAUUAAAGGACCCAACCAAAAAAUAAUAAGUGACCGUUGAGAUUCGAACGUUAAGCUUUACAAGACAUAAACGUUGCGGACGGGACAGAAUCGGAUUCUUCCAGAGCCUCCCAAGGAAUCACAUAUAUAAAUAUGAUCUAUAUGAAGUAGAAUCAAAGCAAAACAAAAAAGUCCAGGAAACAAAAAUAGGAAGAAAAAAAAAUCAAUCAGAAAGAAGUGAAAAACUUGGAUCUCAAGAUCAAUGGGUUUGGUGGUGGUCAUAUCUCUUCCUCUAAUUUUCUUCUGUCUUCUUCUUGGAUUCGGCUGCUACUUCCUUGGCAAAUCUCGCGGCCGUCGUGAGAUCCAUACAAAUCCUCAGGUGUACGGAGUUCCUGCUCCGCCUCCCGGUGCAACCAUCUCCACCGCCUCCUCUCCGUCGUUGUCUCCUCACACCAAGCCGGACAGUUCACACAAUGUCUGAUUUUCCAUCUCCUUCUCUCUAUUGGAAGAUGCUUCUGUUUGAUUUACUGUGAAUUUCUGUACUUUUAAAAAAAAAAUUUAGCUUUCUUGAGAUAUGUUCCUUUCUUGAUUUGUGUACUUUAUAUGUUUCUUAUGUAAAUUAGAGCCUUUGAUGCCAUUAAGAAAGUUUAAGGAGUGGUAUGGACCGUAUGGUUUUAAGAAUUUUGUUUACACUUGAUUUUAAGAAGAAACCUCUCGAAGUAUCUGAUAACAUAGCCUAAUGUAGCCACUUGGAAAUCUUGACAAAACCAAAAUAUCAUCUUGGAUGUGUAGUCCAAAGAGGCAGAAUUUUCCUAUAACGAAAAAUAUAUGCUCUUAAAAUAGAUUAAAGAAAACCAUGCUCUUAAAAGAUCCAUUCAUAAUUACGUAAUUGAGGUGUUCAUAAGUUCUAAGAUUCUUUUGUAUUUUAGUUCAAGAGAUAUUGAUAAAAGAAAUGGUUGUGACUUGUAAGUUGUAACAAUUCAAACAAACGCUAAGUCAUUUGCAAAAGAUACUUUCGUUUGAUUCAUAACCCGCAGAAUGGUGGAACGAUUUGUAAUUCUGCUUUGCAUUGUACAUCCAUUUUGUAAAAUUACUGAAUGAUACAAAUGUAACACCGCCAUUAUUCGUAAUUUCCAAUCAAAUCAAUUGGUAAACUACAUAACCUUGAAAAUGAAAAGAAAAUCGAGAAGGAAUGACGGGAAUAGAGUUACCGAAAUUAACCGAACGUUUACACUUUAGUACUUUACAUAUAGCUUAACUCUUUAUUUUGAUUAAGGAAUAUAUCAAUUUUACACUUCAUUUUUUUCUUCCGGUCUACAUAUGUAUAUUUAUAUAUUUAUGGUUUUACUCUUUAUACAUAGCUGAAUGAUAUAUAAUAAUAUAAUGAAAAUAAAGAUAAGUCGUGUCGUGUGUAGUCCACAUAUCUUCAACAUGAGAUGAGAAAUUACAAAAUCCGCGGGAAAAUCUCUUAUCCAUGACAUGUAACUUAUCAACCACUCACAACACGCCACAUAAUCAGAACGAAACCUCGUCUCUCUUCUCUUAUCUUCCUCUUCCUCCACUAAAUCUAUCUCUGAAGAAUCUAAAGCUCAUCCCUCACACACACACCCCAUAAGCCCUCUCCACUAAUUCCAGAGAAACCCUAAAAACAUCCGAAAACAGAGCGAUGUCGCUCACGAUCCCGACGAAUCUCGUUCUCAACCCGAGAUCCAACAAAUCUCUCACCCAAUCCGUACCUAAAUCCGCCGCGAGAUUCGUCUGCUCCGAUGACAAACCCGCGACGCAGAAUCAGUCCAUGAAAGCUUUCUCGGCGGCCGUCGCGCUCUCUUCCAUCCUCCUCUCAGCUCCGAUGCCAGCCGUCGCCGAUAUCUCAGGCUUGACCCCUUGCAAGGACUCGAAACAGUUCGCCAAGAGGGAGAAGCAACAGGUCAAAAAGCUCCAAUCUUCCCUUAAGCUCUACGCUCCUGAGAGUGCUCCUGCUCUUGCUCUUAAUGCCCAGAUCGAAAAGACCAAGCGCAGGUUCGUACAUAACCCAGAAUUAAAAAAAUCCCAACUUUCCGCUCACUUCAAUAGUUUAGAUCCCAAUUUCAUAUUUUCUGAAUUGUUUGAUUUUACGGUAAAUCUAUUAGCUUCCUAGAUCAAUGAUUACAUGAUUCUAUAAUUCAAAGUUUCCUCCUUUAUCUGAUAAAAACUGUGAAAUGGUUUGAAAUUCAUGUUCCUAAACCGGAAAUUAGGAGCUUUAUGAUACCAAAUUGAUUUGAAAUUGCUGUUUGGGUCAAUGGAGCUUUCUUUGCUAUAAAAUGGUCACUAUACUUUGAAUGGAAAUUGAGUAGCUUUAUGAUUAAUUGAGCUCACUAAACUACUUUAUAAGCCCUGUGGAUAUUGAUUUGUGGAUGGUUAAAAAUGGUUUGGUUUAGGUUCGACAACUACGGCAAGUACGGGCUACUAUGCGGCUCAGACGGAUUACCACACCUGAUAGUGAACGGAGACCAGCGGCAUUGGGGAGAGUUCAUAACUCCAGGCAUUCUCUUCCUCUACAUCGCCGGAUGGAUCGGGUGGGUCGGGAGAAGCUACUUGAUCGCCAUCAGCGGCGAGAAGAAACCGGCCAUGAAAGAGAUCAUCAUCGAUGUUCCUUUGGCUAGUCGCAUCAUCUUCCGUGGUUUCAUCUGGCCAGUUGCUGCUUACAGAGAGCUACUCAAUGGCGAUCUCAUUGCCAAAGAUGUUUAGACAAACCAAAAACCAAAAACAAAAACAUUCUAUAUUGCUCUGUUUUGCUUUGCUUCGCUUCUUCUCUGUUUUUUCCAUUGUAUGUAUUCAAUCUCUGGUUAACUCUUCCUACCGAACCGAAUAUCUCUGCAAUAUCGAAUACUUCUGAUUUGGAUUACGGUGGUUAAAUGUUAAAAUGUUGAGAAUCCUGUAUUGAAAUUCUCUGCAAUUAACAAAGGUUUGCCGAUCGAUUUAUAUCGAAAACAGAGACUUUCACUCUAUUUGAUGUUAGAAAAAAAAAGAAACAGCUUGCAAACGAGUGAUUCCGUGUUGUUUAUACCAAAGCAUUCACUAAACCGAAAUCGAACCACAUUAACCAAACUUCGAUUUGAUUUGGUACAGAACAAACGCCCUAGGCUCCGAACUCUCUUCUGGAGAGUAUUCUUCUUUAGGGUUUAAAUCAAAAUCUCUGAUUCUCUGCGAAUGAUUAGUACUCGGACUUGUCUCUCUCCCUCAGAUCAGCAAAUACAGCACGAGCAUGAUGAAAAGAGGAGUAAAAACUCUGGAUUCCAUCCCGAUUGAUCUCUUUCUCGAGAUAUUCUCGAGAUUACCUUCAAAGUCAAUCGCUAGGUUUCGUUGCGUGUCAAAGCUAUGGGGUUCCAUGCUUCACCUUCCAUAUUUCACAGAGAUGUUCUUGACAAGGUCAUGGGCUCGUCCACGUCUCUUAAUCAUCCUCCAAGGAUGCAGCGAGUAUAGCGUCUUCUCGUCGCCUCAGCUUCAGAAUCCAUACGGGAAGUCGUCAUCCUCUCUUGUAGUCGUAUCUGCCGAUUUUCAUGUCAAGUUCUCUAGAGACAUGUGGUCUACAGAGUUUUGUGGCAUUACCUCUGGUUUGAUCUAUUUCUCUAGCAUGCGGAUCUCAGAAAAGAAUGGUGGGGAUGCAGUAAGGCAUGUGAUAUUUAACCCUAGAACGAAACAGAAUGCGACCUUACCUAAACUGACAAAAGACGGAGUGAAGAGAAUUAGCGUGUUAGGGUUUGAUCCGAUUGACAAACAAUUCAAAAGUAUUGUCCCUCGCUAAUCCAUAUUGUAACGUAAGGGAGGAUCAUAUAAUUCUGAUUCUGACGUUAGGAACUGGAGAAAUGAGUUGGAGGAAUACCCAAUGUCCCUUUUCCCCAUUACAAUUAUAGUUUGAGAAAAGGGAUGUGCAUCAAUGGGGUUUUGUAUUACAUAUCUAAAAUUUUUUGCAGACCUCAUAAUGAAAAGUUUUAUGUGAUAGUUUGCUUUGAUGUUAGGUCUGAGAGCUUCAAAUUCAUUGAGGUAGAAGAAUGCAUUUAUUAUGCUACAUUGAUAAACUAUAAAGGCAAAUUAGGUGGGAUUAGAACGGAGUAUGAUGGUGAUAGCAAUACCCUUGAGCUGUGUUUGUGGGUUCUAGAGGAUGUCGAGAAACAUCAAUGGUCGAAAUAUGUCUACAUUUUGAAAGAUGAUGAAUUCGUUGAAGUCUGCUUUCUUAACGUCGCUGGAGUAACAACUGCGGGUGAAAUUGUGUUGUCAAUGAGAUGUACAUCUACAACGUUUUAUGUUUUCUACUUCAACCCCGAAAAGACACUCUCCAACAUGUUGAAAUCAGAGGUUUUGGAGAAUACAACGAUGAUAGAGUUUAUGUAAUGUUACCGAUGCAAAGUACCUCAAGUCAAGCCAAGGCCUUAAUAUCAUUAGGCAAAGGCCAAAACUACCAAAACCAUAAUAUCUUUGAAGAACAAGUAUGAAUUAUUGAGCUAACCUAGAGUGAGGACAACUGGUUUGUUGUUGGCUAAUCUGAUCUUGGAAGCCAAUCAAAUUCCAUGCAUAAGAAGAGUCUAGCCAGUUUGGCUGUGAGUGUGAUUUCUCAUUUACAGGUUUCGUGUGAGCUUUUUAUUACAUUCCUAAUGAGCAAGUGAAUCCGUUUUUUUUUUUUUUACCUUUAUUUUCCAUGAUCAAUUUCCUUGCUCCGCAAGUCAUCUAAAAGUUCUGUUUAAUACAAAGAAAUUGCAUUCCUUCAGUGAACGAAGAUUUAUUUACCAAUUUCAGAUUUCUAGGAAUUCUACGCAGAAACAAAUUACGAAUUUUUUUAUUUAUUCAGAUUCUAGAAUUUGAAGUCUUCCUACCUCCUCACACGACUCUUUCUUCGAAAAAUACAUCACAAAACUAUUCUGCUGAACCAAACUGUUAACCGGACCAAAUUGCUCAAUAUUUUAUAUACCGGGACUGGUAUUUAUUGGAUUAAUCAUUGGUACGCUAAUCUCAGAUUUUAGUGUCUAAUUAAUUAGGUUAGUGCCCGACUCUCUAUAUUUUUUUAGAGUCUCUGCGCGAAUGAGUUUUACACAGCUACAGCGAUCAUAAUGAAUAGAGGAGGAGAGAUUCGAUGUCGAAAAAAAGAAAAGAGGAAAAAAGGUUCCAGAUUCUAUCCCAAAGUCAAUCGCAAGGUGUCGUUGCUUGUCUAAGCUAUGGGGUUAUAUGUUUCAACGUUUCACCGACUUGUUCCAGACCAGACCUCGUCCGAGUCUCUUAUUCGUCCUCCAACGACAUGGCGAGUGGAGCUUCUUCUCAUCGCCUCAGCUUCAGAAUCCAUACAAGAAGUCGUCUCUUGUAGUAUCUGCCGAUUUUCAUGUCAAGUUCUCUAGAGACAUGUGCCCUGUAGCCUUUCAUAUGAAGUUCCUAGAAGACAUGUGGCCUUCAGACUUUCGUGGCCUUACCUUUGGUUUGAUAUAUUUAUCUAGCAUGCGGAUCACAGAAAAGAAUGGUGAGGAUGAUGCAGUAGUGCAUGUGAUAUUUAACCCUAGAACGAGACAGUUUGCGAGCUUGCCUAAACUGGAAACGGACGGACUGUCGAGAAGCUUUUUAGGGUUUGAUCCAAUUGACAAGCAAUUCAAGAUCUUGUCUGUGGAUGUUGAUGAUCAUAGAAUUCUGACGUUAGGAACGGAAGAAAUGAGUUGCAGGAAGAUCCAAUGUCCUUUAUGGCAUCGUUCUUGGCCCGAAGAAGGGAUAUGCAUCAAUGGGGUUUUGUAUUAUUUAGCUGAAACUUAUGACACAUCUGAUGAACCGUAUGAUGGUUAUGUGAUAGUUUGCUUUGAUGUUAGGUCUGAGAAAUACAAAUUCAUUGAGCUAGAAUACUUUGAAGCUAAAUCGAUAAACUAUAUGGGUAAAUUAGGUAGGAUAAAUUGGAUGUAUACUAGCGUUGGAAGUGGAAGGCGUACCCUUGAGUUGCAUAUGUGGGUUCUAGAGGAUAUCGAGAAACAGGAAUGGUCGAAAUUUGUCUACACUUUUCCGGCUAAUGAACUCGUUGACCUCUGCUAUGUUUCGGUCGCUGGAGUGACAGCUACUGGUGAAAUUGUUUUGUCGAUGAAGUAUACAUCUAAACCGUUAUAUGUUUUCUACAUCAGUCCCGAAAGAAACACUCUCCAACGUGUUGAAAUACAAGGUUUUGGAGAAUACUAUGAUGAUAAUAAUCAUAGAGUUUCUGUAUUUGUUGACUAUAUGUAGAAGAUCUUAAUGUUACCGAUGCAAAGUACAUCAAGUCAAGCCAAUGCCUAAAUAUCAUUAGGCAAAGGCCAAAGCUACCAAAACCACAAAAUUUCUCUGCAACACAACUCCAUUUUUGAAGUUGUGAGUGCGUGUGACUUCUAUUUACAGGGUUUCGUGUGAGCUUUAUAAUCUAUUGGCUUAGCUUUUUUUUUUUUUUUUUUUUUGCUCUUUCUUGUUAUUUUCUUCAUGUCCUACUGUCAAAAGUUGUUUAUCGACCCUCUAUAGUAUUUUUGUUUUCUCUGACUUUGUUUUCACGAAGCUUCUAGAUCGAUAGUACAGGAAAUAAACGCUGUUUUUAGUCACUAACAUAAACAAAUCUCGUAAGAAAAACUGGAAAUUUCUCAAAAAUUGCAAAUUCUCCCAUGCACUGUUUUGGUCUAUAUAUAUCCAUUUCUUGACAAGGUCAUGUGCUCGUCCGCGUCUCUUAUUCGCCCUCAAACGAGACGGAGAGUUGAGCUUCUUCUCAUCGCCUCAGCUUCAGAAUUCAUACGGGAAGUCGUCCUCUCUUGUAGUAUCUGCCGAUUUUCAUAUGAAGUUAUCUAGAGGCAUGCAGAGUUAUUUCCAGACUUUCGUGGCCCUACCUCUGGUUUGUUAUAUUUCUCUAGUAUGCAUAUCUCAGCUAACAAGGGUUGGGAUGUAAUAGGGCCUGUGAUAUUAAACCCUAGAACGAGACAAUAUGUUAGCUUACCUGAACUGGAAACGUACGAAAGAAGUUCAGAUUGCUACUUAGGGUUUGAUCCGAUUGACAAGCAAUUCAAGGUAUUGUCAGUGGCUAAUGGUGAUCAUAGAAUUCUGACUAUAGGAACCGGAAAAAUGAUUUGGAGGGAAAUCCAAUGCCCCUUAUGCCAUUAUCCUGAGCCUUAUUCUGCGUCCGGAGAAGGGAUAUGCAUCAAUGGGGUUUUGUAUUACUUAGCUGUAACUUUUCGCCUACCGCAUGAUGAUUAUGCGAUAGUUUGCUUUGAUGUUAGGUCUGAGAAAUACAAAUUCAUUGAGAUACAACCCUUUAGAGCUAAAUUGAUAAACUAUAAAGGUAAAUUAGGUAGGAUUAACUGGAAGUAUGGUUACAAUACCUAUGAGUUGCAUAUGUGGGUUUUAGAGGAUAUCGAGAAAAAUGAAUGGUCGAAAUAUGUCUACAACUGGAAGGAGUACCCCUAUGUUUCCGUCGUUGGAGUGACCGCUGCGGGUGAUAUUGUUUUGUCAAACGGCUAUACAUAUGUUUUCUACUACAGUCCAGAAAUGAACACUGUCCAACGUGUGGAAAUCCAAGGUUUUGGUGAAUACUAUGAUCAUCAUAUAUAGUGUUUCUGUCUUUGUUGACUAUGUAGAAGAUCUUGAUGUUAACGAUGCAAAGUACCUCAAGUCAAGCCGAUGGCUAAAUAUCAUUAGGGAAAGGCCAAAACCACAAAUAUUCUCUGCUGCAACUCAACUCCAUCUUUGAAGGAAAAGCAGCCGAUAUGACCCUCCUACUGAACAAGUACGAAUUAUUUAUCAAACCUUGAGUGAGGCAAAGCCAAGCCAAAUUCAUGUGAAAGAGUCUAAGCUUGUUUUGGCUGUGACUGCAUGUGACUUCUGAUUUAUAGUUUUCGUGUGAGCUUUAUCACUCUGUUGGCCUAGCUUUUUUUUUUUGUUCUCUCUGUUAUUAUCUUCAUGUCCUGAUUGCAUGUGUUCGACUUUACUUGGGAGCAAAAUAUUGUUUAAUCAAAAGUUGUUUAUCGACCCUCUACAGUAUUUAUUUUUUCUCUGACUUUGUUUUCACAAAACUACUAGAUCAAUAAUAAUACAUGAAAUAAACGCCGUUCUUAGUCAUUUUAUAGUCACUAACAUAAACAUAUCUCGUAAGACAAAUUGUAAAUUCUCUCACAUGCCGGAUCAGAACUUUUAAGUCACUCUUCUAGCUGCUCUAUCUGAGAGAUAUCACAAGCUAUUAUUAGACAUUUACCCUUUGAUAUUUCAUUUUUCGGUUAAGUCUGGUUUACUUUACCAUAGAAGGUCUCGCAAUGGUUUUCGCUCGAGGUGCUUAACACUUUUAAACAGCAAAGCCUGCUAUUUUGCUUGAAUAAAUCUUGAUUGUUCAUCCCUUUUAGAAUAAUCAGGACAGAUAUUCUACUUUUUUUUCAAUGCUUUACAAUUUUUCUCGGGUUAGCUUCAGAGAUGUGUACGCAUAUUGUCUAUUGUCUGUGAGCACAAACUACUUUGAAAUUUUGAUGUCGAUAUAAUGGCCACUGUUUCUUUGAUGGUGUUAUUCUGAGGAUCAUCAAAACUGGAUUUUCAGCCAUUAUCUUUAUACAAAUCUUCACAUGUAUCUUUACAUAAGCAUAAAAUUUGUUACAGUGAGGUAUUUUCAUUUUGUAUUGGUUUAUUCCAUUGUUGUUGUUGAUGAUAUCAUGAAAUUCGAGGCAAUGAAGCUGCAUUCAAGUUAGUUAUCUAAAACUCCAAAACAAAAACAUGAAGAUAUUAAAUAAGCUCUGUUUUGCUAUCUUUUUCUCCUUGAAGAUGGUUAUAUCAACACUAUAAACUAAUGCAGGCCGCAGGAAAACACAGAGAAGACAAGAAAACCUAUGUUGUUCAAGACAAAAUAUCAUCAUCAUUCUUCAAGUUCUUGUGUAUCUAGUGAAUCUUAAAUUCUUUAUUCGGACCAAACUGUAUUUCUGUUCUAUUGAAAGUUGCAUUCGUUGCGUGGCUUACCAAAACACACAAAUGUAAUCUGUAGUCUUUCAAUACGUUUUUCUCUGCUGUUUGAAACAUUAACUGAUUGCGACUUGUGAGUGAGAUUUCUUGAAUCAGACAACAAGAAUACUUAUUGAAUAGCGAAAAAAUAGAAACAUAACGAUGACGACAAAAAACGCGUUGUGAAAAAAUAAAAAUGUCUAUUUCCUUUUGGUUUCGAUUUCAAUUUAACCGAAUCAUCCAUCGAGUCAUAAUUUUCAUAAACAGUUUGAAAUCUCUUCGGUCUAACAUAACCCAUUACCGGUUAUCAGGUUCAUGUCCUAACUGUGUUAGACUGUACUUGGAGCAAACUAAAGUUUUUAUCAAAAGUUCUUUUAAGACCUCUAUAAUAUUCUUGUUUUCUCUGACUUGGAUGACUUUGUUUAGACCUCUGACUUUUUCUAGGAAACAAAACCAACAAAUUUAUAUUGCUGUUUUGCUUGCUUCUCUCUAAAUGUUUUUUGCCUUGUGAAACGCUCAAUUCCUAUAAGAGUUUACACAAGCAAGAACCCAACAAAAUAACAAAGUCUUGUGUAUAAAGUCAUUAUUAAUACGUAUAAAGUUUUCUUUUUCUUUUCGACAAAAGAGUAUAUAGUUAUCUAUACUUGUGUAUAUAGUCAUCUAUAUUUCUGCAUCUAUAGUAAAAAACAAAAAAAAAUUAUUAAGGAGUAAGUAAAUUCGCUUUUUUUUUUCAUUUCGAUUCCAUGAUAUAUGUGCUUUGGAAAUAUAUUGAUCGUUUCUUGUCUGAGUUAAAUUUUCAGGUUGCUCAUAUAGUCUACUGCAAGCCUAGUAGCGUAUGGUAAUAUCAAAUAUCGAUGUCUCUCUCCUUGCAGAACAAAUGCAAUGUGGGAUGUGCUUUCAUCAACCUUUCUGAAAAUAUUGUCCUCCUUUAAUAAGGUAUGAUUGAGUUGUGUUUAGGAAGUUACCAAAUGUGUUUAAGAAAAAAAGCUCACCAGCAGAAAGAAACGUAACAAAUUUGAUGCUCUGUGUCUAUUUUAUUGUCACGAGAACAGAAGCGUAAACACAUCAACAAUCAUAUAAAGCUCACCUGCAACAAGAUAGUGGUACGUUUAAGAGCAAUAAAUUUGAUGCUCUGCGUCUUUUAAGUGAUGAUGAAUUCACAAUUGUUGUACUAUAAAACAAAAAGAAUUUACAUGAAGAUGUUAAAAAUUAAAUAUCUGUUAUUAUGCUAUCUCUGUUAAAUCAACCCUGUAAAACUAAUGCAGGUCGCAGAAAAAUACAGAGUUGAUAGGAAAACGUAUAUUAAUUGUUCAAGAAGACACAGAUAUCAUCAUAUUAUUCAAGUUUAAUGUUUCUCUAGUGAAUCUUUAUUUGGGAUCAAACUGUAUAUAUAUCUUUUGUUUUUGAAAACUGACCGCUUUACCUUGUUCCGCAAGUAAAAGCUCUGUUUAAUACAAACAAAUUGCAUUCUCUCCGUAAAACAUCAAGUUAUCAAUGAAAUUAAGUUCUUAUAUAUUUUAUGUCGGCUAAAAGUUGUUUUCAAAAAUAUAUAUGUUCCUUCCACAUCCCAGCUGAAAGAUAAAGUCACUUUUGUGUGCUUGUGAAAUUGACAAUGCGUCUUCACCGUUUUAUCAACACAAAUCAACAAAAACCUUAUUCAAGGCUCUGUAAAUGCUAUCAGAUUUUAGUUGUAAUUAGCGGAAAAAAAAACGUCAGAUUUUUUUUUUUUAACUUCUAAAUUUAUUAUAUAUGACUAAGAUAGUCUAAAUGUAAUACAUCAAUUAUGAUAGUUGGGACAUAACAAUGAAACAUGUAAGAUGUAUUAAUUGGUAGUGGUGGUUUAUAUAUAUAGUUUUGAACAGUUAAUUAGCCUAAGCAAACACUACAAUCGAUUUGUAACAGUUUUCACCUGUAAACAUUCGAAACUCUAAAACAGAGGAUUGAAGUAAUGUGCUCGAAAACUUACCUUUUUUCUGCUAUGAUUUAGAGGAACAAUUUCUUGACGAAUUUCAGAUUCUAGGAAUUUUCUUCGACAAAUUCCAAACCAUUAACCAGACCAAAUUGCUUAAUCUUUUGCAAACCGGAACUGGUAUUUUAUUGGAUUACUUUAUACCGACUUUGCGACGCUAGUCUCAUAUUUUUGGUGUCUUAGACUCUUAGGUUAGAGCCGGCUCUAUGUUAGAGUCUCUGCGAAUGAUUUGUACUCAAGUAUCUUUCUCUCUCUACAGAUAAGCAAAUACAACGAUCAUGAUGAAGAGAGGAGGAGAGAAGAUUCGAUGUCAAAAAAAGAAAAGAGGAGCAGAGAUUCCAGAUUCCAUCCCGAUUGAUCUCCUUCUCGAGAUAUUCUCGUGAUUGCCAGCAAAGUCAGCAGCUGCUAGGUUUCGUAGCCUCUCGAAGCUAUGGGGUUCCAUGCUUCACCGUUUAUAUUUCACAGAGUUGUUCUUGACAAGGUCAUGUGCUCGUCCACGUCUCUUAUUCGCCCUUAGACAAGACGGUGAGAGAGAGUGGAGCUUCUUCUCGUCCCCUCAGCUUCAAAAUCCAUACAAGAAGUCUUCUCUUGUAGAAUCUGCCGAUUUUCACGUCAAGUUCUCUAACGACAUGUGGCCUCCUGUAGACUUUUGUAUGUACCCCCAAAACAAGUGGCCUGAAGUCUUUCGCGGCCUUACUUCUGGUUUCAUAUAUUUCCCUCGUACACAGAUCUCAGCAAAGAAGGGUUGGAGUCUAGCAGGGCCUGUGAUAUUUAACCCUAGAACGAGACAAUAUGUUAGCUUACCUAAACUAGGAACGGACUCAGAUUACUUUUUAGGGUUUGAUCCGAUUGACAAAGAAUUCAAGGUAUUGUCAGUGGCCGAGAAUAAUAAUAGAAUUCUAACAUUAGGAACUGGAGAAAUGGUUUGGAGGAAGGUCCAAUGUGGUGGUGGUCCCUUAUGGCAUUAUUCUUGGCCUGGAGAGAAGGGAUAUGCAUCAAUGGGGUUUUGUAUUACUUAGCUGAAACUUUUCGCGAUACUACUGAACCGUAUGAUGAUUAUGCGAUAGUUUCUUUUGAUGUUAAGUCUGAGAAAUAUAAAUUCAUUGAGCUAAAAUACUUUAAAGCUAAACUGAUAAACUAUAAGGGUAAAUUACGUAAGAUUAGUUGGAAUUAUACUGACGUUGGAACUGGAAGGCGAGCACUUGAGUUGCGUAUGUUGGUUCUAGAGGAUGUCGAGGAACAGAAAUGGUCUAAAUGUGUCUACACUUUGGAGGAUGAUAAACUCGUUGACUGUGAUCAUGUUUCGGUCGUUGGAGUGACUGCUGCUGGUGAAAUUGUUUUGUCCAUGGACUACACAUCUAAAUACACACCAUUUUAUGUUUUCUACUUCAAUCCUGAAAGAAGCACUCUCCAAAGUGUUGAAAUCCAAGGUUUUGGUGAAUACUAUGAUGAGAUUCGCCAUAGAGUUUAUGUCUCUGUAGACUGUGUAGAGGAUCUUAAUGUUACCGAUGCAAAGUACUUCAAGUCAAGCCGAUGGCUAGAUAUCAUUAGGCAAAGGCCAAAACUACCAGAACCACAAAGAUUCUCUGCAACUCAACUCUAUCUUUGAAGAACAAGCAUCCGACAACCUCAAUGCUGAGGAACAAAUACAAAUUGUAUUCCCUCUCUGUGAACAUAGAGUUAUCAAAUAAAUUCUUAAGAAAAUGAGUUUUUUUUUUUUUUUUUAAUUCAUGUCGGCUGAUGUUGUUUACAAAAUAUUUAAAACAUAGCAUUUUUUGGCUGAGUAUGUGUGACUUGUCAUAUACUGGUUUCGUGUGAUCAGCUUUAUUAAGUAUUUUGUGCUUUCUGGUUUUCAUGUCCUAAUUGUUUGUGUUACACGUUACUUUGGAGUUGGGAGAAUAAUAUCAGCAAAGUGAGGAUUUAUCCUACAUUGCGUUUCAGAAAGCUCAUUUGUUCGUAAUGUUAAUGCUAAAAAGUUCCUUUAAGACCUAACCAUUAUUCUCUGCUCUGGAAUAUGAGACGCUUCUUUUCUUUCGUUCUGUGUAUGCAUUCUAUUUAAUUUGGACUGUUAAAGAUAAGAGGAAAACACAGUUUGAUUAGCGACGGUGUAAGAGAAACUCAGAUUAAAAGUCCAAGACUUAGUUUCAGAUAACAAAUAUGGCUUUGGGACGUAAAAUGUUUCUUGGUGGCUCGGUAACAGAAACCAGGAAAGAAGACUGCAUUUUGUAGUGCACCAAAUUGGAUCGUUUGUGUUUUGGCUCUCCAAUGGCAUGUACUGAGACAUAAUCGCCAUGAUUCCUGAAAUCCGUAUAAGACUGCAUGCAUUUUGGUUUAGACACAAAAAUCAGAAGUAUCACUAGAGAGAUUCAUGAUGAUGACGACGAUGAAUUUGAUGAUUCGUUAAGAGAAGCAAAAAUGUGAGAAAACAUACCCUGACACGAUACUUGUAGAAUACGUAACCACCUACACAAACACAGACGUGAAACUAAGAUUAUAAUUAAGACUUAGUUUCAGAAAAAAAAUUGGCUUUGUUAAGAUCACAGACGUGAAACUAAGAUCCCUAUUGAUAUCGUUACCGAGAUAUUCUUGAGAUUACCUUCAAAGUCCAUCGCUAGCUAGUUUCGUUGCGUGUCGAAGCUAUGGGGUUCUCUGUCUCACCAUCUAUAUUUAGCCAAGUUAUUCCUGACCAGGUCAUGGACAAGUCCACGUAUCUUAUUCAUCCUCAAAGGACACCGCCAGUAUAGCGUCUUCUCGUCGCCUCAGCUUCAGAAUCCAUACGGGAAGUCAUCCUCUCUUGUAAUAUCUGCCGAUUUUCAUGUCAAGUUCUCUGAUCACAUGUGGUCUGCAGAGUUUUGUGGAGUUACAAAUGGUUUGAUCUAUUACUCUAGCAUGACAAUCUCAGAAAAGAAGAGUGAGGAUGCAGUAGUGCCUAUGAUAUUUAACCCUAUCACGAGACAGUAUGCAAGUUUGCCUAAAAUGACAAAGGACGGAGCGGAGAGAGCUAGCGUGUUAGGGUUUGAUCCGAUUGACAAGCAAUUCAAGGUAUUGGCUAUGGCCGCUUAUCCAUAUGCUAAUGAAAGGGAGGAUAAUAGAAUUCUGAUUCUGACGUUAGGAACUGGAGAAAUGAGUUGGAGGAAGAUCCAAUGUCCUUUCCCUCAUUACCAUUAUAGUUUGAGAGAAGGGAUAUGCAUCAAUGGGGUUUUGUAUUACUUAUCUAAAAUUUUUUGCGGACCUCAUGAAUCUCAUGAUAAAGAGUCUUAUGUGGUAGUUUGCUUUGAUGUUAGGUCUGAGAGCUUUAAAUAUCAUUAAGCUUAAGGUAGACGAAUGCGUUGAUUGGUAUGCUUAAUUGAUGAUUUAUAAGGGCAAAUUAGGUGUGAUUAACCGGAAGUUUUAUGGCGGUAGCAACAUCCUUGAGUUUCAUUUGUUGGUUCUAGAGGACGUAGAGAAACAGGAAUGGUUGAAAUAUGUCUACAUUUUGCCGGAUAUUAAACUCGUUGACCUCCGCUAUGUUUAUGUUGUUGGAGUGACUGCUACGGGUGAGAUUGUUUUUGUCGAUGGCAAGUACAUCUCAACCGUUUUACACUUUCUACUUUAAUCUCGAAAGGAACACUCUCCAACGUGUUGAAAUCCAAGGUUUUGAAGAGGAUUAUUAAUAGAGUUUACACCUCUUUAGACCAUGUAGAAGAUCUUAAUGUUAACGAUGCAAAGUACCUCAAAUCAAGCCAUUGCCUUAAUAUCAUUAGGCAAAGGCCAAAACUACCAACUUAAAACCACAGAAACUUUGCAACUCUACUCCAUCUUUGAAGAAGAAGAAGCCGACAACCCAAUGCUGAACAAGUACGAAUUAUUAGCAAAGCUUGAGUGAUGAUAGGUGUUGAUUUGUUGUUGGAGGCCAAGCCAAAUUCAUGUACAAGAGUCUAGUUUAUUUUUGCUGUGAGUGCGUGUGAUCACUUCUCAUUUACAGUGGGCUUUGAUUAUCACUCUGUUGGCUUGGCUAAUUUUGUUCUUUCUGGUUAUCAUGUUCAUGACCUAACUGUGUUAGACUUUACUUGGGGAGCAAACUAAUGUUUUAUCAAAAGUUCGUUUUAGACCACUAUAGUAGUUCUUGUUUUCUCCUACUCUUUUCUUAUUACAAAUUUACUAGAUCGAUGAUACCGGAAAUAAACGCCGUAUUUAUUCCCAAACGUAAACAAAAUCUAGCUCGUAAGGAAAAUUGGAUAUUUGAAGCUCGCAAAAAUUGUAAAUUCUCAAAUGCUAGAUCACAACUUUAAGUCACAUUUCUUGCAGGCUUGCAGCUCUCACUGAGAAAUCACUUGCUAUAACUAGGCUUUUACCUUUUCAUUAUUAUUAUUUUUUAUAGUUACGUCUGAUUUACUUUACCAAAUAAGGUCUCGCAAUGGUUCUGUGCUCCAGAAUCUUCUUUUAAAAUUGUUUUGAGCAAAGCCUGCAAUUAACUUGGUAAAUAUUGAUUGGUGUUCAUCUCUUUUAGAAUCAUGAGGAAAGAUUUUUUUUUCUUUACAGGUUUGGCCUUCACAACACGCUGUGAUCUCCCUAUAUUCUAGUUUGGUGACUUGAUAAUGCUUCUAAUCAUAAAUUUUGCUACAGUUAGCUAUUUUUAUUGUGUAUGGUUUAUUCCAUCGUUGUUGAUAUCAUGAAAUUCGAGGCAAUGAAGCUACAGUUAAGUUAUUUAACACUCCAAACAAAAACAUGAAGAUGUUAAAUGGUUAUAUCAACCCUAUAAAACUAAUGCAGGCCGCAGGAAAAUACAGAGAAGACAAAAAAACGUAUAUUGUUCAACAAGACACAGAUAUCAUCAUAUUCUUGAAGUUCAAUGUUUUCUCUAGUGGAUCUUUAUUGGGACGAAACUGUAAUUCUUUUGUUUUUUAAAGUAGCAGAUUUUUUUAGUGGCUUACCAGAACAUACAAGUACCUGUAAAUCAUGUACUUUUUCGCAGUUAGCUUAGAUGGUAUCUAAUUAGUCGAUUUUCAUCGUUUAAAAUAAUUAUGAAGAUAGUGCCAACUGGUAAGCUAGACUUAGACAAAACCAAAACCGAACAUUUGAGGAUCUAUAUGUGUAUGUAGAUAAAGACCGAAUAAUGUAAAUAUAUAUUUCACAAGUUUACAUAAAAGUCUUUAACCAAAAAAAAAGUUUACAUUAUGUCAAAUACAGAGUUCUCUCCUCGGCUGGAAAUGACCCUCGUGGAUUCUGGUCCAAAGUCCUACUACACCAAAUCUCAAAUACACCGAAAUACAAAGAGAUACCACUUAUAUAUAGAUAGAUUUAUAAUGUAUAAAACAUACUUAGUAUAUAUAUAUAUAUGUGUCUAUAUCAUGUUAAUAGUUUCACUCUGUAGUCAAAACAGAGUAUUUUCAUUUCCUACCCCUAAUUUAAAUAUAUAAUCCCGAAAAUUUCCCAAGAAAAAAAAAGAGAGGAAAUGCAUUGACAAAAAGAGAGAGAACUAGCAAGACCACAUAGACUCUCCCAAACUCGCUUCAUCAACCAUGUCCAUAUGGCUAAACAUGCUUUUGUUGUCUUGUGGACUCACUUGCUUCGACGAUGGUGAGCCGCUGCUACUCGGGCUAUCCGGACACAAUCCAUGGCCCGUGAAAUUAGUUGAAUGUCGUACACGUAGGUGCACCACUUCUGCUUGAGCCAGAGCUAGUUGGGCUUGUAACACGUCAAUUUGUUGCUGAAGAGACGAAAUCGCCCCUACGCAACCGUAAACUGGGUCCCGAACUCUUGCAUUAGCUUCAUAGACCAUGCUGCUCACCGCGUCUCCACGCUGGUGGAUUGGCAACUCCUGUGAAGGAUUUUUGAAAACAUCUUGUUAGCCAUUAGAACUAACCAAUCUCGCAAGAGUUCAACAUGUAGAUUCUACAUUAGCUAAUUAACAAGUGUAUCUCAAGUCAUUAUUAACUUUAGCUAACAAAAGUUCAAGUGGUUGGAUUUUACAUCAGCUAACGAGUGUAGAUAUCAUUAACAUAUUUUCUCAAUUCUCAAACCUUUUCAAAAAAAAUGUACAAGAUCUAUAGAAGUAGUACUCAUAAUAAAAUGUAAAUUCACAAAUUUUUGUUUUAAAUUCCUUAAAUUAGUUUGACAAAAAAAAAAAAUUCCUUAAAUUAGUUUAUUAUCUAUGGGUCGGUCGGACCAUUCAGUAGUUGUCAAUAAAAGUUAUGGAAAUGAUAGUAAUGUCUUUUUCUAUAUUUAUAAUUUAAAAAAAUAAGAGAGAAGAAAAGUUAUACUAACUAACCCCAAAAUAUGAUUAAGCACGUUUUGAUUAAUUUUGGUUACAUUUAAAUAAAAUUUACUUGAAGCAUCUUGUUGACGUUGCUAGCACCGAACACUCUAUGAACAUUGGCGAAUUUCUGAGGCUCGUCCGCCGGAAAAUACGGCGAGAAAACGCAAUCCUGAGCGCAUCGUCGCCGCAAAAGCUUGCACGCCGCGCACGGUGACGCCGCUCCUUGCUUCCGGCCACUUUCCUUCAUCUCUCGCUACGUCACGUGUCCCUUUGGAUUUGUGAAUUUCUGUACAGGAUUGAAUCUCAACCGUUGGAUUGAGAGUUAAUCGUCGUCAAUUUUAUCGAAAAAGCUUUGGAGUCUAGGUGAAGAGUGCUGAAUCGGUUGAGAUUUAUAGAGUGAGAAAAAUGAAUUAAAAAUUAAAAAUGCAUUAAGAUUUUAAGACAAAAGAAAAAAAGAAAGUCAGCACAUCUGGUAGUGGGACCCAAAGAUUUGGAAAACACUUUAGAUUUUUCUGGUCCUAGAGCAAAAUUACAUCACGUGACACGACCAUUAAGCUUUUUGGCGCCAAAUUCUAUUUGUUUUUAUUUAUUUUCUUUUUGUCUUUUACUCCUUAUCUUAAAUUCUCAUUGGUCUGAAUAUUAUUUUAUAAUUUGUUUUAUCAAUACAAGUUGUAAUUAAUAUUUUGGCCAGAACGUUUCAACUGUGUUAAACUAGUUAUAUUUUAUAAUUAAAAUGGACUUUUAAAAUGAUGCCGACAAAAAUAAUAUUUAAAAUGAAAUUUACCAAACUUGUGAAGCAUUAAGAAUCCCAAACCUAAAAAUAAGAGGCGAUAUUGAGUAGUAUAUAAAAACAGAAUCUAAAGUUAAUUAUUUUGAAUUUAAAACUCAUAAAACUUUACGUGAAGUCUAUGCUAAUUGCUAAAAAAAAAAAGUCUAUGCUAAUUGCUAAAUAGCUUCUUCUUUGUUUUCUUGUUCACUUUGUUUUCUUCUUAGUUGCUUUUAUAGAGCUAAAGGGAGUUUUCUCUUUGGAGUUUUUCAUUUUUAUAGAAAUGUGUAUACAAUACAUGUAUAGGAUAAGGAAAUUUGUGGACUCGUGCUUGUGCAUGUAAUCAUUGUUUCUAUUUCUUUUGUUAAGCUUUCUUUGUGGGUCCCGUAAUAUGCAUAGGAAAGAAUAUUAACUGAAAUCAUUUUUUAAAUAUAAAACUAAAUUUCACUGCUUAAGACAUCAUGGAGUAGGGUAAAAUGAGGAAUCCUCGGAAAUUAACGCAGAGAGAUUUCAUUUCAUUUGCAACUUAUUUUUCAGUUUUUAUUGUCAUUUGCUAAUAACAACUUAACAAUUGUCGUUUAACAAUAUAAAAUUUUCAUUUUUCCGACAAAGAAAACUUUCAUUGUCAUUUAUAUAAAUGAAAAUUUCCUAUUGCCAUUUCACAAGUUUUGCCAUAUUCAAAAACAGUUAAGUUUUUUUAGGUUAUCCAUACUUUUUUUCUAUCUAACUUUGUGAAAUCUGAUCUUUUACUGUUUUUAUCCAAGGUCACAAAUUAUAAAGAAACAACUACCUUAAAAUAAACACAAAUAUAUAAUGGGGGCAAAUAUGUCGCGUCAUCACUAGUCAAAAACAAAAAGUUGAAAGAAACAAUACAGUGCACGCUAUUUUUGUAGAAAAAGAAGGUUGAAAAGUACUCAAAGAAAUUCAAAAACAGAAAAACAAAAAAAAGACGCCCAUAGUUUCGAAAUCAAUAUGAAAGAUCGUAGAAUCGUGGCGAUCAAUGUCCUUUUAUCAAGCGAACUAGAAAACUAAUGUUGUUCUUAUUUUUUCUUUCUUCCUGAAUGUAAAUAUACUGUAUUUCUAGAUAUGCAUACAAUCAAUUGAGUAUUAGAAAGUAUUCACACAUUUAUUUUUUUUUUGCAUUUAUCAUUUUUGUUUUGGCUAUGUUGGUGCUAUCGUUUUCGGAUAGAACUUUGCUUUCGAAUUUUACUGGAGCAGAUUAUAGUCACUGUGAAGUGUUUGAACUUUAGAUUGGCAAUAGAAAAAUCCAAAAAUAUUUUGGAAGAAAUUUAGAAAGAUAAUAUUGUUUUAUUAGAAGGGAAAAGAGACACCACACUCGACAGUUUCCACUAGUGAUAAGAUUUGUAUAUAUAUGGUGGAGUGUCUUUCCGACAAACUAUAACAGUCGACUCUUUUCUAUAACCACUUAGACCAUGUUCAUUGAGAGCCCUUUCAUAUUUUUUAAUUGAGUUGCUAAUGAAUAUUUUGAGUUAAAAUAAUGAAAAAGAAGUCCAAAAUAUAAGAACUGACCCUUGCAGAAAGGUUUUUAGGGCUUGCUCUUAGAAGAUUGCUUAUAAAAAAAUAUUAUAAUAUUCUUAAGGAACUUUUAAUGAAACCUUUUAAUGUACAUGUCCUUAGAGCCUUUGCCGUUUUCCAUCGUUCUUAUUGGUCAUGGAAAAAUAAAGAUUACUAAUAGUAUCUUUUUGUAUGAUGAAAUUAUAAGUUUACAAAUUUUGUUAAUAUUUUUCUAUAUCAGAUGCAGUGACCGGACCAAAAAGCAUGAUUUUUUUUCUUUUUGUAUUUCAUCAAAUUAUAGUAACAAUAUGAAAUAUUUUUGACGGAAUGUGUCGGUUUCAAUAGAUCUCUUCCUCUCCAAUCCCGAAUCUUUGAUUAUUCUAUAAUUGGAACAAAUGCAUCGGCAGGUAGCUACUCGUUUUCUUUGGAACUAUUAUAUAACUCCCCAAAAAUAUUAUACCAUUUGUAUAAUAAUUUUAUGAAAAUGAAUUACUAUUAAAACCUUAAAAUUAAACAACAUGUAAUUGUAAUAUGUAACAUACGUGAAUUUUUAAGAUUUCAAAUCAUCUGUAGCAAUUUAUAACUAUAUAUAUAUAUAUAUAUAUAUAUUAUGGAUUGUUGAACCCUAAAUCCAUAACGUAAGUAAACUAAAUACUUUCUGAAGUAAAGUCGACAGCUUUUGUGGUAAUGGAUUAAUAGUGUCUACUUGUUUAGAAAUUAUCGUGUUAGUUUAAAAGUAUAACGAUUUUUCUCAAACAUAAAAUUAUCUAAUCAUUUUUAUUUGAUCAGUCAAAUUAAAUAAUGUCAUGUUAAACUCGUAAAAAAUAAAUUCACGUUAGGAGAUCCGUUGGAUCGUAAAUGCGCAAAUCGUCUAAUUAUAAGAAGAAGAAAAAAUGUCGACCGCUUCAUGAGAAGAAUAUUAUUCACUCCACUAGGAAGCGGCAUGAACCAUUCUUUUUCUUCAAACCUAUUUUAUAAUUAUUUGUUGUUGUUAAAAGAUUACGUACCUAUUUUAUAAUUUCAGAUCUAUUCCGUUCGUUCGUCAAGUGUUCGUCCGUUUUUUUGUUCGAAGUUAACUUUCAAUGUUCUCCAUUUCCAUGGAUAUUUUUAGGUGUAGACAAAAUAUUUAGUCCAAAUAAGGAAUAAGUAAUACAUUCAUUAAAGCCAAAAUAACCUGUAUGUUGACUUUUUAAUAUUUAUGGGCCAACCGUUAAACCAAAAUUAAUUUUACAUUUGAAGAAAGUUAUAGAGAAGACACAGUGAAAAUGUACAUGUUUUAUAGUUUGUUUCAGCUAUAUAUAAAUGUUUAAACAUUAAUCAUACAUACAGACAUACAGUAUAUAGUUUGUACAGACACCCUCGCCCACUAUCGGUAUUUCUUCUUUAACAUGAUAUUCUUCAUAAACUAAACAAUUGUAAAGCUAACGGAAAAUAUGAAUUAAAUGCAUAUGGAUUUAUUAAGCGAUUCAGAUUGAGUAUAUUCUUCUCAUAUUCUGGAUGUUUCGGAAUUAUGGUUUAUAGUUUCUUAUGUCAAAAAAUAUAUAUAUACCAUGUCACAUGUUUAUAAGAACUAUAUCGUUUUCUCUCGAUAUACAGUAUAUUCGAAUUGGAUCAAACAUAGCCAAAUUAAAUAGUCUAUUUCUAAUCGACAUACAUUUAAUCAUACUUAAAUAUCUAAUUAUACAUUUAAUCAUACUUAAACCAAAUUAAAUAGUCUAGUUUCUUAUGUCAAAAAAUACGAUCGUAUUUCACACAUAAAUCCGAUCUAUGAAAAGCUCCAAAAAUCAACGUCCAAAUAUCCUAAAAUCCAUGUCAGCCCAACAAAAUGACUUAUCUCUAACUCUCACAGCGAGAUACGGAAUGCUACUUCGACAACAAUGAUAAUGAGCUUUGAACUAAACAUAAUAAGAAGAGCUUAACAAGUUAAUCAUAUAUAUCUUUGAGUUGUUGAAGCUAACCUGAAAAUGAAGUCGAGUAAAACACGUAAUCCAUACAGGAUAUAUGGAGUCGUUGGACUCGACAAAAAGCUAUAAAAGGAGAUAAAAAAAUUUAGUUUAGGGGAUAUAUAUUUUUCAAUGUAUUCAUAUAUAUGCUCUACGAGCUCGCUAUAAACACUAAAAACACAUCUUUUCCGAUAUCACUUUGUAAAAUUUGAUCCAUUGAUACAAAUCCAAAAAUUCGUUGAUUGAUCAAGUCUAUUUAGAUCUGAAUCAUAAAAAAAUCUAGCUAUCAAUUCCUUAUACAAAUUGCAAAUGUGAUUUUUAGCAUCCACAAAACUGCUCAUGCUGCAUUUAAUUUGUAAUGUAAUUAUUACAAUAUAUGUCAACUCUUGUUGGAAUUAUAAAACUCAGCGGUAGUUAAUUUGUCAAAUUAAGAAUGUCCUCUACAACAACCCUAUUGAUUAUAAACUAUUAUUAUUCCUUCGUUUUGCAACCUCUCCCUGACUUAAUUAAUGUUCCUUUCUAAAUCCAAACAAUUGAGUUAUAAUUUUCCUUAACUAAACCAUUGUUUAAAUAAAAUAUCAUCCCAAGAAGGUAGUUGUACAUAUAGUCAAAAAGCAACUCUCAUGAUCAUAAGUAUUUAGCAUGAGAUUGAUCAUUAGCUUAAUUCCCUUUAAUCAAUCAAACUAUUAAUUAAACUUAAUAAAAAUAUCAAACUAAAUGUUUGACAAAUUUCUACGCGAAUAUAAAGUAUUUAGCAUGAACAUAUUUUCGUUUCUUAAUUUAUAAAAUCUUUAUGUAAACAUUAGACUGUUUUUUUGUGCGGAUUUUUGCAUGUCUAAAUUUAGUAUUCAACACUUUAAUUGUCGUUCACUAUUCUAUAAAGUUAUAAAAUUGGUCAGACGAAUCAUGAAACCCCUUCAAACUAUUGUAAUAUAAUACACUUUAAACGUACUUGCUUACAUAUAUAUAUAUAUAUAUAUUUGAAAUAAAUUUUAAAUAUAAAAAGAUAAAUUUAAUGUAAAGUCAGUGAAAUCAACCGUAUAUAUAUUUUUUCAUAUUAUAUAGCCAUGUAUUUAAAAAAAAAAAGAUAAAACGUGAAGAUUGAUAAUAGAAAUGUUUUUUUAAUAUUUAUAUAUAGCUAUUUAACCAUGAGAAUGGCUACCUACCUCUCUUGGUCCGAGCUCAAGGCAAGAGGUUCAACGAGAGAGUACAAAGCUGUUGAUUGAAGUAGACAAAAAUAGUCGAGACUAGAGACGUUACUUUGACGGUUGAAAGAGCAUGAAAAAGAAAUAAAGCAAUACAAAAGAAAAGCUCUUUCGGUUGAUGGAAAUUUAAAUAAAUAAACAAAUAAAACAAAGACGUUAAAAUUAUAUAUAUAUAUAUAUAUAUAUAUAUAUAUAUAUAAACAAAUAAAACAAAAUCUAAAAACUAGAUUGGAGAGCAGUUUUAUUUCUCAAUGAAAAGAAACUGUAUGGAUUUUGAAAUAACAAUUAAAUAAGAACAAGAUCACUUCCAUAUCAUUAUGGCCCCUACCUAACAAUGAAAGUUUCCUCGACAACAUUAAUGCUCACAAUGUGUUAAGUUUGAUUGGUAUUUAUUUUUUACUGCAUCAUUAAAAAGAAUAACACAAAAUAUUCAACCAAUUACCGGUUAACCGCAAUUGAAGCCACCGUUGAUAAAAAAAAAUAAAGUAAAAAACAGAAAACAGAUUGAUUUACCACAAAAGAUUUUCGAAGCACUUAGUGAAGCCACCGUUGCAUUAAGUUUCUAAAAUGCUUGCGUUGUCUUCUCGCCGUGAUGGUGUUCUUGAUCUGCCUAUCAAUUCCCUUGAAAAGAAUAGAAGAGGUGAUAACCUGAUUUGUAAAUAGUCUGGUAUUCUUUUGAAUCCAGAUGAAAUAGCGAAUCGCUUGUCUUACCAUUUUACUUACUAUUUUUUUUUGUUACUUUAGAAUUUUUUUUUGGUUAAAAUUUAGUUAUUCCCUUAUUACUACCUAGAGAUGGACACUUUGAUUUACUUUUUAAUCCGGUUUGGAUUCGAUUUUGCUAGUUCUGUUUUGAUAAAUAUAUAACUGCAACUCAACUGAAAGUUUGUUUGGUAAGGUUCGGUUUGAAUUCGGUUUGAUUUGAUUCAAGUUUGGUUUAGUUUUAAUUUAACAAAAAAAAACUGGAACAUGAAACCAAAAUCAUCAUGCAUCACUUGAUAAUUAACAAAAAAAAAUAUAUAUAUAAAUAUAAACUAAAAAAUUCAAACAAUACAUUACAUGUACAAAGAAAACGAUGGAAAGAAAGUAAAAUAUUUCAAUCAUAUUAAAACCGAGUUUAUUAAAAGAAAAAGUCAAAAAAGAAAAAGAAGAAAAGAAUAAGUAUUUUAAGAUUGGAACACAGAAUUAUGAGAUUAUAGUAUAAAAUAAACACAUUAAUCCAAUCAAAACGAAUAAUUCGGUUAAAAUAAACUGAAUACUGUAGUUUGAAUAUAAAUUUUGGGUUGGGUUGGUUUACGUUGCUUUGGUUUGGUUUGGUUCUAUUUCCCACCCCUAUAUGACUAUAUCUAUGUAUUAAUAAUAUUAUAUUAUUAAAAGGAAGUGGAAUCUGUUGGAACUUUUUUUGUUGUUUAAAAAAUUGAAAAUUAAACAAGAAGAAAAGCUAGCUUUUGGUGACCGCAAUGGGGAAUUUGGAAACAUAAUUGUUGGAGUGUUACAUCAUGGAAGUUUAGUGCCUUGUCGUUUAAGCGUAAUGUAAAACAAAAAAAACAAACAAUAAUGAAAUGAAAAUAUCAAAAUUCGAGUUUUCAAUAAAACCAAAUUCAGUAAAGUAAUUAGCACAAUGAUCAGUUCAACAUCUGCUUUACUAAAAAUACUAGAUGGAUACUCCACUAUGUCUUUUUUUUUUAUAUAUAAAGAUAUAUGUUACGAUAUUAAUUUACGAUUUUUUUAACGAGGAUAUAGCUAUAUCAACAAUAAGAUUGUUUUUUAACAUAUAUAAAUCCAAUUCGAACAAACUAACAAGCACAGUGAUAUUAGUUUAACAAAGAGACCAGAUGUACCUUAAUGUACAUAUACUACAAAAUAUGUAUAAAACUAGUGAACUUGCCUGUGUUUGGCGCGGACUACAAACGUUUAAUUAUGUAAUUUUUAUAAAUAUUUGCAUUUAUUUUUGUGCAUCAUUUGUUUUAGGUAUUAUAUUUGUUUUUUUUUGGGAUAUUUGUUGCGUAUUAUUACAUAUUAAUAGUUGUGUAUGUUGUAUGGUUUUUUAUAUGUUUUUAAAUAUUAUAUUCGUCUUUUGAUUAUUUAUUGUUAUUCAUAUAGAGUUGAUGGAUUUUUAUGUUUCUUAAAAACGAAAGCUAUGUUUUAUUUUAGAUUUCUAUUCUCAGAGUUGUUAUAAUGUUUAUUUACGUUAAUAAAGCUACCUUUUCUUUUUAAAUACUUAAUUGGUUUGUAUAUUUGUUCAUCAUUCGAUCAAAUACAAUUUGUAAUAAUAAGAAACUUUUUAAAACUCAUAAUUGUUUCAAAUACUUAAUUGGUUUAUAUCUUUGGCCAUCACAUCAUAAUUCGAGUGCUGAACUUCUUGCUUCUCAAUGCUAUCAUUCAACCAAACCUCGCACACAACCGGAAGACCUUUGUUCCCUUAAGACACAAGUAAAAAUAUGUAGUUGAAGAUUAGAAACACAUAACCGAAGUGAUUCUUCUUGACCUGAAUCUUUGGAAGGCAUCCAAUUUACCAUUCCCUUUAGUUUUCUGAUUACAUGAAUCAUCAUCGUCACUGUGACUUUUGUGUUUUCUUCAAUGGUGUGAAGUGGAUUUGUGUCGUUUCUCUAAUGAGCCAAUGGCUUCUUAUACAUGUUUUUUAAAUAAAAUCAUCAUGGAUUGAUUGGCGGAAUCAUUUAGCUUUGACUUCUUCUUCUGAUUUUCUUGGAAGACUUAUCACUUGACGCCACAUCUCACAUAGCUAUAAACGCCAUUGCAUAUCCCUCAAUAUACAAUAAGUGCCUUUGCAUCCUAGAAAGAUUAAAAAAGAACAAUAUUCAUAUAUAUAUAUAUAUAUAUAUAAUCUCAUAUUAUAGAUAAUAGAGUUAACAAAGAAAACCUCCCAAACUUAUGCUUGUAAAUCGUUUAAGAGGCAAAGAGAGAUAAUCCAUCAAAAAAAAUUGAUCUAUUACACUCCAAAAUCAUUGAAGACAAUAUUUUGAAGAAAGGGUCCUCAUGAGAACCAUCAUCAAACAACAACGUUUUGAAGACAGGGUUCUCGCCAUAACCAUUAAAGCAAGCCACAACAGAACCUAACACUUCAUUCUCAUGUUAAGGAUUAUGUUUCUACAAAGAAUCUGUUUUAGGUUAAAUCUCGCAGUCUCAUUUUCAAACCCAUGGUCGAAACACCACGUGGAUUGAUGCAUCCUUUCUUGUAUGGUCCAAUAUCUUGAAAGAUGACAUUAAACGAUUAUUGUUAUUAAGCGAUUUUAGUGGUCUUGGACAUGAAGGUUCAAAAAAAUCAUUAAUUAGUUAACAUUUACUUCUUUUUUGGCUGGUGUAGUUUUUGAAAUUUGAAGUACAUAUCAUCAUAUUUAUAAGUUUUAAUUUCAUAAAUACAUGGUUAUAAUAUUUAUAUGUUUUUUGUAUGAAUAGAAAUAAAAUGUUUUAUCUAAUUUUCAUUUUUUUCCAACUAUUACACCACAUGUCUAGUUGGAGAUAUGGUCCAGGAACCAUGCUCGACCGGCUCGGAUGAUUGAUUUGAAAAAGAAAAAAAUCAUCUUGUUCAAGCUUCUUUUCUAAGACUAUCCGUCCAGACAUUUAGACUUCUGGGGAUGUCUUAUAUUUGUAUGAUCCAUGUUACAUAUAUAAUCUCGAUCUAGAAUGUUCUAGUUAAUGUACAUUCAUAGCAAUCCAGUCAGGAUAACCAAGACUGAAAUGUAGUUAUCCCCAAUUUUAAGGUUAAACAGUUUUGCAGCUAACUUUGAGGCAUGGCUUCUAUGUGCAUUCCUUUUUGGUCUGGUAAGCAUUUUUCAAUCUUUGGCUCUGAUUGGUAACUUGCGGAAUGGUGGAAUUGUGUUUUUAAACACGAUUCUGCAGGUUUUUUGCCAAUCAACGAAAAUCCGCAGAAUGAAAAAAUAUGUCUGCGUUUUUGCUUAAAAAAAUACAAAUAAAAGGUCAUUCCGCAGAAAAGCGACUUAUAAGUAGAUUAAUCUAUUCCCAAUAUUUUUCCGUCAUUCCGCAAAAUUACCAAUCAAAACCUUUAUGUAGUCAUGGAAAUUAUCACUCACAAAGCUUUUUCUUUUAGUUAAAAAAUAAAAAAUAAAAUAAAAAUAUACAACAUGAUAUGCAAGACAUUUACAAUAUUUGUAUAGGUUCUGCUUUUGUUUGUAUCACUUCCUACAAUAAACAAUAAUGAAUGAAUGCUUUCCUGUAUAAUUGCAAACAGUGUACUGAAGGCCUUGGUGAUGGUGUGUUAAUGUAUAGUCAUAAACCAUAAACUUUCAUGGAGAUGUUUAAAGCAUCCUUUACAGCAACUUUGAGAUCAGUUUAAAAAAUAGACAAAACUCAUAGAGAUCUUUGCAGCCAUCAUCUUUACAAACUUUAACUUUUAGUCAUCGUCUCCCUCCUAUAUGAUAACACAAACCGACAUAAGACAAUCAAAAUAUUCGACUCAAUAUAAACGUAUUAAAAUACUAAAGACAGCAAUCCAAAACACAAGCAACCACAUCAAAUCUAUUUACCCGGAGAUUCCAUCGCAAGAUAAAUGAGGAGAUGAACAAAAUUUUUGAAGUUGACGACCGAAAAAUGUGACCUUUAAGAAAGAAGAGAAGCCAAAAUAAGCUAAGCAAAACAUGUAUAAUACAUAAAAUUUAGAACAAUAAGCGGAGUUAUAAACAAGAACAGAACAAAGGAUACAUAAAUCGAAGAACAAAUAACAAAAAAAGGAGAUAGACAUAAAGCUAGUGAAGACCGAAACAAUAUAAAAAUUAUAAGAGUAUGAUAUAUAGAUUAAUGUCUACGUCUACGCUAGAGUUUUGAUAUGUUUAUUAACAAUUUUUCUAAAAGUUAAUUAUGGAAAAUAACUCAUCGUUUCGCACUAUCUAACUUACAUGUUUGAUCGAUUGUGAGUUUUAUACCCUAAAGAAAUACAACAACAUUGUAAUAGGUGUGUAUAUUGUCUAUUAAUUAAAAAAUUAUCGGUUUAUUAUAUUAUAAACCAUCUAAAAUCAAAAUUAAUAGAACUCGUUUUCGAUUUUCUCUGCAGCGUUAUGUUUUAAGUGAAAUGUACACAUUAUCAAAUAAGAACCAAUAAAAAAAUUACACUUAAUUGGAACAUAGGGCAAUAAGGACUUUUUGUAGCCGAAACUUAUUGUGGAGCUGACACGUAAGCAAAACUCUGUGAAACUCGAUGUGGAGUCGACACAUCAGCUUCUCACUAAACAAAUAAGUAUAUAGAUUAUAUUUUCGAAUAUAACUGUUAUAGCCGAACGGUGGUGAUACGUUUGCCAUUUUGGUUUGGACAUCUGGUGUUCGACCUUACCAUCUUAGUUAUGUUUAUGAAUUCUUGGUAUGUUUUGAUGUAUGUUUAAGAGCAUUUUCGAACAAAAAUCUCAUUUUUAAGAAUGAAAAAAUUUCAAAAUAAAUAUUUAUUGUUUUACUGAUAAAACCUCAAAUCUAUCUUUAAUAGAAUUCAUAAAUUAUAUCACAGUCUUUAAUAUAAAUAAUAAUUGAUUAUGAUGAUAAAAUUUUCAUAAAUAUACAUAAAAAAUACAUUAAAUAAAAUAUUAUAUGAAUAUUCAGUUACCUGUAAAUAAUAAUAAAUAAUAUUUGUUAUUGUAGUGUGAUUAUAAAUUUUUGUUUAAGUUUUUCAAUGUAAUAUUAUUUUUGUAUGAAAUUAAUUUUAAUUUUUUGUGUAAUAUUUUUUCUAUAUUAAUAAUUAUAUUUUAUAUUUAGUCUACUUAUAAAAUAAUCAGAUUUAUAAUUAUACAAUUGACCUAUUUAAUAAUAUAGACUAAUAUAAAUGUAAUGGGAUGUCUGGAUUGCUGUGAGAAGCGAACCCAAAAUUUAAGCCAUUUAAGUAAAGGAGGAAUUGCUAAAAAUAGGUCACAAUUUGAAAACAAAUGCAAAAGUAUACCUCAAAUUCAACCUAUUGCAAAAAUAGGUCAAAGAGGUAGAGAAAUUACUAUUAUCUCCUACAUAAGUAAACAAAAAAAACGGAGGGCUCUAUUACAAUUUUAACCCUGCGAAGUCUGCAAAUAUUAAUAAAGUCUGCAGAGCAGAUUUAUAAGAAGUCUGCUAUAUUUUUAAAUCUUAUAUUUAAAAUUUAAAAUUAUAUAUAAAUAAUUUAAACUGAAAUUUGUUUCUAUAAAUCAAAUGUCAACAAGUAUGAUCUAUAUAAAUUAUAAUUUAAUAAAAAUAAAUCAUUUUAAACCAUCUAAGAUAAACAUCAAAAGUGAAUAAUUUUAAAGUAGGAUUGUAGACUUCUUUAUAAGUCUGCUCAAACUGUAAACGAAAUUAAAAUAAAAUAUUGAUUUAAACCGGAAAUAAUUAACCUAACCAGAUAUAACCGGAUAUUUUUGCCCUAUUAUAUAAAUGAGAUUUUACCCUAAAUCAGAAACUCUCCACUUUGAUCCCUCUCUCCAAAAACGGCGCUGCAUUUUCUUUGUUGUUGUAAUCCUCUUUCUUGCUGCUCUCCAUUUUUGCUAUGUUCUUCGUUCACUUGAGUUCGGAUCUGCAAUCAUCUACAACAAGGACCAAGCUUGGGACGACCACAUAAGAAUCUGUCCCAUUUAAUUAUUUUACAAAUUUUUGUUGAUUUCAUCUUCUUGUAAUGCUAUUUUGGUGUUUUUCUUUGUUAUUGCAGUGGAUUUUCUGGGUGGGACUAUUCGUUGGUGCAGCUCUUGUGGCUCUCUACCAACAGCUUGUCAUCAGAGCAAUUUCAUUCAUGAUCACAAGCUGAUUUCUUUCUUAGAUUAGUCCCUUUCUUUUUUUAAGUUUUUUGUUUUUUUUUUUUCACAGAGGUUUUUUCCAGUGUAUUGUUCUCAUCCUUUUCCUAUUUUAUUUUCUUUCUCUCGGAUCCAUUGUCUGUAUCCCACGUUCUAAAAAGCAGCCGCCAAGACCAAUUAGUCGUUUAAGACUUGAAAUCAAAUUCUUUGAAAAUUCUUUUUUUUCUUCGUUUAAGACUUGAAAUCAAUAUAUGUAUGCCAGAUCUAUAAGUUUAGGUGUGAAUAAUAAGAAUAAUGCAAAAAACUGACUGAUUAUGUGAAAAAAUUAGCUUGCGGCCGCGAAAAAGAGUUGCAGAACUCGAAAACCCUAGAUAGAAGACGAAAACAAAAUUACAAUUAUGCCCUUUUUUAAAACAAAAAGAAUAACCAAAAUUGGAAGCAUAAUGGUUCGAACCCACAUACUUUGGGCAACAAGUGGGUCUGUUUCCACCAGACCACAAGAGUUUGUUAACGCUGUAUGCGUUAAUAAAGUAAUUUAUAUACUAUCAAGACCGUUAACAAAAGUGGCCAAUAGUUAAAGUUGAGGACAAACCAUGACAGGUAAAUGCAAGAAUAACUGAUUUUUCAAACUUAUACAAAUGCAAGAACUAUAACAAAUAAAAAUAAUUGAAAGGAAGUAGGCUUCUAAACUUCUUUAGAAGUCUGCAAAAAUAGAUAAAUCAAACAAGAAAAUUCAUUACUUUGUAAUUAUAACACAUAACAACGUCAAACUCAUAUAGAUGCAACACAAAAAACAAAUAAACAUGUCAAAACAAGAAAAUCAUUUUUACAAGUAACAAAUAUUUCAAAAAUGAAUUUUUAAAAAAAUAAUUAGGCAGACUUCGUAUGCAGUCUGCUAUGAUAUGCUAAUACGUAACAGUAGAUUCAUCUACAGACUUCUUUAGAAGUCUGCUUAGAUGUGCUAAUUACCUUUCAAACUAAAAAAAUUCAUAACUUUAUAAUUAUAACACAUAAACACACCAAACUCAUAUAGGUGCAAGAAUCAUACAUAAAAUGCAUUUACAAUUUAAAAUUAAAAAAAAACAUUACAAAUACUUUAUAAAAUGCAUUUUAAAAAUUUAAAAAAAUAUAGACAUCCGUUCAAAAUUCGCCGGGGAAAUUUCACGUUGAAGUCUUCUAAAAAAGGUUAUUUUUGCAUUUGACCAAAUAUUUGACUUUUCGUAGUAGACUUCUUUUUGCAGUCUGCGAGAAGAAAAUGUUAUUUUUGCAAUUGACCAAAAGUUUGACUUUUAGAGCAGACUUCUAAAAAGAAGUCUGCUGACGAAUAAAAGAAGUCUGCUAUAGUAAAGAAGUCUGCUUAUGAAGUCUACUCUACAAAAGAAGUUUACUCAAGGUUAUUUUUGCAAUUGACCAAAAGGUUGACUUUCAUAGCAGACUUCUAACAGUCUGCUUGUAGGUCAGAUUUGCAUUUGACCGAAUUUUAAUUAAAUAAAUAGCAGACUUCUAAAAGAAGUCUAAUUGAAGUCUGCUAUAAAAGUCAAAAGUUGUCAAAAUCUUGGUCGAUUGCAAAAAUAACCUCUCAAGUCAAAUUACGAAAUAGCAGUCUGCGAGAAGUCUGCUAUAAAAGUCAAAGUUCUUCAAUUUUUUUUGUCAAAUGCAAAAAUAACCAUUUCUUCUCGCAGACUGCAAAAGAAGUCUACAUGAUUUUUUUUGUUUACAAAGGACAAUUCGCAGACUUCUUUUUCAGUCUGCUUACACAAAUAUUAAAAAAAAGUCAAUUGCAAAUCUAACCUCUGCGUUGACUAGCAGACUGAAAAAGAAGUCUGCUUUCGCGAAACAGAGCUAAAUGUUAAAGAAAAUGAUGUAGAUGUUUACCUACUUCCAAUUUAAAUUCGAUUAACUUUGACAAAUACCAAGAAUUUUGUAUAGCACCGAUAACAAACUAGCUAAGUCGUUGUUAUGCAAGAAUCUCCAAAAAUAGAUGAUUUAUGAAAUUGGAAUUUAUAAAAAUGAGCAUGAAAUAGUUUUUUAGAUGAAAUUGGAGAGAAAUUUAUAGGUAAAAUGAAGUUAUAAGCGACAUAAUAAGCAUUUAGAGCUUCAAAAUUGGUUGGGCAAACAUUUAGAGCUUCAAAACUGGUUGGUAAUGGUGGUUGGCAAAAUUAAAGAAGAUGACAUUUUCGUAAAUAAAUGAUAUAUUUUAGGAUGGUUGUGUCUUUUUAGUAUUUUUAAGAAAAAACAAAAAUUAAAAACAUAAUGGCAUUUUUGUGAAUAUAUGUGGUUGUAAGGAGAUAGUAGAGAGAAAGUGGCAUUUAUUAAAAAGGGAGAAAAAAGAGGUUAUUUUUACAUUUAACUUCAAAUUGUGAGUUAUUUGUGCAAGUACCCCUUAAAUAAAUCACCAAUUAUUUUAGGAACAACUUCUAAGGCUGAUUAGUGUUCAUAAGAUGGUUAUAUUGUUUUUUUUCUCUAUCAAAUCGAGAUUCAGUAUGAUGCCCUUUAGUGUUGGAGACAAAAACGAAAGUAUUUUAAAUUUUACUUGAUCAAGUUAAUAUACAGGAUUGAUCCUAUAUGGUGUAGUUUUUUAAUAGUUUGUUACAUGAUAGAUAAUUAAAUUUUUGGUGAUAUAAAGACAAAAAAUAAUUGAUUUAAUAUUCUCAUAUGCACAAUCAUAUUGUAAAAAAAUUCAGUAUGCUGCAGAAACUAUUUGCUGUCUGAAUUUCUAAAUAAUUUGGAUACUGAAACUUAAGCCAUUUAUGCAAAUCAUUAAUAUUCAAACAUAGCACAUCAUCAGUCUUUUUAAACAUUACAAAGAAAAUAUUAAAUUUAACUUAAAAAUUAUUGUUGAGCCGACAAAUAUAUAUUGGGAACCUUUCUCUUUUUUUUUUUUUUUAAUGAUAAUAUAUUGUAUGGUAAACUUGAGCAAAUAUUUAAGAAGAUACGAUAAGAGACAAUGCAUGUACUUAUCAUCCUCUUUGCUUUCACGUCUUGUCGAAUUCUAAUUAAACAUCUUAAUGCAAUUUAAUCUCGUUGGUCAUUAGAACUGUAUAUUGAUUUGGUAAUGGAAGAUUUGAUUUUAUAAUCUAAUAAAUUAGAAAACCAUUUUGGUUUAUCCCGAGAAAAUACAUUGUUAAAAAAACUAUAAAACCGUAGUGUAUUACAUAAAUUUAAAAACAAGCACAUGGAUACACAAACACAAGUUAUAGUCAUUUUUGCCAUUUCAAGUGAUUUUAGUAUGGUGAUGAUUAAUCGCUUGAAUAAUAUCCAAAAUCUUUUGGUACUGUUCCGUUUUGCUUUGCAGUAAAAAUGCUACCAUAACAAAUCUUUAUUCAUGUUAUCUUUUUAUUCAUUUUCACUCAGUGAAAUUUGCUAUUAGGACUUUUGUACAUAAAAAAUCAAUAAGGAGAGAAAGAGUUUUCGCAAAUAAAGGAGAGAGAGGGUUUUCUAAUCCCCGUUUUUGGACAAAUGUGUUCCUUUGGUUGCCCAUUCACAGGAGACUUAAAUUAGACUGAAAUCUAUUCGAUCUAAUACUGCUUCCAAAAAUUUAUAUUUUUAUCUUAUUAGAGGUUUUUUCAUAUAUGUUUUAAACGCCAUGUAAUUCGAUUAACAUGUCUUGUUAGAUCUUAUAAAGAUCAAUUAGAUCUUUGAAAUUAACUGAGAAAAGUAUCUUCGUAAGUUUUAAAAAUAUAAAACUAUUGAGAUAAUCUUGUAACACAUAUUAUAAAGACUUAUCGGUUUAAUCGUCUUGAAUGCCCAAAACGUUGAUAAAACAUAGCCGAAGAAUUAUACAACCGUUUUUUUGCUUCUUUUUUUUGCUUUUAUUUACUUGAAGACAAAGAAAAGUAUAUCUAUAUAGACCUCUCUUUGUAUGACGGUAUGACCAGUCUAUAAUAUGUGACGAGUCGUUUACAUUACAAUGGUUAUUGCCAACUCGUGUACAAUGGUCAUUACUUAAUUAGUAAACAAAUCACAAAUUUUUAAGUGAAUUUAGUUAAUUGGUAUCUUUACAUAUGAAUAUAAGAUGAUCUAAUUAUUCAACCUCUGUUGUUGAAGUUUUGCUGCCUUGUUUUUAUUUCUUUUUGCAGGCACCAAAUUGUAUAGGGGAAGCUUCAUGCUUUGCCAAACUCUUUCAUUAUAUAUGAAAAAUUUACAGUUUAGCGAUACAUAUGAAUGUUUGAUCAAAAAAAAAAAAGCAAUACAUAUGAAUAUAAGAUGAACAUUUUCUUUUGAAAGAAUAUAAGAUGAACAUGUUAACAUGAUUGUUGAUAUUCAUAAAAGAGAAGAAGAUUCGAAAGAGAAGACGCAGAAUUUCGUUUUGAGCUAUAAUGUUAACAUGUUCAUCUUAUAUUCUUUCAAAAGAAAAUGUUCAUCUUAUAUUCAUAUGUAUUGCUAAACUGUAAAUUUUUCAUAUAUAAUAACCUCAACAUAUUUGUAUGAUUAUUGUUUAAGGAAAUUUGGGACCCAUGAGGGUUUAUCACACUUUUUGGUCAUUAAAAGUAAAAACAUGUAAAGGCAUGCCCAACAUUUGGGGACCUAAUGUCCAAUUUAAAUGGGGCAAUUUCUGAACUUAAAAAAUUAUCCUUUAUAUACAUUUAUGUUUUUUUGCAUAAUAACAAAAAAUAUUUAUUUAUUUAAUAUUUUUAAAGGCAUCACCAUAACUAAAAAUUAAGCAUAGACUAAAAAUUUUUAAAAAUAUGGACAUUAAAAUUCUGUCUUAAAAUUUCCAAAACGGCUAUAAAUAUGAAUAGAUAUCAUCGAAAUAUAUGUUUAUUAAAAUUCAAAAUUAUAAAAAUGAUAAUAAAUUAUAUAAGUAAAAAAAGUUAAGAUGCUAAGUACGUGAAAUUUGUUUUUAUGAAACUAUAAAAAGUAAAUUUGAUUAGUACUUUAAUUAAAAAUAAGUUUAACAAUUGUUAAUUUAAAUAUAUAUAUAUAUUAAUCGUAUAUUUGAAAAAUAGUUCGAUUUAUAUAUUAUAUUAGUAAAAAAUAUUACAUAUUUUAACAUAUACAAUACAAGCGGAUCUCGGAUGAUAAACAUAACUUCACUAAUAAUUUUAAUAGAUUUUGUAUCUAAAAUUACAUGAUAAUUUUUUUAAUAAUAAUUUCAUUCCAGGGCCUCGGAUAUCACCGAGUUUGAUAUUGAUAUAUCAACAAUUUUAUAACAAGAAAACAAAACGAAAAUCGUAUUCGACAUUCAUAUUUAGUUAUUUACCCAUAUUACUUAAUGGGCUUAAAAGCCCAUAUGGCGAAAGAAAAACCAUUGGCAUAUGAUAGAUUCGUAAGGUAAGGGAUGAUUGAUUCUUGGUGACUUGGUCAAUAUAGUAUUUUCCGAUGUUUUUGAAGAAACGUAUGGACAUUGGACAGAAGAAUAAUGUAACUACUAUUUCAGGAUGUCAAACCAAAAAAAGAAUUAAGUUUACUGAAUUUACCCUAUUUACUUUUAAUAUAUCACUAGACUUGAGUGAAAAAGAAAAUCAUUACGUUGUUGCAAACUACUGAACCUAUUGUUAGAAUUAUAACUCAAAUAAGUAACAGUGAAAAGUGAUUGGUCAAAGCAAAUACUUUGGGUCCUAGCUCUCUCACUAUUAAAUUACUAGAAAGAGAGACGCUGAUGUGGCGACGCAGGCUUUUCAGUGUCCUGUCUUAAAGGACGAAGUGGACAUUUGUUUUUUCGUUUAUUUUUUAUUUUUAUUUUGGUUGGCUAGAAGAAUCAACAUACCAUGUUGUCUUCUCUACCCACAUUAAAAUCCAUUAUUGAGGGUUGUGAAAACCAAUUUACCAUUCUUCGUUUCUCUUUUCACUGUGGUUUUCACUUUCUUGGGUCAACUUUUGUUCUUAAAUUUCAAGAGCGUCAAGUCCAACGUUAUUCUUUUUUACUGUCACCAAUCUCACCACAAAACGUAUUUUCUUUUUUAGUACCAUCAAAGUGAUCCAAAUCGUGGAACCGUCCAAGAAAUCUAAGAAAUGAGCAAUUUUUUUUACGAAUAAAUAAAUUACCCGAAUAAAUCGGACACAACUAAGAUUUGAGUUAUGCGUCCGUCUAGCGGCUAAAAGUUGAAGCUAGGAAACAUAUGUUUUCCUCAUGCUCUCCAUUUUUAAUAAGACAAUGUCUUGUAGAGCUAUAACACUUAUAUACAAAUAUAUUAUGCGAUCACUUGAACUCUUAUUUAAAACUAGCACAAUUAGUUAUUUAGGUAUAAUAUAUAUAUAUAUAUAUAUAUAUAUAUAUAUGAAAGUACUGUAUAUUGGUUAGUCUAAAGUUAACUAUAUAGUAGUUACACUUAAUCGGAGUUACUCAAUUAUGAGAGACAUUUCAAAUUGACACAGACUAAUUUCUAGUUUACCCAAAAUUUCAUUUACAUAUCUCACACACGUAAAUCAAUGGAACUCACACAUUCGUCUUUUGCAUAAAGAUGAAUAAGCUUCAAAACCUAAUUCUUAAUCUAUUUAUACGGUUCUGAAUGUGCUAAGUGGCUCCCCCUUAAUUAACCCUUGUCCAUUUCUAGCCACGAUUUCUAAUCUAUACCUAAUAUCUUUACACAAACUUGAAUACACUCAAAUCUCUUUCAAAUUUAUCUUUUUUUCGUCGAGCGUUGAGAAUAAUAACUCUGAAUCUUCCUUUCAUAGUCGUCUGAUUCACUCAGUUCCUAGUAUACAAAAUUUGACAUCUUUAAUUAUUAUCUUGUUAUCAACACUAUUCGUCAUUAUUCAGUGCGCUUGUUUACAAUUACAUGUUCCGUCUAUAAUCUAUUACGUAUCACGGAAUACGUUGUACCAUUUAAAACCAAAUUUCAUAUACCAUUUUAAAACACAUAUAAUUCAUAUUUAUGUUCAAGGGAAAAUCUUAAAUAUUUAUUUCUAAUAUUAGAAAUCGUACCAUACAUCUACUGUAUAAUUUGGUUUAUACAUACUAGUACGGCGUGAAGUCGUGACCAUUGGAGCCAUCAAUUCCUUGCAACAAAAAAGACUACUCUGCAAUUGAUAGAUUUUCGAUUCCAUAUUUUGAUGAAGUAUUUUUAAAAGAGCAAAAAUAUCGAUGUUCUGAUCAUAUCAUGACAAAAAGUAUUAAUUUUAAAAUUGUAAAGGAUAUACUUUAAGCCUUAGGGUUUCAUUGUUUUGACGUGACUAAUUAUAGUGGCAUGCAUGUCAACCAUGCAUCUAACAAAUAUAAAUAAAAGGAGAGAGAAAUAAAGACUUAGCAUCAUAAUGAUUGUUAAGGUUGUAACGUCGGUCUUGGUAUAGAGAUUCAUGUAUGCUUUUGAUACUAUAUUUGAUUUAUUUAUUAAAGGAAAUAAACUUUGGAGUGUUGAGAGAUAUGAUCUUUGUAAAAAGCAUACGAUCCAUGCAUGCAGAAGGACAUAUGAUUUAAUCCACUACCUCCAUGCAAGUUUCGGCAGAUCCUUGCUUUGUUUGAUCUCAUUCCUCUUUCAUUUCUUUACUUAUUUUAUAGAUCUAUCAUCGAUUUUGUUACUUUGAAGCUAUUUAUUAUAAAUGUAUAUAUACAUUGAUAUAAGCCACACACUCUUCUAUUCUCAUUGUCUGAAAGACUGAAACUAUAUAGAAAUUUAAUUAGAAAAUUUUUUUGGAAAACUCUCUAAUUUUUUUUGUUUUGAACAUAUAAUUGAUGUUGUAACCGUAUCAAGAAAUCAUUUGAAAAUCGAAAGUUUCUUCUUAUAUACCAAUUACAUGUUAGAAAGCAAAUAAGAGCCUACCAUAUAAUGCCAUAUGAGUACUACAAUUUAGUUAUAGUUCAAUGUUUUCACACAAUUAAUCGGAAUUAGUGAUCGACUCUUAUUUGAUUGAUAGUCAUGCUAUUCGUACGAAUUAAAAUAAUUUUGAUUUUAGCAUAGAUCAUUCAAAGUUUUCUCAAGAUAAGUAUCUUUGAAUAUCGAUACACUAAAUUCGUCUUCAAGUAAUUUUAUUGUAUACAUUAGGAAAUAAUUUGUUUGAGUCUUUUUUGAAAGACUUAUCAGUAUCGUAAACUUGUAACGUGGGAGCUUAAUUAUUAAUGUCUUAUUUUGCAGACAAUGAUGUUGUGUUUUCCAUAUGGGAUGCAAUAAUAUCCCUCGCCAUGCAAUGCAAGUUACGUAAUGUACGCAAAUUAGUAUCUAUAGAUUUUCUUCCUUUUUUUGGCUGAGAGAAACUUUGUUUUAGAUAAAGAUAUACUUGUUCGUUUACAGUUAAUAGAUUUAUCAUUUUAAAUAGAGAAAGGAAUGAUAGAGUGCACCAUGCAACCAAAGUUAUGUCUUCUUGAACCAAAAAAAAAAUUAUAUAUGUCUUCAAUAAAUUUUCUAUAAUUUCUAUAUAGCUAUGAUGAUUUUGUUAAGAAAUCGUAGAUAAGAAAUUAAUUUGCAUUACACACAUUCUUAGUCUUGAAAAAUUUAUAUGAUGACUUUAAACCCUCAAGAUCGGUAGAGAAUGGUGAUUUACCAUUGAAUAAAUAACUUCAAAUUGCUAAAGUAUACAAUUACAAUGUCGUUUAAAAUUGGUGAAACUAUAUCCAUUUUAUGCUCGAUCUAGUUAUACGAUUUUUUCAAUACUAGGACAGCCGGCAUAUCUAACAUUUUUGUGUAAAAUACGUACCAAAACUAUUUUCCCUUAUUUCUUGAAAUCUUUAUAAUAUAUUCUAAUUGUAUUAUAAUGAUGUAAAUGAGAAAAUUAAGCAUUCACGUAUAACAUAUAUGCGCGCAAGGCUCAAGUGUUGUAGCCAAAGACAUUAAAAAGGUAAUUAUUCUACUUAUAGCUCGUGCACAUGAAUUAGAGAUUCGUAAAUCAAUCUUUUUAAAAGAAAGUAUGAGAAGCAAUCAUAGAAAGCCAAUAGCUUUUCGAAGUUUGAAAAAAGUAUAUAUCCCCUUUAUUUCUUUUAUCAAAAUGGAAACGAGAUCUACAUAGGAUGCCUCCAAAAUCUUCCAAUUUCUUAUAAGUUUGAAAACAGAUACAUCACUCAUGCAUUUUCCUUGUUGAAUAAGACCGUUUAUGAAAUAUAAUGUGGUCCUAAACCAAUUUAAAAAUCGAAUCGCAUUGUUCUCAUUUGUCGUUUCUAGACAUUUUAUCUUAAUUAUUUAUAUCUCUAGCUCGGUCUUCUUACCUUUUCAUAAACAUACAAUUUUCUGGUAUUUAUGUAACAACGAAACAAGAAAAACUUCGAGAUGUUCUUCUCGAUUUUUAUUUAUUAUUUUUUCAUUUGAAUUUUUAAAUAUACAUUCGCAUCAAUAUUUUUGGUCAGCAAGAUGCAUUGACCUAUUGGUUUUAACCUCACAACGACGACACUAAAAUAAAAAUCACCAUGUUACAUGGUAGUACUAGCUACUACUUCACAUUUCAAAACUACACUUUUACCAUAAAAUAAAUUUAUCAAACAAAUAUGUAAAAACAAGGAAGUAUAUUUUAUGAAACAUUGACCCAUUUACUCCUCUAUUUGAAAUAGUGUACAUAAUUAGAAAUGCUAGAUUCACCUCAGAUUUCCUGUCCCCAAAGAAAUGAAGAGAGACAUGAAUGAAUGAAUUUUUGAUAAAAAGGAAACAAAAAUAAAAAGAAUAGGGCCAAUUUAAUUAAUGAAUGAAUGGGAUACACAACUUAGAUUUUCUAUUUUUUCCUUUUCACUUGGCUCCCAAUUUCGCAAGCAUUGUCCUUUUAUUGCACUUGGUGACAAUCUUAGUACUACAACAAAAAGAUUUUGACCAGUCUUCUCAUUCACAUGAAAAAAAAAAAAUCAAAGUAUCCCCAAAACUUAAACACUCACAUAGCAACACUCUACACCUAUCCCCACCCCAAGACAAUCCCUUUCUUCUCCCCUUUCUCCAACACCUACCAAAAGCCUCUCUCUCUCUCUCUCUACACUAAUCUCUCUUUAUCUCUCUCUCUCUCUCUCUAGUUCUUGAUUUAUUCCAAGAUUUCAAGAAACACAUGGCUGACCAAAGUGGUGGGCUGGUUAUGAUGAGAGAGUACAGAAAAGGGAAUUGGACAUUGAAUGAGACGAUGGUGCUCAUUGAAGCCAAGAAGAUGGAUGAUGAGAGGAGGAUGCGGCGGUCCAUCGGCCUUCCACCGCCGGAGAUGCAGCAAGAUAGCCGGAGCAGUAGUAAUAAACCGGCGGAGCUACGGUGGAAAUGGAUAGAAGAUUACUGUUGGAGAAAAGGUUGUAUGAGGAGUCAGAAUCAGUGCAAUGACAAGUGGGACAAUCUCAUGAGAGAUUACAAAAAGGUCAGAGAGUACGAGAGACGGAGGGUAGAAUCGUCUUUUGCUUCUUCAUCUUCUUCAUCUUCAGCUGCAGAAACCGGUUCGUAUUGGAGUAUGGAGAAGAGCGAGAGGAAAGAGAGGAACUUGCCGAGUAAUAUGUUGCCUCAGACAUACCAAGCGUUGUACGAAGUGGUGGAGAGUAAAACGCUCCCUUCCUCAACCGCUGCAACCGCUGUAACCGCUGCAGUCGCCGCUGCCGCUGCCGCCAUUGGAAGUGGAAACGGUUCGAGCGGUGGACUAGAAAUCCAAAAAGCGAUACAACAACAACAACAACAAGGUUUAGGAUCUGUUGUUCCGAAACAUCAAAUGACGAUUCAGCCUCCUCCUGUUAUAUUACCUCUUCAGCCGCCACCGUCUCAACCGCCGCAGCCGCUACCACGACCGCUUCUUCUGCCACCGCCUCCACCGCCUUCUUUUCAUGCUCAGCCAAUACUGCCCACAGUAGGUACCUUCUUUCUCUCUCUUCUUAACUUCUUUGCAUUUUCUUUAACAAAAAUUAAAUAACUUCUUGCAUUUCUCUAAGUUUUACAUUUUUUUAUUUAUUAGAAAGAUUGAAAGCUUUAACUAAUCUCAAAACCACAUUGUAAAAUUACCUUAAUUAGUCCGAUUAAACUUGAAUAAACAAUUAAGUUAAUGGUUCUUUUGUCUUGACACAACUCUUAAUUAAUUAAUUUUAUAAUUUUUUUCAGUGGAAAGGAUUAAUAAAUAAUUUUUUUGUAUAGAUAAACAUUAUCUUUAAUUCUUGAUAUUAACAAGUAUUGUGGUUCGGAUAAUGUAUAAUAAAUUAUUUGAAGAAGGAUAGUAGCUCAGAUUCUGAUACGAGUGAGUAUUCAGACACAUCUCCGGCGAAGCGAAGGAGAACAAUUCCGACCGAACCCGCAGGUCCAAGCGGCGGCGGUGGCGUAAACGCCGAAUCGGAAGAAGCAGUGGCGGCUGCGUUAUCAAGAAGUGCGUCUGUGAUCGCAAACGCGAUUAAGGAUAGUGAGGAGAGACAAGAUCGGAGACAUAAGGAAGUGAUGAGUUUACAAGAGAGGAGACUGAAGAUCGAAGAAUCGAAUGUUGAGAUAAACAAAGAAGGAAUGAAUGGAUUAGUAGAAGCCAUUAAUAAGCUAGCGAGCUCCAUUUUCGCUUUGGCUUCUUCUUCUACUACUACUACUUCUCGCCAUAAUAAUCAGCAUCAAGAAGGUCCACAAUAACUUCAACUGUUAUUAUGUAGUUAAUUUGAUUAGGGAAGUGAUUAAUUCAAGUAUUUCGUUUCAAGUACAUAAAUUGAUAUUGAAGUGUUAAUCUUGUUUUCACUUUCAAUGUGUUUAAACUUUAAAGUAAAUGAAUUUGUGAUUCCAUGCGAUAUUGAUUGAAAUGUCAUAAUUUAUUAUUUAUCACAAGAAUGCGAUAUGUUUUGAGAUGAGUUUAGGUUUUGAUUCUUGAAAUAUAGUUAUGAAUAUUUGAUGUUCCUAUGUAUUAUUUCCUUUGUUUAGUUAGGUAAAAACCGUAUCUUUUGUUACUUAUUCAAGUUAAAUUAUAUAUUUUUGAAAUAUCUAUUGAGUUUUCAAAACCAAACUACAUUCUAUCGUAAAAAAAGAGGUCAUGCAAAGUAUGCUAAUGAAUAACGUUAGUAUAUAUUUUCUAGAAAUCAAUGUAGAGCGUAGAUGAUCCUAGAUUUAAAGCGUUUAAGAAUGGAGUUCAAAAAUAUGGAGCAUUAACUUAUAGGACGUAUAAUCGUAUUGCCUACCACUCAAUUAGCAUUGGUUUAACCAAAAAGACGUCGAUAGCUAAUCAUGGACCUAAUCAUGCAAUUUAAGAAAAAAAAAAAAAGCUGGAAACUUUUGGAAUGUGGAGCGUGAGUGAACGUGCAUGAGAGAGGCGCGUGGAGGAGCAUUUAAGUGAGAGAGAAAGUGGUCAAAGGGGGCAGAGAGAGCAGUCAAAGGAAGGGGAAGAGUGUGGAGGCCAUUCUAGUGAGUAUUAUUGGUUCCCUCUCUCAUCAGUCUCAUUCUUCUCUCUCUCAAUCUCUCUCUUCAAUGCAUCAAAGCUUAGUGACUUUUUUUUUUGAUAACCAAGCUUAGUGACUUGUGACAAAACUCUUCUAAUUCUUUAGCUUAUCAAAAGUUUAAGAAGAUGUAGUUAAAAUACUUAAAAUGGAAAGAAAACAAUAAUGCAAUCUAGCAGUUUAAACUGUUGUUUUCCAGUUUUUAGUGGAUUUUGCGUGUUAGUGUGGCAAUUGGACACAAACUACACACUCUAGCCAAGCCAUAGUUAAAAAGUCUUAGCUUGGUAGGUUUUGGUAGAGUAAUUUUAUGCCACGUUUUAAUAAAUCUAGAGAAUGUACUUAAGAGCAACCUCAAUGGGAGAAACCCAAGAGGGUCUCCACAGCAAUAUUAAAUUAGUUUAUAGGGAAAAAGUGAGUUUGGAAACCCAUUCUAGAGAUUUUGUGUUUGACCUGUGCAAUGGAGAGACUGAUAUGAGUUUCUAAAAAAAAAAUGAAUUAUUUACCAAAUUAAAAUAAAUCAUAAUUAUUUAAAAAACUUAUUUGAUUAAAACUUAACAAAACAUACAUAUUAAAUUAAUAGAAACUAAACAUAUAAAUUAACAUAAAACAUUUAUAGAAACUAAACAUACAAAUGACCAAAUUUCUGCCAUAUAUGCUCCAUUAAAUCUUUUUGCAAUUGUUCAUGUACUUCAUUAGAACGAACUCUCCUUCGAGUAUCCAACAUAUUUUCAACAUUUGUUGGCAUAGUUGUCGAGUACGAGCGAUCUAUCGGUGAACUGCUAGUUCCCUCCCCUAGCUGAAAUUCUUCUACUGCAUUAUAAUGAGUGUGUGCAUCUCGUUCGUCUUCAACAAUCAUAUUAUGGAGUAUGAUGCAAGCUCUCAUAAUUUUACCUAUUUUAUCUUUAUCCCAGAAAAGAGCCGGAUUCCUAACAAUAGCAAAUCGAGAUUGCAAUACACCAAAAGCACGCUCAACAUCUUUUCGGGCAGCCUCUUGACGUUCUGCAAAUGCAGAUGCUUUUUUGCUUUGGGGAAGUGGAAUUGAUUGGAUGAAUGUCGCCCAUUUUGGAUAGAUACCAUCGGUGAGAUAGUAUGCUAGACCGUAUUCCCGUCCAUUGACAGAAAAAUUCACUUGCGGUGCUUUUCCUUUUAAGAUAUCAUCAAACACGGGUGAGCGAUCUAGGACAUUAAUAUCAUUUAAUGUACCUGGAGGUCCAAAAAAUGCAUGCCAUAUCCAAAGAUCAUAUGAAGCUACCGCCUCUAAAACGAUCAUUGGUUUUCCUGAUCCACGGGAGUAUUGCCCUUUCCAAGCAGUUGGGCAGUUUUUCCACUCCCAAUGCAUACAGUCGAUGCUACCUAUCAUCCCGGGAAAUCCGCGUUAAUCUGCAACAUCAAGUAAGCGUUGAAGAUCCGCCUGUGUUGGUCUCCGUAGGUAGUCAUCCCCGAACAAAUGGAUAAUUGCAUCAACAAAAUUUUCUAAACAUGACCGAGCAGUUGUUUCACCGAGCCUGAGGUACUCGUCUACAGAAUCAGCGGCACCACCGUAAGCCAAGAUACGAAUUGCUGCCGUACAUUUUUGUAGAGCAGAGAGGCCAGGUCUUCCCAAAGCAUCUUUCUUUUGUUGGAAGAAACGAAUUUCAGCGGAAAGUUUUCCGACGAUAUGCAAGAACAGAGGCUUGUUCAUCCGGAAACGACGUCUGAAUAAAUUUGCAGGAUAGGUUGCUCUCUCGCUGAAAUAAUCGUUCCAUAACCGAAGAUGCCCUUCUUCACGAUUUCUUUCCACGUACGCUCUUUUUUUCUUAGUUUUCUUUGGUUGCUCGUGGUCGUCAUAUUGUGUAAACGCACUUUCAUACGCUUGCUCAUAGUAUUGCUCAUACGCUUGCUCAUAGUAUUGCUCAAAAUAUUGCUCAAAAUAUUCAGGAUUUGUACUAUCAGGUUGGUUAUUUGAAGGAGAAGCCAUUUGUGUUUUAUUUUUCUUUGGUGUGAUUGUGAGAAAGAGGUAGAGAAGGAGAUGUAAACAGCUUAGAACAAUAUAGAGAGUAAGAAAGAGAGAAAAUGGUAUAUAUAGACCACGAUUACAACAUACAUGUACGAUAAGUCUUUCCAUUAUUUUGGUGGAGUACAACAUACAUGUAAAAAAGUAUUGGUAAACGACACAAGGGACUGACAAAAGAUUCUACAAAGUAAUGGUAAACGACACACCCUCAUCUUCUUUAUUGGUGGAAUCCUACUCAGCCUGCGUCAGUUUUAUGCUCCACCAAAACCUGUGACACAAAUUGCCAAAUUGCCAAUCAUAAUCUCAAUAACAAAGACAACACAUUCAAAGUAAACAUUGACAACACAUUCAAAGUAAACAUAAAUCCAUUUUAAAAACACACGCACAAAGUAAUGCAAAUACUUAAUAAGUUCUACACGAAAGUAGUGCUACAUCAUCCCACAUUUUGAAACUCCUAAUACAAAAUAGAUAUUGAACUGACAUAACUCCUAAAACAACAAACAUCACAAACUGUCUAGACAACAAACACCACAACCGUCUAGAAUAGCUGUUGGAUAAGGGUCUUCUUCAGGUCUUCCUCGUAAUCAGCCAAUGUGUCCUUUCUCGCAAUAAGACUGUCUAGAAGAGCAAUCUUCGAGAGCCUCUCUUUGAGGGCCAUCUCCUUUUCCCUAAAAACCCACAUACCCCCAAACUCAACCGCAGUCUUUGCUUCACUCGGUGGCCUCUUUCCUUUUGCUUUCGCCGCCUUCACACCAGGUGGCCUCUUGCUACCUUGACCAUGCUCACCAUCACUUGUUUCCUCGACCUCAGGACUUGGUGAUACGUGAACGUCUUCAGACCUUCUUUUUUUUGAGGUAUGAUCCGUUUUCAAGGUCGACAGUUCAGCCCACUUUUGGUCAUUGCGUAACUCUUUCCAUGCGUGUUCCAGGUUGAAUUUCUUCUUCUGAUCACUGAAGUAGAUCUGGUGAGCCAUCUUUAAGACGUCGUUUUCAUUCAUUCCACUGCUCUUUUCCCUCAUUGCUGCCUCAAACGCCCCACAGAACUUGCACACAAGAUCAUUGAUCUUGUGCCACCUUUGCUUGCAUUGGCCGGCUUCGCGUGGUGCACUCAUCGAACGAUUCAUAUUGUCUGCGUAGUAAAUAGCUAUUCUCUUCCAAAAUGUUCCCGACUUCUGCUCGUUACUGACGACAGGGUCUUUGCUUGUAUUAAGCCAAGCGCUUAUAAGAAGCACAUCCUCAUUCGGCGCCCAAGUCCUCCUAUCCACUCGGUGACCAGUUGUAUCACCCACGUUAGUUGCUAACGAACACUGAGUGCUGAAUAAGGGUUCUUGAUCGAUAGAGUGAAAACCAUCAUUGAGUGAUGGUUCGUGUUGACUUGUCAACAAGUCAACAAAGUUAGAGGGCUGGGAGAAAUGCUCCAUAUGAAAAGAGGAGAGAACAAUAAAAGAGCUCAAAGAAAGAGAUGAAAGGAAUGAAAUGAAUGAGAAGAAUAGUUCAGCUGAAUAAAAAGAGAUGAUGUAUUCGGUUUUAAAGAGGGUUUAGAAGAGAGAUGAUGUAUUCAGUUUGAAGAGUAAUGAGAAAGUUGGUUAAACGGAGUAAUGACGAAUUUAAGAAGCUACGAUUACUUUAACAGCUACACACGUCAACUCUAAUCCUCAAACAUGACCAACUUAAAGCGACAAGACAUAAACCUAAACCGUGCAUUUAUUCACACCUAACAUCUCCUUUUCACUUAACAGCAGUAAUUACAACGAGAAGAAGAUUUUUGUAAACUUACGGUUUUAUUAUGAUGAAGGAGGAUUCCAUCUUGUUGCAGCACCCACUCGUUAAGUUUGAUUGUGUAAUCUUCCGGUUUAUGUUUGACCAUACGCUGCAUUUAAACACAAGUUUCAUGUUAGAGAUGAUAAAACUGAAGAAAAAAAUAAGUAAACUUAAACUUUCAAAGGAAUAGUUACAAACGAUGCCGGUUGUUAAGUUCGAAAGAGAUGAAACAAACAAUGACAAAAACGAGGAAACACUAACAAGCGAAAACGAUGAAACAUACGAUGACAAGUUCUAAACGAUGAAACAAAAUCAUGACAUUCAAGGUCAAACUCACGAGUGUUAAGUUCAUAGAGAUGAACCACAAUCACCAUGACUAAGAACGAUGACAUAGAAUAGCAUAAGCAAAGUCAGCAUGACUAAGAACGAUGACAUAGAACGAUGACAUAGAAUAUCAUAAUCAAAAGAGAUGAACGAUGACAUAGAAUAGCUAUUCAGAUCAAAUUAUCCCCAAAUAUGCGGAAAGAACCCAUAAAUAUCAUCACAUACGAAAAGCCCCAAUUCCCAAAAUUAGGGUUUUCUCGCAAAUCACGAUUUUUUCAAUUUCAACUUCAAAUACAGACAACUUCAAUCACGAUGACAUAGAAUAGCUAUUCAGAUCAAAUUAUCCCCAAAUAUGCGGAAAGAACCCAUAAAUAUCAUCACAUUCGGAAAGCCCCAAUUCCCAAAAUUAGGGUUUUCUCGCAAAUCACGAUUUUUCAAUUUCAACUUCAAAUACAGACAAAUUUAACCCGAUCGAUCGACACUCAAACUUCGAUUACGCUAUACACACAUCGCGAUAACCCCAGAUGACCAAACAAAAUUUUCAUCGAUAAAGAGAGGCGAUUAGGGUUUAUAAAACUUAUCUCUUUCACCUUCCCUUUCGCUGACAAGUUUCGAACCGACUGAGAACCGUCUGAGAACCGCGAGCCGCCGGAGAACUGCCGGAGACCAAUCGAUGUCGACUCGAGUUCGUCGCAGAUAUGAGAGAAAAAUGUGUUAUCGAGGAAAUGAAAACAGUCGAGUAUCGAGGAAAUGAUUUCCCCUUGCAAAAAAAAACAUUUUCUCUCUAGCUUUGAAAACAAAUUAACACAUGACACGUGUAAGGAGAAACGCGUAAAAACGUCGCCAAUUAGAAAACAUAUACGAUAAAUAAGAAACGACGAUGUAUUAUUAAAUUAUUAGGUUUCUGCUAAAAACGCUCUAAAUACAGCGUUAAUCAUGCUCUAAGAAAAGUGGAAACGAGUAGGUCUAACCAGAGCUAGAUCUGGGGAUAGCCUGAUGAAACAUCUGCCUAUAUUUCCAAAAUUUUUCUUUGGUUAUUUACGAAUUUUUCAGCUCCCAAAUCACAAAAAAAACAUUUGUUCUUAAAUUGUUUUUAGCCCCAAAUUCUUAGAUCCGGCCCUGGAUCUAAGUUGGAGUUAAAUAACCAUGCUUCAUAUAGAUAUAGAGUCAAUGCAGAUCCUAUAAACAUACGUAAGGUCCAUCUUAUGAACACGAUAGUUCAAUAUUUUAUUUGUUAGUGAAGAAAGGGAAAUAAAAGGAACCCAUGAGGGGUCACAACAAUAAAUCACAAUGGGCCAAUUUUGGGAAAGCAAUAAAAUAUAAAUUUGUUAUUAGCAAAAAAUAGUGAUGAAUGUAAUGUAUAUAGUGUUGUACUCUAUGGCCAAAAGUGCUCCUCUUUUUCUUCCCCCACACCCUCCAGAUGCAGCUUUUCUUCAGAGAAAGUGAGCUGUGAAGAGAAAUAAUGAUAAUAUUAAUAAAUAAAUAAAUAGAACACAUUUUAGAUAGAGACCGGUGCGAUACGAUAAUACACCAAAUUGUACCUGAAAUCAAAUCUCAAAAAAUAUAGUUAUGUGAUCUAAAAUGGAUUAUUGAGACUGAUAUACAGAAAAAGACAAAGAUGUAUGUAGUUACGACGAUUAAGUCUAGACAUUCAGUCGU
rnacentral:lncRNA from 1 species